rnacentral:lncRNA from 1 species
UUUUUUUUUUCUAUAAUCUUAUGUCAACUGAAAGAAUGAUUUUCAGAUGCUGUAGAAUUUUCUCCUUUACUUGUUUCAUUAUGAAAAAAAAGAAAUCCAUUUUAUCGAAGUUGAUUUGCUAUGAAACUAUUGAUUUUUUUUUAGUUUGCAAAUGGUAAAGUGAUGUGCAGAUCGGCUCCAUAUCAGAGUCAACAGCAGGUGCCAGUCUAUGGCCGAUCUGACUGCCGCUUGGAGCCAAUAUUUAGUUAAAGGGGUGAAGACCCAUGAAACUCACAGUUAUUUCAUGACACAAUAACCCCUUUACAAUUGUUUAUUGUCUUUUAAAUUCAUGGUCUAGCAUUUGAUGGUGUUGUUGAAGGGGGGCAUAGAGUCAGACACGGGUGUUUGUUUGUUUACAAUAGCAAUCCACCUUUUGCAUUGUGCCUAAACCAAAGCUACUUACACGAUUGGAGGGAGCCUUUGCCUUCUCCAUGCUUUCCUUCAAAUUUAAAGCAGCUAAAUUUUUAUUUUAGAUUUUAAUGAUUUUAACCAUGUAUUACUUCUGUUGUGAAAAAUAAUUUGAACCUAAUGCUGUCAUGCAUGGUGGAUUGGUUGAUGGGCUUUGCAAGGAAGUAUUUGAAAUAUCAUCGUUUACAAUAUUGUUAUCUACAGCUUUAGAAAUCGUUCCUUCCUUGUUUAAUGUACAGAUGCACACAUAUAACAAGGAAUGGAUGAUUUCUAAAGCUUUGGAUAGCUUUAUCAUGAUGAGGAAGCAAUGCACCGAGUUCAAUAUUGUCAUGUAUGGUGGAAAUAUUGCAAUUUAUAGUACUGUUAUCUACAGCUUUAGAAAUCAUCCCUUUUUUAGAUGUGUAAAUAUAUAAAUAAAUUGAAGCACAUUGCUAGAAAGGGAUGAUUUCUAAAGCUCUAGAUAACGUUAUUACAACGAGAAGCAAGGUCACCUAUAGUGGAUUGGUUAAUCCAUAUUGCAAGGAUGUUAUUGGCAAUAUUGUUAUCUACGGCUUCAGAAACCAUCCCUUCCUUGCUUAAUUUAUGGAAUCUGUAAUAUACAGAUUGACGCCCCUUGCAAGGAAGGAAUGGUUUCUGAAGCUUUAGGUAACUUUAUCACGACUUGAUGCACGUUGCAAGGCAGGUAUGGUCGUGGAUGAGAAAUCAUCGUCCCCUUUUGAUUUGGUUUAGCAACUUUUGUGUUCGUUGAUUGAAGAUUGCAGACUCAUUGUCUCCUUAGCAUAUUCAUGAAAUUUUGGCUUACAUUAUUUUGAUUUGUUUUUACCAAUUGUGUACAUUUAAUGUUGGAUUCUGUAAGUUUCAAUGUUGAAUUUCGUUAAAAACUUAAGUUUAUUUUCAAUAUUCAAUAUUCAAUAUAGUAUCUAGAUCAAAUGAUUGUUUUCCCCAGUAAGUUCUGAAGUUUGUUUUCAAUAUUGAGAUUAAAAUAAUAUCAAAAAUUAAACUUGUCUAUUUAAUUGAGAUAAAACAAAACUCAAGUAUUAAUUUGAAAUAUCUAAGUGAAACUCUUAAACCUGGACAUUUAAAAUUCGAAGGAAUCCAAUCCCAAGUUUGUAAUUACCGCAUUCGAAACAUAGAUCGAAGAAAAUCCAAAUUUUAUUCUGGGGAGGCAAAGUGGAGAAGCAACCACUCUCCCUAGAAUUGGGAGUUGAUUAGGAAGCUUAAAUCACUUGGAGAGCUAGGUACGAUAAACAACCAAGCCCACAUCAUCAAAAUUAUGUGGAGACUUGAGAGAAUUUUAUAUGACUUGAGAUUAGGUAUCAACGUUUUAUUAAAUUAAGUGAAAAAAAUUCAAAUUAAUUAAGUUGACAAGUCUUUCGAAUCGAGUGAAAUUAUUUGAGUUAAAUUAAAAUAUUGUUACACUAUAAUAAUUUUAUUUUAGAGCACAUAAAUUGAAAACAUAUAUAUUUGAAAAAAAAAUUAAAAUAAAAUAAUAAAAAAUAUAUUCUUAACUUUAUUUAUAUAUUCUCUAAUUUUUUUAAAAAAUUUAGAAUUGUUUAAAAAUAUAUAAGUUUUAGAUUUUUUAUAAAUAUUUUGAAUUUUAAAAUUUAUUUUGAGUUUUUAUUGUAAUUUUUGUUGAAAGAGACUAAUUUGCUCGUUUUCUAAAUUGUAAGACACCAAAGAGUUUUUACACUAAUUUGUUAUUUAAAUUGUAAAAUUUAACUCGACUUAAACUCAAAAUUUAAAUUACUGAUUCGAGCUAACUUGAAUAACUCGAUUCAAUUAACUUGAAGUUCAAUUUUUUUUAAAUUUUUUCGAAUCAAAUUGAGUUUUGUUCACCCCUACUUGGAGGGAUACAUCAUGGAUCCAAAUUAGACCUAUACAUGAGCUUAGUCACCUGGCCUCGCCCAAAAGCCUGUUUGAAAAAUGAAAGAAUUUUGGCAAAAUUAUAAACUCAAAAAAUAAAUUUAGAUAAAAAAAAUGAGACUCUUAUUCAAAAUGGGCUGAAUGUCAGAUAAAAUUUUUUUGUCUUGGCCCGACCCGAGCCAUAUGCUUAAUAGGUCACCGUUUCUUUUCUUUUUUCUUUUCUUUUCCCGAUUAACACCUCUAAAUCCCUUCUCCAGUCCAACACCCACCGACCACCACCGUCAUAGUUAACAGCUCCCGUCACCACCGGUCCACCACACACCCACCGAUCCAUCAUCGUUCACCAAUCACCAUUGUUGCUUCUUGACUGACAACCCGAAGGUAACACCACCAUUUUUGAAUUUUCUUUCUUUCAACUCUUUGUUUUUAAAGCUCUGCCUUUGAAAAAAAAUGGGUUUUUUGAAGCAAUGAGAUUGGUUGUUUUUUUUUCGAUAAAAUGCAUUUAAAAAUGUAGGUUUUCACACUAGUUCAAUUUUGAAAAUAAAAGUGGAAUUGUUAAGCUAGUGAAAUGUUACUCAACAUCGGAUGACUGAUACUGCCUCUGAGUCUUUUGCAUAUUUAGAAUAUUUUGCUGGCACUUUAACAUAGUAUUUUUAAUCUAACAAAUAAAGUUUUUGAAUGGAUGACAUUCAUGAGCUAUGAUGAACUAUAAAGACAAUUCUGUACCAUUUAACCCUAACCACAUGUUAUAUUCCAUUCACUUCAACUCCAAAUAUAUCGCACCCUUGCUGUUGUUUUAGGUUUUCUAACUUGGUGGAACUUUUUCACUAGUUUUAGGUUACUUCCCUUCUACAGUUACCCUGAAAUGAAUUGAUGUAAAAAAUAGGUGUCAUUUCAGUUUGUGGUAGCAUUUACUUUUACUAAUGCUGUUUCAUAUCUUUUGGAAAUUGACAUGCCACCUGUGAUCUUUAUUAACUAAAAAUAAGUAACUAGGACAACAGUGAGGAUAAUAAAAGCUCAAGAAUUGGCUUGCUGCACUUGAUGGACAUUCACUAGUUACUUGGAAGCCCAUGCCAUGCAUGAAGUUCGCUUCUAGUUGGAAAGUCCAUCAAGUGCAGCAAGCCGAGCAAUGAAAGUGCUUGGGAAUGCAAAAAGUACACCAUAAUAACCUAUGCCAAACCACCACCUCCUGUUAGGUCUUAUAAUUUUCCUAACCUCAACACAACUGCUUCGAAAUAGUUUAGUUCUGGAUCUGCUUUCUUCUUGCAAUGUUUUCAUCUGCUCGUUCUUUAUUUUUCAAAUGUGAAGAUGUCAAUGUAAGUGCAUGGUCUGAUGGUUCAUGUGGCAUAAUGGGAUUGUUUCAUUUAUAGGUUUUUAUUUUAAAACCCCCAAUUUGUGAUGACUAGAGUUUUGAGCUUUUAUUACUUUUAGCAAAAUAAACCCCCCAAUUUGUUUUUAUAUAAAAAUAUAAUUUUUUUAAAAUUAGUUUAGGUCCAGCCAGUCUUGGGCUUAAACUUGGACAAAAAAUUAAACUCAUUUUUUGAAUUAGGCCUGAGACUUACAAUUGAGCUUAAAAUUCUGUCAUAUCCUGACUUAUAAAUAGAUCUAAUCCAAAUCCUUGAAUUUUGAUUUCACUCUAUUCCUUUUUCAUCUAUUAAUACCCUAUUCAUGUUUAAUCACUAUUCUCACCAAAUUCUCCUUGUUAAAUUAAAUAUAUUCGUAACCAAGCAAGUCACUACAAGUGCAAAUUUUAGUGUGCCGCCAACGUGGGGUGCUCUAAGAAGAACAAGUCGAGGGGAUACAAUGGGUUAACCGGUUGACUAAGGGUGGGUUUGGAUGGACGGUGAGUUUACUUGCGAUUAGUGUAAAAACAGCGAUAGUGGUGAGAUUAGAUACUGUAGUGAUACUGUAACGUGAGACAAAAAGUAAGUUAAACGCACUGCACCGCACCCAAUCGCCCAUCCAAACUCACCUAAGUUUUGGUUGUGUAAUUGAUCAAGAUUGGCAGACCCUUAAGGAGAGACGAAUAGGAAAUGACAUCUCCGGAAUAGAUGGGAAAGCUUCUCCUCUCAACUGCCAACUCAACCUUAGUGUACUGCAUAGUACGCCAAUUACAACUACUGAAGGAAGGUAUGCCCUUGUUUGAAAAUUACACAGAAUCUAGAAAGUUUACAAUAGGCAGUGCGUAUGAGUUUUGGAUUAUAACAACGUUGGACGAGUGCAGAACCAGGAAUGGUAUUAUCAUGUAUGGCUUGACAAUAACCUCAACGACAAGAACUGGUACCCAAAACCCACAAUACCCUGCCAUCUCAUCUUUGCCAAAACUUUUGACAGUCCUUGUAGGCUAGACAAAUUUCUUGAACGUGCAACUACUGAGUAGCCUAUCCUGUUAAGUUCUUGAGAUGGAGGAAACCCAACCUUGGUGUAAAAUAAAUUCGGCAACGAGGAAUCCUGGCAGGGGAGGAGCUGAAGUUAUUAGGGAUCACAAUGGAAAUUGGGUAAAAGGAUCAUAUCGACACAUACCACAGGCAACAAGCGUGGAAGCAAAACUCUGGACUUGGUAUUAUUAAUAUAUAUACAAGUAGAAGUAGAUGCAACUGCUGUAAUAAGUCACAUUUCAAACGCCAUUACUUCAAUGUGCAAGAAUGAGGUGAUGUAAUUAUUGUUUGUAGUGAAGCACCCUUACAACUAGCUUCCUUCUUGACAAAUACCCGCAAUCUGUAGCUCAAAUAGAACAAAUAGUUUUGAUUUGAAAAUUUUCGUGUGAGUAGUAAUCAAAAUAAACAAAAAAAAUCAGCUCAUGGAAGAGAAUGAAUCAAAAUUUGCAUUUCAUGUAAAAACUUCAUGCCUUGCGUUAUACAACAAUCAUAUUUAGCCUAAAACCCUCAAAUUUCUGAAAUUUGAAAAUUAAAGUAACAAAGACUAAAUUAAAACCAAAAUCCCAUUUAUCAAAAACAACAAUCACAAUCAAAUGGGCAUAGUGGCGUACUUCCAGCAUCAGAUUUACUAAUACCCAAUUCUUCUUCAGUGUAAAUUGCAAAACCAUCUGCUGUUCUUUUCCGAGGCCGAGAAGAAGAUUCAUUGAAUCCUCCUUCCCUGUUGGUUUCUUUACUCUUUUUACUCUUCUUUUUCGACGAUUUGGGUUUUGAAAUUUCAUCGCCGUUCGGUUUCUCGGACCCUUUCGGGUCGGGUUUCUUCCUCUUUUUACCUGCAAAUAUCUCGUCGAUUUCGUUACCAGCCACUUUAGAAGCUGAAUUAUUCUGUUCUGGAACAGAUUCUUCUUUUUUAUUUUUUGCUUUUCUAGAAGGCGUCGUUGAAGAACCCUUCUUCGCCAUUAGGUUGAAUCUGCAACUUCAAAACAAAAAAUUAUAGCAUACGAAGAACUGAAAUCAACAAAAACGAAACUUGAAGAAAUAUUAAAUAUAUUUAUUAAAAGAAAAAAUAAUACGAAUGUUGUGUCAGAGAACACAUUAUCAGCACUGGAAAUCAGACAGGGAUAACUGUAAUAAUAUUAAAUUUUCUCAUCAUUCACAACAUCGUUUCAAAAAAAGUUGUUUCAAGGAAUCUUCGACGAAUAAACGGAUUAAAUCCCGAAAAAAGAAAAACCCAGAGAAGGAAAUAUCGUCCUAUGGAUAUAAAAAGUAAUUAUCACUGGUGCCUCCUACCUCGCAGUGAGAUCCAAGAAGAGAUUACGAUAUGGUUUUCUCCUGAACGGAAACAAAGAAGCAGAAACAAAACGAAGCGGAGGAGUGUGAGACUGAGUUUAUUUGAAACCCUAAAUUGGGUAAAAGAUGAUUAUAUAUAUGCCCUUUGUUUCGGGUUAAGGGUUUAAGGCUGGGCUUUCUCAAAUGUUUAGGCUUUUGCUUAUAAAAUGGACCUUUUUUCUUUCGGCCUUCUUGUGAAUGUAAUAUAGAUUGUAUGAUUAAAUUAAUAUUUAGGUACUCUUAAUUAUUUUUUCUAAUAUUUACGUCUAAGUUUGCUAUCAGUUUCUAUAUUAUUUGCAUAUUUAGCAUUUUAUAUUUUAUUAUUUUAAAAAUAAUAAUAAUCUUUUUACUCUUAAUUGAAGUCCAAUAAUUUCGACAAAAAAAUUUAAUUAAGUUGGAUUAAGUAAUAUCCUUUUAGAAAAUUGUUCGUGAUAAUUUUAAAUAGUAAUAUAUGAUAAGUAGAAAUGCUCAUGAGUCAGGUCGGGUCAGGUUGCGUUUGGGUCGGAUCCAUGUAAGGUAUUUAGAUUAAUUUUUUAAGCCCGAGUCUGGCUCAAGCUCUUAAUUUAAGAAAAGUAAACUCGGGCUUGACCCGACUUCCCAUGUUUAAUUUUUUUAGAUUAAUUUUAUUUAAAUAUAAUAUAUAAUAUAAUAAAAAAUGUUAAAAUAAAACUUUCUAACUUUCAUAUUUAAAAACACUACUAUAAAUAUAAUAAUUAUCUUAUUAAAUUGAAAAACACAAAUAAAUCUAAUAAAUAUUUUAUUGUAUUAAAUAUAAUUUUAAAAUUUUAUAUUUUUGAGUUGAACAAACCCCUCCAUCUAAAAUAAAUAAAUAAAAAAAUCUUUGAGGGCAUUAUCAAUUAAAUUUCAAAUAAAUAUACUACGUUCUAGGAUUAAAAGUAAAAAUAUUAAAUUUGAAAUGCGUGACUAAGCGAUCCACUUAUAAAUUUAAAAUAUUCUCAAUUAAAAAAGUUUUUCUUUUUCCAUGAAAAUAGAAUCAUAAUGAAUUAUUUAUAUUAUGUAUUAAUAUUGUAGAGAAACCACAUUUAAAGUGAUAAAAUUAUUGCUGGUUGUCAUCAUAAACCAACGUUUAAGUCCUACGUUACUCAUCCCCUUUCAUCACUACAUCUCAACACUUCAAAAAUUUUCAUAAAUCUAUGGAAACAUUCAAAUAUAAACCCAGAAAUCAGUGUUGGAUUUCACCAUGUUAUGAUAUAAUAAUGUUCCCAGGUCUCUCAUUACUAAUUAAAUCUCACUCAUACGCCGGGAAUGGGAAACUGGGUGGUAAGUGCUUCGACUCUACUACAAAGAUUGGACACCUUAUCCGUCAACGGAAAAUCAGGAGACGAGACAAACUUCAAGAACUCUUGGACCUUUGAUCCAGAAGCUAAUCCCUUAGCCUCAAUAGUGAUUUGCACGCCCUCAUGGAUGAAUUCAGCAAUAGCCGUGAAUUCCUUUUCUGUAAAUCCUCUGGUAGUCAUUGCAGGCGAUCCAAUGCGAAUGCCACCCGGCACAAGUGCACUCUUAUCCCCUGCAAAUUUUGAGAUGUAUCAAGGAUUGGUAUAAAUACAUAUAAAAAGGGAAAAAAAAUUAAUUAUAAAUGAACGGUAAAAAAGGGGAAUAAGGAAGAACUUACCAGGCACCGAAUUUUUGUUCAAGGUGAUAGAGGCCAUGUCAAGUAUUUUCUCCACCCGAGCCCCAUCAAUACCCUGUUGCAGGAGUUCAUUGAUAUAAAGGAGGCAAAAGGAGUUUAGGGUGUCUACAAGAGAAUAAGAAAAACAUGAGAUCCUACGCCUCUAGACUUGUCAAUUGGGCAGAUCAGGUUGGUUUUGAUCAGGUUUAUUUGGGUUUUUGAAUUUUUAGGUUCGUCAGUUUAAGGUUCAAGUUAUUUAGGUUGGGGCUAUUUAGGGCUUUUUGGGCCAAGUUAUUUUCGGUUCAGGUCAAAUUCGAGUUCAGAUCAAUUUGUAUUUGGGUUGAGUGGAUUCAGAUUGUUGACUUUUUAUAGCCAAAUUGUGUAAGGUUGGUCAAGUUGAGUCAGGUUUUCGGUUUUGAGUCAAUUUUGACAAGUCUAAAUGCCACUCAAGUUUUGCAUGUCUCACAGAGAUGGUAACUUACCAAUGGCCUUAGAUCCACAAGCACAAGGUGAUUAUCACUACCACCAGAAACUAGUGUAUAGCCAAGUUCAACCAAUCGCCUUGCAAGAGCUCUACAAUUAGACACUACCUGCAGCAUGAAGUACCCAUAUUUUGACUUAAUCACCACAUAACUUUGCCUCUUUAUUUUUUAUUACUCAUCUUUGAAGGAAAGUACCUGAUUCUGGUAAGCCUUGAACUCGGGUGAUUGUGCAUGUUGCAAGCAAACUGCUAGUCCUCCAAUUGUGUGGUUAUGAGGUCCACCCUGCAUAUACAAACAUUAUGCUUCUCAUGACUAGUUUCAUAACUUGAAAGCCGGCAGAAGGAUGGAAUGGGGAAUUCAGAUUAGUAAUAGGAGCAAAGGAGACCAAUCAAACCAACCUGUAAACCUGGAAAAACAGCAUUAUUGAUAGCAGAUUCCAGAUCAACUCCAAGAACAGGGUCCUUCUUGAAGAAGAUCAUGCCACCUCUUGGGCCUCUCAAAGACUGGAAAUGAGUAAAGAAAAUCAAGUAGGUUAUUCAAACGGACAUAUUAACACAAACAAAGUAAUAGUACUAUUUAGAACAUACAAGUAUCGGUGAGAUUAUUGGCAAAGCAGCUUAUUUAAAUUCUAAUGCACAUGAAAACUAAAUCAUGAUCAAAACAACGUGAAGACAUUCUUCGCUACACAAGGGCAAGUGAAAUAGGGAAAGAAUCAAGCGAGAUUUACCAUGCUACAAGGUAGUAGAUUUUCUCAAGUACCCUUAAAUAUUAAUGUUUCAACAAGCAAAACUAGCACUAUGUGAAGUGAAUUUAACAUGCAUAUAGUUCAAGACAGCAUUUGAAAAUAUUCAUCCCAAACCUUGUGUGUGGUUGUUGUCACGAUAUCACAAUAUUCAAAGGGGUCAGCAACUACAGAAGCAGCAACAAGGCCACUUAUAUGAGCCAUAUCCAUCAUGAGAAAUGCACCAACAGCAUCUGCGAUCUUCCAACAGAUAUCAAUUCCAAUAAGUUAAAUGCUUAAAAUAAGUCACUAAAUGAUAGUAAAGUAUGGCAGACUAUAUAGCACAACCAACAAGCACAUCAGUGCUUACCUUCCUCAUGCGAGGAUAAUCAAAAUCUCGAGGAUAUGCACUGGCACCACAGAUUAUGAGUUUUGGUCGAAAGAGGGUAGCUGUUUUCUCAAGCAUGUCAUAAUCAACUAGGCCUGUUCCAAAUUUAAGACAAAUCAAAUCAACCACCAAGUAAGCAUACCAACCACUAAACCAAUUAAGUCUUAACAAUAACGAUGAGUUACCUGUGGAUUCAUCAAGCCGAUAAGGCAUUGACUCGAAAUAGAUUGAUGUACCAGAUACACGUCUUUUAGGAGUCAUAAAUCCAUGUGACAAAUGUCCGCCAUGUGGUAAGUCCAAACCCUAUACCAGUUACAUUAAGAAUCAUUUAUAUGUGCACUAUCCAACAGAGAGAAGCAGCAGAGUCGGGCAGAAGUAUCUUACCAUUAUUCGAUCAUGCGGAUUAAGAAUUGCUGUAUAAACCUCAAAAUUAGCAGGAGAACCAGACAAUGGUUGAACAUUAACGCCCCACUUAUUUUCAUCCAAAUGAAAUGCUGCCAAAGCCCUCUUUUGGCAAAGUAUUUCAAGUUCAUCAAUGUACUCAUUGCCCCCAUAGUACCUGCAAUAAAAAUUAAGAUCAUUAGCUGCAAAUAAUAAAUCCAAAAACACGAAGAUCACAUCUCUAUGCAUUUAGCUUAACUCGAUAUACCUUUUACCAGGUAGUCCUUCGGAAUACUUGUUUGUGAGACAUGACCCAACUGCCUCCAUUACUGCUCGGGAUGUAAAGUUCUCCGAGGCAAUAAGCUCAAGGCUUUUGAACUGCCUCUCUUUCUCCUUGUUAAUAAUAGCACGAACCUCGGGAUCGGCUUCACUGAGGCCAUGGUCCACAAAUCUGGUUUCGGCCACAGGGAAUGAGUCCGAAGAGGGAGGCUUCCCAGUAACCAAGCUACUUUCAAGUUGAGCUCUACAGGGUUUGACAGAGUUGAGCUUAAGACCAUACCCUUUUAAAGGAAAAAUUGGUCUAUUCCCUUUGACCCAUAUGGGCUGUUGCAAAGAACCCAUCAUUGCAGCUCCAUUACAAGCCUGCAUUUUGACUUCGCACUAGUAUUUCUCACAAAUAACCUGCAAAUUUACAACAGAAUAACACAUAGAAUUAAAAUAAGAAAUUCAAUUCAUCAUCAAUUAAUUUAUAUGUUAGAGCAGAAAAUGAACAGCUAUUAAGACUUAAAUAAUCCCAUGAGAAACAGGCAAAAAGAAAAAAAGGUAAUUUCCUUUUAGAACUUGACCAUUACCAAUUCUUCUGUUAACCCAAAACACGAAAACUAAAGAACAGCAAUCUAUCUUAAGUUAAAAUACAGAUAAUAAACAAAUAUCUCAAUAACUGGAUAUGAAAAUUAGAGAGAGCAACGAAUUAAACAAAAUUUUAAGAAAGAAGGGCAUACUUGUUGGAAGGGUUCUCUUUUUUUUCUCUCGCGUUUUCUUUUUGGGUGCAAUGGAUUGAAGUGGCUCAAACUCUAAAACCCUAAAACUCGACAGCGGUGUGCUUUAGUAUAGUGGCAAAGAAGAAAAUUGAAGAGGAUUAAUUGCAGUAUAAGUCCUACAUUAUGAUACAAAUUUAAAUUAAUCCAUAAACCUUAAAAGGUUGAAUUUGAUUUCUCAAAGUACUAAUAUUGUACAAUCAUAUCUUUCCCUCAUCCUAACAUCGAUUUCAACAUUAAAUUUUAACGUGAAGUAUAUUUAAAGUUGAUAAAUAAAAAUUUUAAUAUGUAUAUACUUAUUACAUGAAUAGUUUAGAUUUGAUGAUUAUUAUCACUAAACUUUACAAAGAUUUUUUUUAAUGUGUCAAAUUUAAACUGUCAAUGUGAUAAAUACAAACGUGUUUAUAAUUUGACUAAAGUAUUUUUAAUAUACUUCGUGUCAAAUUCAAGACGAUAUUUAAUGUUUAAUUUUUAAAAAAAUAAUUAAUUUAAUAUUAACACUUUAAUAUUUCAAUUAAAAUAUUUUAAAUUUCAAAUACUAAUCUAGUGAAUUACCCUAAUUAAUAAAUAAAUGAAAAAGACGAACGGCGCCGAAAAUGGAAUGAUAGCGGAGAUUUGGGUUGUUGUCUUAUAAGGGUUAUAAAACCUUCCAUGCGGGUUGUUCCAUUGUAUCUACUCGUAUGUACCAGCUCUGAUGUUGCCACUUUUCCUACUAAGUCCUGAUUAAGUGAUAUUGGAUAUAGAGAGAAGGGGGGGGGGGGAAUCAACUACAUGAAAAUGCCACAUUCUUCAAUUAUGCUAAGAAAAAAAAGUGCAUACCAAAUUUGUAAGGUUUACCAAAAAUGCUAAUGGUUAGAAAUUUGGGUAAACUACAUAGAAAGUUACCAAAUUGUUAAUAAAUUUAUGUUGUAGUCACUUAAAUUUAAAAAGUUAUAAAAUGAUAAUUAAAUUAUUUAAAAGUUCUCAUAUGAAUUAUUAGAUUGUUAAAAUUGUUGUUGUAUGACUUUCUCCGUUUAUACCGUCUGCACCAAUUAAAAUCUCUUUUUCUUCUUCUCUUUUGCAAUUCAAUUUUUUUUAAAUGAAUAAUUUUGAACAUAAUGAAUUUAGGAACUAAAAAUCAAAUAGUUUUCUUCUCUAAUCUUCCAAACUAACCAUCAAAUCAACUUGAAUUUAAAGUAUGUUUUCUAUAUCAAUCAUCAAAUUGUGGCUUGGAGUUCACUAACCAAACUUACUCAAACUACUCCUCUUUCUCCAAGCUUAUCUUCCACUAUUCUCCAUCAGUUUUGAUCAAAUUUAGGAGGAGGUCUCAAGAAAUUAACUAUAACUAUGCAAUUAAAAACUGGUUUAAACGAAAAUUUUGACCUUCCAUAAUGGUCUUUAGGCAUUUCUUAAACUUGAAAUUUUCAAAUAAUAGCAGAAAAUAUUCAACGUAAUUUGAAAUUAGAAAGGAAAUGAACGUAAUUUCAAUAUAAAAAAAAAUUGAAGAAGCCAAUGAACAAAGCUGGCGGAAGAAAAGACAACCAAGUUACCAACUCCACCUUUCAUACUAUUAAUACAUUGGAUUAAAAAUAUUUUAUAUAUUACAACACCUGACACUAGAGGUGAUCAUGGGUUGGGUGGCCCAACCCAACCCGACCCAAUAGCCAUCCGAAAUAUGGGAGAGUUCGGGUAAAAAUAUAGGCCCGAAAUAUGAGUUUGGGCAAAAAACAUGGCCCGUUUAGAAAACGAGCCGGGCCUCGGGCAAACUUUUUUUGGUCAGCCUGGCAUAUAAUAAAUAUAUAUUUUUUAAAUACAUUUCCCUAUUUCCCAUUUCCCUAAGCCUGUGCACUGAUCAAAAUCCCUAAGCCCUUCCCUCCUCCCUUUUUUCCCCAAUUCGAAAAUCCACCUCCACCAAUCCACCAUUCCACCUUCGGUCCUCCACGGCUCCACCCAUCCACCAUUCCACCUUCGGUCCUCCACGGCUCCACCCAUCCACCAUUCCACCUUCGGUCCUCCACGGCUCCACCCAUUUCCAGAAUCAGAGGUUAGAGCGGUGCUUCUACGUCUUCUACCUUUGAAUUUCAAAUGUGAGUUUGCUGCUGUUAACAAUGUUAAGUUGUUAACCCUAGUUUAUUCAACAUGUAGUUUUUUACUUUUUGCUUUUUUAUUUUUGGAUUGAUGAGCUGAUUGAUCUCUGUUAUAUUAAUUUGACCAAUAGGGUGCUUUGAUUUUCUGCCUGUAAUUUAUAUACUGAUGUUGUUUGGAUCCUUUAUCCUGAUAAAGGAGGAAUCUUUUUGGGUGGUUAGGGUUAGGGUUUGGGAUGUUUUGGUAAUUGCUGGGGAAGGAUUGGUGUUUUGAUAAUAUGAUAUAUGGUGGUUUUCUAAUUUUGAUUUUAAGACACAGAAUCUUCCGGGGGAAUUAAAUCUGGAAUUUUGGAAUCUGUAUUCUGGAUUGUAUGCUCAACCUUUUGAAUUAGCAUUGGUUUACAUCUUUCACGGAUGCUUAGUCAAACCCAUUUUCCAUGCUUUACUAAUCUUGUGUCUGCCUUGUAAUCUGCACAUUGGUCGUUGUAUGGAUGCUGUAAGGGCCCCUCCUCCUCUUUGCCUGCUUAGUCUUGAGUUGAUUUUUUGCAAUAUCAAAGAGAAAGAGUUGUCUUCUUUCGAAAGUGAUGCUAGUGAGGAUAAAGACAUGAUCAUCACACUCCCAAAAAUCAAAGAGUUGAACUUGAAUGUGAUUAACAACAUAUGGAAGCAAGACUCCCCAUCUUGUGAUAUGUGUUAUUACAGAAUGUUGAACCGUCUGAAGAAAAGCAUGAAGAUAGCCUUUAAUUGCAUGAAGCUGGGCUAAUCGGACAAAAAUAGUGGUUCAGCAAGUGACACACAGUCGGGAUCAUGUUCAAAAUGAAAGGCCAGAUGGUGAGGCAUUUUAAUCAGGUUCUUAAAUGGAAAUUUCAUGUGUGCAGAUAUUAAAUAUUGACUUUUCAAGGAUUUGUGAGAUUUUUAUGGUUUUAGAUGCAGGGGAUUAUAUUUUCUGCAUUCUUUGUUUUUUUAGACAAUUUAAACCUGCUAAGAGGAGACUUUUUCAGCCUUCUUUUCCUCACAUAUGUAAUAAUGGUGAUUCAUGCGCCAUUUGGUUUAACAAAGCUGAAUAUUAUGCAUUUAAGUUUGGAUUGCAGGUAUAAUUGUUGAUCUUCUUGGCAGUCAAUGUUCUUUGCAACCCAAAAUAUGUAAUAUAAUAUAUUAGCCUACUUUAUUUUCCAUUAUAAUGUCAAGAGGUAUUUACUUUACAGAGUUGAAUACUCAUUUUUCUUUGCUGGUAGCAUUCUAUUCUCUAGUUUGCAAAUUGCAGUCACAAGAACAAAAACGACCCUACUUAUUAUUUGCGUACGUUUUAUGGCUCCAUUAUCUUCUAACUGCUGUAGAAAAAAAAAAGGCUGGGUCCGGGCUUACAAAUUUUUUCUUGGGCCGGGCCUGUACAAAAUUUUAGGCCCAUAUUUCGGGCCAGACCUGGGCUUAGAAAGCGGGCCAAAAAUUUUUCAGGCCCGGUCCAUUAUCACCUCUACCUGACACUUGACAGAGAUUAAAUCUUAUAACUUUUAAUUUUUUUCCUAUAUAGUUAUAUUUUAUAAUAUUUUUUCCUAAAUUUUAAAUAAUAUCUCAAUAUUUUUGUAUUAUUAUUAUUAUUAUUAUUAUUAUUAUUAUUAUUAUUAUCAUUUUCAAGUGUCACAAUUAGACCUAAUCAUGAAUCAGGUAGAGUUUUGGUGGAGCUAAUGCAAAUUUUUAGGCCCGUUUUCUAGGUCUCGACUUGAAAAAUAAACUUAAAAUUUUGUUUAAGCCCGACCCAGAUAAAAAUACUAAACUUGAGCCAACUCGGCCCGUCAUAUUAAAAAAAUUAUAUUAUUUUUUAUAUAAAAAUGAAUUUUAAAUAGUAAUACAUCAAAUUUAUUAAAAACAUUAAAAUAAAUUAUUCCCAACAAAUUAAAAAUAUAUUUUAAGAAAAAGUCUUUAUACUUAAAUAACACUAAAAUAGUUGCAAAUUAGUAAGCAAAUGUCUCUAAAAUAGUAAGAAAAUUAAUUACAAAACAAAAGUUAUACAAUAUCCAAACAAUAACAACAGAAAAGUGGUAAUAACAAAAUGGCAACAAAACAACAUUAAAAUGGAAAUAAACAACAAUGAAAAAUUUUAGGCAAAUUCGGGUAGGUCCGGGCUCGAGCCAAAAAAAUCUUACUCGAGGCCUAACCCGUUUAGAAAAUGGGCCUUAAUUUUUUUGUUGAAACCCAUUUUUCAAGUAUAUAUUUUUGGCCAAACUCUCUCACUUUUCGAGUGGGCUUUUGAGCUUGGGUGAGUGGCCCAACCCAUGAUCAGGUCUAGUUACACAUGAUAGAGAUACUUGAAAAUAAAAAAAGGGUCAUUAAAGUUAACGGUCAAAGGAUAUUUUUAAUGCAUUUUACCCGUUUAAAUACUCAAUUGAGUAAAAAAAAAAUAGAAGCUUAAUUGAUUUUUUUGAAAAAAUUUAAAAACUUUUUACACCCUUAAGCCUUCUAUUUUUUUAAGUAUAUUUACCAAGUUCACAAUAAUUUGGUUAAUUCCAUAAGUACACCAACAAUAAAUUUUGACAAAAAAUUUAAUUAUGUCAUCUAUAAAGUAAAAUAUUUAAAUAAAAAAUAAAAAAAUUAAUCUUAGAUAAACUAUAAAAAUAGUCACUUAACUAUUAGCGUAUUUCUAUUUUGAUCAUAUAGGUUUAAAAAAUUUUAUUUUAACCACUAACAUUACUGAAAUUUAAUAUUUUGCUUACUCAUUCAUUAUGAAAGAUUUUUUAUUGACAUAAUAACAAAUUUAUCUAUUCAAUAUUAACAUAUUCUAUCAAUUUGGUCUUAAUUCUAAAAAUUCAACAAAUUUAACCUCAACUUUACACAUUUUGAUAAUUUAGUCUUGAUUCUUAAAUUUUUAAAAAUUAAAAAAUAAAAAUAUUUAAAUGUUUAUGUUUUUGAUAAAUUUACAUAAGAUUUUAUAAAAAUACAUACAAAAUUAUAAAAAUAUUUAUAAAUAAAUGAAUACCCAUUUUUCUAACACGAAAUUUAUUUAUUAAAAUAAUAUUUUAUAAAUAAAAUAAUAAUCUUAUACAUAAAACAAUUUAAGGAAAAAAAACAUAAGAAGACUUGUAACACUACACACUUGACCAAGUCACCAAAUUCGAAUGUAUGAUGUCACAUUAUGUUAUCGAAACAACUUGAACUAACUUAGCACAUGUUCACAAAGUUUAGAUCAUAAUUACCAUGCAUAACAAUUAAAUCACCCAUUAUGUUCAUAUACGUGCAUUCAUUUAUACAUAGGAUUCUAAUUCAAUACGUUACAAGUUAUUGUGGGGUUGAUUUUAGAGUUAGGACUCAAAUCCAACUCAAUUAUCAAGUUUCAAUGAUAUGUCUCGAGACAGACCUCAUUAUAUUUUAAGAAAUUAUUUAUUUAUUUUGCUUCGAUAAUGCCAUGUCUCGAGACAUUAGAAUCCAUUUCGCAAUACAAGGUCCCUCAUGUCUCGAGACCAACCUUACUUAUUUUCUUAUUUUAGUUUCAAUGUUUGAAUGCCUCGAGACAAUGAGUUCUUGUCUCGAGACCUAAAACUGGACAAAAUUUAUUAGUUUUGAUGUGUAUGGUAAAUUUUGUUCCAACUGUCUUGAAACAGACUCGAAAGAUGUCUUUCUCGAGACUUGAUGGUGAAAUGACCCUAAAUGCACAUUUUCAAGUACCUAAAUCAUACCAAAUGGUACCAUGAACAUACUUAAACUUUACACCAAUAUAAAACCACCAAUUUGGCACAUUCAAACACAAUCAAAGAUCAUCAAAUCAUAUCUUAUUGAGUAUGAGUCCUAUUUCAAUCAAAUUUGAGAAAUAAUCUUCCAGUUAAACUCUAUUUAUUUGUUUCAAUCAAACGCUGAUUAGUCUAGAUUAUUUUUUUAUUAUUUGACCUAUAAAUUUAGCCUAUAAAUAGACUCUUUUACAAUCUUAGAAAAUACACCCAUUAGAUAUUAGAACUCAUAACACUUUUAGAGAAUUUUGUGUUUACGUUUUGAGGGUUCUUUGCUUUUUGGGUUUCGGGGUUUAGUUUUUAUCUCCAUAUUUGUACUCUUUGUUCUUCUGCCAUUAUAGUAUAAUUAUCUUUACCCGUGGUUUUUUAUCCUCUUGGGAGGGGUUUUUCCACAUUAAAUUUGUGUGUUUAAUUUUUUAAUUAUUUCCGCUAUUUUUACUUAUUCGUUACUUAAUUGGGUUAAUUCUCGACAAGUGGUAUCAGAGCUAGUUCAAAUUUCGUAGCUCAACCCGUUCAGAUAUGGCAGCAACAAGGUUUGAAAUUGAGAAGUUCGACGGUGUCACAAAUUUCAAUCUGUGGCAAGUUUGGAUGAUGACAAUUCUAGUUCAAACUGACCUAAAAAAAGUUGUUACCGAGAAAAAACUUGAGAAUUUAAAUAAAACAGAAUGAAAAGAGCUUGAUGAAAAGGCAUUGUCUGCAAUCCAGUUGUGCCUCGCAAAUACGGUAUUGCAGGAGGUAUUGAUGGAGAAGACCUCAUCUGCCUUGUGAAAAAGGUUAGAAACUCUUUAUGCGACUAAGUCUUUGGCUAACUAUUUAGUGUUGAAACAACGUCUAUUUACGUUUCGCAUGAACAAAUGUGAGCUUCUUAGAGAUCACAUCAGUCAAUUCAUUACUCUUUUAAAUGAUUUAAAGAAUGUUGAGGUUCAGAUUGACAAUGAAGAUCAGACUAUGCUAUUAUUGUACUUUUUACCCCUUUUAGGGAGACCCUAAUUUAUGGUAGAGACAAACUCUCGUUCGAAGAUGUGAAGGGUCAUUUUGUUGAGUUAAUACAAACUCGACAAUGAGUUUGGUUCAGAUAGCAAGGCAGAUAGGUAAGCUUUCGUUUUGGUAACAUCAAAGAAGCAAGACAAAAGAUGCUGCUAUUAUAAAAAGUUAGGUCAUGUCAAAGUAGAUUGUUAUAAAUUGCCGAAUAAAAGAGUUGCUGAGAGUAAUGAGGAAGAUGUAGAUGGUGCUAAUUUGGCCGAUGAAAGCAGUGAUGAUUUUUUGUUAGUGUCAACGAGCGAUAACUCCAAGCUUACGUCCGAGUGGAUCCUAGAUUAGAGAUGUUCUUUCCACAUGUGUCCCAAUAGAGAAUGAUUCUCCACAUACAGUUUGGUUGAAGGUGGAUUUGUGCGCAUGAAAAACUAUUCAUCCAGUAAGGUAAUUGGUAUUGGUACUGUUUAAAUUAGGAUGCACGAUAAGAUGAUUAGGACACUCUCAGAUGUCAGGUAUGUACCUGAUUUACGAAAGAAUAUCAUCUCCUUAAGUAUUUUAGACUCAAAAGGUUGCAGAAUCAACAUCGAGUCAAGCGACAUUAAGGUGUCACGUGGGGCUCUUGUUUUGUUAAAAGGUAAAAUGACCGGUAGUCUUUAUGACUGGUAGGUUCUAUAGUGACUGGUGAAAUCAGACGUCCCUCGUCCAUUAUGAAGUUGAAGUCAACUUGUUUAGAGCGGAGGCAACUUGGUCAUAGAAAGAAAAAAGGUAUGACCGUUUCAUUGAAGAGAGGUACUCUUUUGGAUGCAGGUUUCGAAAAGUUAGGGCAAUGUAUUCGUGAAAAUUAGGGUUAGUUUUGAUUUGGCAGUGUACAAGUCAAAGACUAGAAGUCUUCCAGUUUCUAAGCUCAGAUUCGACUCAGUUAAUUCUCUGCAUAGUUCAAGAUAGGCCCGUGGCAGGCUUUGGCAAAGAUGGCGUUGUGGAAAUAUGAGUUAAGGUGGAGAUUUGUUGAGUAUGAUUCCUAUUUCAAUCAAAUUUAAGAAAUAAUCUUCCAGUUAAACUCUGUUUAUUUGUUUCAAUCAAACUCUGAUUAGUCUAGAUUAUUUUUUUAUUAAUUGACCUAUAAAUUUAGCCUAUAAAUAUACUCUUUUACAACAUUAGAAAAUACACCCAUUAGAGAUUAGAAAUCAUAACACUUUUAGAGAAUUUUGUGUUUACGUUUUGAGGGUUCUUUGUUUUUUGGGGUUCGGGGUUUAGCUUUUAUCUCCAUCUUUGUACUCUUCGUUCUUUUGCCAUUAUAGUAAAAUUAUCUUUGCCGGUGGUUUUUUAUCCUUUUUGGAGGGAUUUUCCACGUUAAAUUUGUGUGUUCAAUUUCUCAAUUUCUUCCUCUAUAUUUACUUGUUUGUUGCUUAAUCAGAUUGAUCCCUAACACUAUCAAUGCAUCAAUGCCCAACCAACUAACUUGCAUAAUCAAACUCAUAUAAACUAGGUUAACUAUCAACUUAAUUACAUGUCAUAUAACCAAAACACAUAUAAAUACAUACAAAAUACUAAAUAGGCAACAAGAUAUAUCUUGAGUUGAGUUGUUGAUUUGGAUGCUUGACCACUUCAAAACUACAUCAACUCUCAUCCGAGUUCUGUACAUGAAGAUAACAAAACCAUAUGCCGAGUAUUGAAUACUCGAUGGUGCUAAUAUAAAUUAAAUUCAAUAUAUUAAGAUUAAAUUAAGACAAGUAUAUGAAUAUGACUUCAACUACAUUACUUUACUUUAUUACAAGAUCAAUAACCACAUAACUUCUCAAUCAAUACUUAUUUCAAUAUCUUAUAAUUUCAUAUCAUCGUGAACUCAAUAAUUCAACAUGUCAUUUAAUAUAAUUUUCUUACUUACUUAUUUCGGCCUCUAUUAACUGACGCUAGACAUUAGUUAAAAUAUUCGGAUCUAUAUACCAAGUAAAUCCACGACCCUCUCAGAAUAUUGGGAUUAUUCAAUCUAAAUAUCAAUAUAAAUCCACGACUCUAUGGGAAUUGAAGUUACUCACGUCCCCCUAGGAAUUGGAGUUAAACCAUUGAUAUCAAUGACUCUAUGGCAUGCCAACUAUACUUAGACUAUGUCUUACAUCAUUUAACAAUACAUAAUCAUUAUUAUCACCAUUAUCACGCAAUUCAAUAUGAUAUCAAUAUCUCAAUAUUAUAUAUACAUUUAUAUCAAGCAUAUAUAUAUAUAAAAAUCAUAAUUCCAUCAUUCAUAUCUUGAUUUCGACAAUCAUGAUAUAAAAAAUUGAAAGAUACUAUUAUCUUGCCAUUUGUUUUGUAUUUAUUUAUAACAAUUAAUUAAUCUAUGAAUAAGUUAUUAAAAGUGAAUUAUAGAAGCACAAACCAGAAUAUCUAUUUAUGUACAGCUUUGGACUUCCUUCAUCCCGAAAUCAUCCUACUUCGUCUUUAGCAAUUCUUUAGUUAAAAGCCACGGCAAUGGAGAGCUUAAAAACAAACUUCUCCCUAUUUUGUGUCUAAGUUUCGGUGGAAAGAAGGAGAAAAUGAAAUCUUUUCAUCCAUUCUCAUUUUCUAAUAUACAUCUAAUAUGUAUUAUUAAAUUAAAACAAAAUAUCUCAUCCAAGGGUUGAGAUUUUAUUACGAAAGUGUGAGUGGAAUUUAACGGCAUGGAUCAUGCCUAUCCACUAACCCACUUUUGAUUAUGGGAAAAUUUGAAAUAAGUCCUUGGUUAAUUUGCUAGAUAAGGCCAUAAGUAUUUCUUUAAUCAAUUAUCAUUUGUGUGACCCCUUUGCAAGGUAGCCCCUAUACUAUGUUUAAUAUCCGAUUUAAUUUAAUCCCACUUAAUAGUUCGACCCUAUAUUUCCUUAUCCGAUAUGUAAACAUUCGAUUCUAAUUUUUAGCUGAUUCAUUUUAAUUAAAACCGAUUUCGAAUCAGAUUUUCCAACACCAUUAAAAUCGAGUUGUUACAAGAAGCAAAUUCAACUUUUCCAUUUUUUCAAUAUUAACGAUCAUUAUGUUCAAGUUGGGUCAAAAGCUAUAGCCUAAGGGUGGGCACAAUUGGGGAUAAUACAGGUGAGAAUGAAGUCUUAUGGUGGGUUUGGAUGGGCGAUUGGGUGUGGUGCGGUGCGUUUAGCUUACUUUUUGUCUCACGCUACAGUAUCACUACAGUAUCUAAUCUCAUCGCUACCGCUAUUUUUACACUAACCGCAGGUAAAAGCACCCCCAUCCAAACUCACUCUUAGACAUCUAGUAGGUGGAAGGCCAUGCCAGCAGAGCCACAACCGAUUCCUAGUCGGAUGGUACGAUGACGGUGGUGCCAAGGGUUGUGGGAGAAAGCAGUACCCAACGCUCGACAAAUUUGGUAAGGACUAAAGAACAAGGCCAAAUGUAUAAUAAAUUAUUUAUUAUUUAUAAAAUAAAAUUAAAAAAGAAAAAGUUUAAAUUCAGUUUAAGUCUUGUUUAUGAUUUUUUUAAUAUUUUAUUUAUAAAAUAAUAUUUUAAUAAAUAGAUUUCAUGUUAGAAAAAAAAUGGGUAUUCAUUUAUUUAUAAUUUUGUUUGUAGUUUUAUAAAAUCUUAUGUAUUUUUAUUGAAGAAAAAAUGAAAAUUUCAUGAUAUAUAUUUUUUAUUUUUAAAGUUUCUUAAAUUUUUAAAAUAUAAAAAAUCAAGAAUAAAUUAAUAGAAUUUGUAAAAUUGGUGGUUAAAUUCAUUGAAUUUUUUAGAAUUAGGACUAAACUAAUAGCUAAAUUUGAUAUUAUGCCAAUAAAAAAAACUUAUUUUAGUGUAAUUUAACAGAUGAGUGACCUAAAUAUUAAAUUUCAAUAAGACUAAAAUAAAAAAUUAAAAAAUUAAAAAAUCAAAUAAAAAUACGCUAAUAAUUAAGUCACUAUUUGUUAACUUUAAGUAAUCUUUAUAUUUUUACGAAUUGUUCACAUUAAAUAAUCUUUAUAUUUUGACCUAUUUUGCGUGAAUCCAACUGAACUGGUGGGGGGAUCAUUUGAAGUAAGAACCAACCAAAGCAUUGAUCAAAGAUGGACAUCAAAUCAAUUGAUCUAAAAAUAAGUUGAACUCACUAUAAAACGGGUAGAACGGAAAUUUUUAACUUUUAUAAAUUUUCUAAUGAUUUAAUGAUUUAUUCAAUUUAUUGGACAAACUGGUCCGACCACCAAUUUGGUUUUGAAAUCAUAAAUUUUGAUUGAAAUAAAACAAUUUCCAAACGGUGAAGUUAAUCAGAAGGCUCCCAAAGCUGAAGCAUAAUGUAAUAACAAAUGGAAAUCAUCCUCCCCACAUUAUAUGAACUAUGAAAGCACACAAUCUUUGGAACAUGAUGGAAGCCAAAUAGCAUAAUAACCCAAUAGGCAAGGGCCGGGGUUCUCAAUUAACUAUCAUAACAUUAGUAUAAUUUUCGCCAUAGCAUGUUCAAAAGGAGUGGUCAGAUUCUUGACAAUAACAACCAGAGCCACGACAGAUUCUUUAUUCCACAUGAGAAAGUCCACCAGUUUCAGCCCGGGUCCUGUACGAAUAUAAUUGUUUUUCAUUAAUAAAACUCAAAAUAAUAAUUCUUACUACACGGACAUGGAAAGGUGUAUAUAUAUAUAUAUAUAUGAACCUAUGUCAGCUAUCGAUGGAGUAAGGUUUAUAACAUCUAGACAGCCAUAUCUACCAGUUAGCAGAAUAAUUCAAAUACUUAUGUCGACAUCAACCCUAAUACAUGAAGUGAUUUAGCAAGAGCAAAAAACUUACUUGUGAUCAGAAGGAUUGGGCGUAAUUUCAUAAACAAUCGUUGCAACAACAUCUCUUUUUAACUGUCAAUCAAAUUCGGGAAAUAUAUCAUUACGGGGAAAGGCGGGAGGAAUCAUCUUCGUUGGUAAAUCAGAGCAGGAAUUGAAAUACCUGUGUGGCUUCGCCUUUAAAACCAAUGUAGUGAAUUUGGGUUGUAUCACCACCAAAACUCUCGGGAAAAUGCAAUGUAAUAUUUGCCACACUUUGAAACUUUGAGUACCUAAAUAAGCAAGUUAAUAUGGCAUCAGAAACUAGAAAACAGAGAGGAUGAAAGAGCUCUCCGUUAUUUCAAUUAAGUCUUUUAUGAGCAUUCACUAAACAUUGCAAGUGCCAAGUAGAACCAGCUCUCAUGUACAAGUAAGCAUGAACUAAUAGUUCGGUGCGGACAAGUAGGACUACCUACCUUGUCUGGUAUUCUAACACUCCUUGCAGAUUUUCAACCAAUUCCCACUCCUUCAAGGAAAAUGUAACGAUUUAGGUAAACUUUCUUGAAUUUAACAGUAUAUUCCUUGACAUGAGGAGAUAAGCAGUACCUGAACAGGUUGCAUGCUUUGAGCAUCAGAGAAAUCAAUACCUUCUCGAUUUAUAAAUCUAAUCAAGACAAAUUGAAAAAAGAAAAGAUUAAUCUUUCAUAAAUACAACUGGAAGAAAUCCAUAGAGAUUAGGGAGAUGGGGCAGCAACAUCCCCUUUCAAACCACCACAAGAUUAUGUUGUUUAGAAGUAUCAGGUGUUGAACUUAAAGAUAUCUUCAAUGGGAAAGCAGUUAAAAAAGCAUUCAAACAAAUUUGAAAUACCAACAUUCAUUGCUAAGAGCUAGCAGAAGUUAACCGGAACACUUGAUAAGUCAUAUGAACUUACACUCUCAGCUUGGAAGGACUUGUUCCAUCAGCACCACCAACAACUGAUAUACUCUUGAUCUUAACAUCUGAUGUAAACCUAUCAUAAGAAAUCAAGUUAUAUGAGAAAUCAGACGAGUAAAAGAACAAUUAUAAAAUUCAUUCAACAAUUUUGGAGAUGCAUUAAUGUAACUAUUACUUGAAUCUCAAUAUACAUUUCAAAUAUGCACUGAGUUACCAAGCAAGGAACGAUGGAAAGGUUAGACAUGAGGAUAAAACUCAAACACUAAUUAGCAAUGAAAAUUAAAUAUUUUUCAUCUCUAAGGUUCAAACAACACGCCUCCUUCACUUAGCCUCAAACACCAAAGGUUUAAUAUGGGCACUUAUAGCAUUAAAAUUGAAGAUGUAGAUGCUAGUUAGUAAAUCCAUGGAAGUUGUGCCUAGAACUAAGGAAUGCUAAAACCACCAGAGCCCCGCCAAAGACUCGAGCCAAAGAGUGCCAAGACAGGUCACCAUAGGCAAACAGAUGAAGGACUCUUGACAAGCAUGGCAAAGGCCGAAUGUCCUAUUAGCUACAAGCUUAACUAUAAGGUUAUGCUGUUUAAACCUCUUGAAGACUGCAAGGCAUGGGAUGCAAACUUUGCAAAGGCACCUGGACCGUCGUCAACAACAUCAGGACCCAUGUGAGGACCCUUUAAAGGAUAAGACACUUCCCAAUCACAUCCCAGAGACAUGUUGAGGGUCCUCCAUGACUCAGCAGCAGCUUUCCUACACAAAACACCUAUAAGACGAGGAUCCCAACACAAUAGGUAUAAUAACCUAUCUCUACCACCUUCAUGCUUAAGACACCUAAGAUACUUUUACUCUGCCAAACCAUUCUCAAACCACCUAAACAUUUAUCCAACCACUACCCGAGGCUCUUAAUACCAUCAUGUGAACCUUCACUUCUCUUCUAGACGCGUACUUUACAUUGACAGAAGUAAUACAUGACCUUCAAAGUGAACUGUCAAGUCAUACUAAAAGGCACUAAUACAAAUAAAGAAAAAGUCACUUACGGAAUGUAAACAAGUAACUCAGGAUCACCCUCAUUACUUUCCAAGCGUUCCUGCCACGGUUCAAAACCCUUAUCAAGCUACCCAUACCAUUGAAAUGACACUGAGAUGCAUAAUACAAAAUGAUUUUAAAUAAGGAUUAUGAAACUACAGAAAUAAUUGAACACACUCAUCAUUUGUUUAAAUAAAUUCAUAUUUAUUUUUAUAUAAGCAAACUUAAUUAAAAAAUAAAAAAAUUUACCCCAGAAGAAUUUAAUCGCUCCUCCCAAGCCUUAAACACCGAUUUAACACUUCCUGGAUUAGCCUCAUUUAAAGCGGUAACCUAACAAUAACCAAAAUUUCCAAGAAAACACAAAAGCAAAUAUGUCAAUUCAUUAAAAGAGAAGAUUGAGAACAUAAAACGAAUUAAUAAUUCAAAUAUCAAUUAAGGACAAUAAAAAUCAGUAACGAAUCAGUAGAAUAUUCAAAAAUAUUCCAGCAAAAAUUAAAAUAAAAAUAAAGAGAGAAAGAACCUUGGCGAGGUCGAUGUGCUUGUAAAGAGACCAAUUAGAAGAACAAUCGUGAUCUUCGCAGCUGUGGUCGUGCGUACACGCCAUUUUUGCCUGAUCUCUCUCACUUUCUUCGCAGCCAAACAAGCAAUAAAACACAAAAGACAGAGAACAAUCGAGAAAAAGAGAUGCUAAAAAAACGUGGCGAAUACGCACCGUUUCCUGCCACCUCAAUGGGUUGAGUUGGGUUGGGUCAAGGAUUACUUAUUUAUAUUAUUUUUUAGAUAUUUUUUUCAAGUAAUCAGAGGAAGGAAAUUUCAUAAAUGAAUUAACUUCCAAUUAAUCUCAAAUGAGCGGCUGAUUUAUAUGUAUGUCGUUUUUAUUUUUAAAUUAGGGUUUUAGGUAGGUUUUUUUUUAAAUUAAGAAAAUAAGUUGUUGUUAGAGAGAAAAACGGAAAGCGUUCCCGUUGGAUGUGUUUUUCGUUUCUCUCUAUUAAGGUUAGGGUUUUUAAUAUUGUUAGGUUUAGUAUUUUUAGGGUUUAGGAUUUUUUGGGUAUUGGGUUUUCAAUUGAAAUUGCAAAAUUUCAUAGGUAGUUUUGAGGAAUCGGGGAUAUGAUAAUGCGCCUCUUAACACACACAUUUCAUAUGUCAUGGCGGGAUAGGACCAUUACCUAAGAAACCCGUCUUGGGAAAAUCAGGGUUUUUAGGUAACAGUGGUUGAUACAAUUAAGGGUUGAAGUCUAGGUGGAGGUCCUAGUUGGCGGUCGUGAUGUGAUCAUGGGUUUGAGUAUAAUAGGGGGCUAGUUGACGGUUGUUAUGCGGACACGAGUUCAAGCUUUUUCGAUACCCGCAAAUGAUGCUUUAUAUAUACUAUACAUAAGAUUGAGGCCGUAAUUAUAGGAAAAACGAAAGGCUUUCUGGUGUAAUCAACGUAAUUUUUUCUCUAUUUCCAGCAGCCAAUAUCUUUAACCAUUCAUUCUUAUUUGAAGGCUGACACAGAGGUGGGCAUAAGAGGACUCUUAGAAGGAGGGUGAAUGUUUCAGUGAAAGUAAAGGUCAAACUCGGGUUGGCAUUGUAGCGUUGUAGUUAUUAAUGAGUUCUUUGAUAACGAUAGUCGUCGUUGGCUCGAAAGGAGCAUCACCUUUACUCCACCGAAACAACCGCUUCUCGCUUGAGAGUCCUCCUGCGUUCGCGACAGUUUCGGCCUUCGGAUAAGAAGAAAGGUUAAAGGUACCGGUUACUUAGAAAUGGAGAAAAAAUUAUGCCGAUUAUAGUUGGAAGCUCCAUAGUUUUUCCCUAUGAUUAUGCCCUUAAACUUUUGUAUAGAGUUUGUAAUGCAACAUUUUUUAGUAUUCUAAAAGUUUUUGCUCAUGACCGUGUAACGACCGUCAACUAGCUUCCCCGUUAUACCCCGAUCUAUGAUCGCAUAACGGCCGUCAAUUGAGACCUCCACCUAGACUUCCACCCGUGACUUGUCUUAUGAAGAAGAGUCGAUCAAGAUUUUGACUCGCGAGGUGAAAGAAUUACGUAACAAACGAGUUUCAUUAGUAAAAGUGCUAUGACGUAGUCAUAGUGUUGAGGAAGCGACUUGGGAACCGGAAGAAACGAUGAGAUCUCAAUAUCCCCACGUCUUUUUAGGUAAAUUUCGGGGAUGAAAUUUAAUUAGGGGGAGAAUUGUAACAACUCGAUAGUUAGAGGUGUCAGAAUGUGUAUUCCCGAGACUCCAUUCCUGUAAAUCAGACUCGCAAAUAAUUGUGUAGUUAAUUAGAUUUCGGUUAAGUGAAUUUACAUGAAUUAAUAAUUAUUAUUGUAUAAGGACUAAAUCGCGUAUAUGGUAAAGGUUGAAAUAUAGAUUAAAAAUUUAUUGAGGGACUAAAGUAACAAAUAUACAUUUGCCUUGUUUAGGGGACGGUAUUAUGAAGUAUGUAUAUAUUAUUAUAUGUAACCUUAUUAUAUAUAUAUUAUAAUAGUUAAUAAAUUAAAAGUUAAAUAUAUAUAUGUAUUAUAUAAUAUUAAAGAAUAAUAAAUGAAAAGAAAGUGAAAUUUGAUGAUAGAAAGCAUGCAAUUAAAUAGAAAAUAAAAGAAAGAAAAAGAAAGAAGAGAAGAAGGGUUAACGCACGACUAUAGGGACCUUAAGGUUCAAACUUCAAUCGGUUAGUCAAUUUAGUCUCUUUUCUUGUAAUUUUUAUAUUUUUGGAUUCCCGGUGUUAAGUACUACCGACCCAUGUCAAAAUUUUAACAUUGAUUAAUAUUUUAAAUAUUGUUAUUUUUAAUAGUUUUAGUAUUAGUGAUUUAAUCGAUAGAUUUUUAAGCUAGAAAUGGAAAAGGAUUAAAUUGUAGAACAAGCUAUAAAUUUUGAGUAAUAGGGACUAAAUUGUGAAAAUUUUAAAAUUUAGGGGUUGCAAAUGAUCUAGAGUGUCUAGAGUGUAUCUAGAGUGUCUUAGUUAAUAGUUAUUUUGUGGACGGAUUGCAAAUGAUGUUAUAAGUAUAAGUUUGGUUUGAGUAUAAAAAUAUAUGUUUGUGUUUGAAGCCAUAAUUUGGCAUGUUGAUUUGAAUCAAGACUUGUUAGGUGUUUGUGAAUUUAAGUUUGAUGUUUUAGGUAGAUAUAAGCUAGGUCAAAUUGAUUAAUUUUGGCAUGUUUAAAACUUUGAUUUAAAUGGUGCAUGAAUGAUAUGUUUUGAUGAUAUAACAUGUGGUAUUAAUGAGGGUACAUUGGUUAGGCAUAUUAGGUGAUGAAUUUGGUGUAUUUUGGGCAUGUUUAAUCGUGUUUUGAAUAGGUUAAACGAUUGGUAAUUGAGUUGCUUAGUUCCCAAGUAAGUAGGAAAUGAUAAACUUGAGUUUUAAGGUACUUUUGGAUGCACACAGCCUGGCCACAAGGGCGUGUGUCACACACGGACAACACACAUGGGCUUGUGACCCAAGUAAGAGAGUUACACGACUUGGCCACACGGACGUGUGUCUUAGCCAUUUGAGGUACACGGCCUGGCCACACAGGUGUGUGACCUUGCAGUUGAAAAUUUUCUAACUUUUUCUUAAAAUUUUCAAACGUUUCCAAUUUAGUCCCGAAUCAUUUCUAAAGUGAUUCUAAGGCCUCAAGGGCUUGAAUAAGAGACGAUAUGUAUGUUCAAUGAUGGGUUAUGUUAUGAUUAUUGAAAUAUUUUGAAAUAAAUGAUUUAGGUUACGUUUACUACGUAAUGCUCCAAAACCUUUUUUGAUGAUUAAUACGGGUUAGGGGUGUUACAUUUAUUGGUAUCAGAGCUUGUAGGUUUAGCCGAUUCUCGAACUAAAUCGAGCUCAGAAUUGAGUCUAGAGAUACAUGCCAUAGUUGAGUAGAUCUGAGUCGAGAUUUGGAUGCUAAUUAUAUUUGUUUUUAUUUUAUAGAUGAAAAUGUCAGAUAACUAUAAUAAUGAUACUGAUCAAGAGGUGUAUACCGGAGAUGAUGUCUCUAAUGAGUUAGAUGAAACUGAAUCAGUAACACCGAAUGUUAAUCCAGUUAGUGCUCAACAACCUAACGUUGAGUGAUGUAAAACUGAGGGAGGAGGCGACUCAGAGUUACUUUGAGCUAUCACUGAUGCUCUUCAGCGUGUUACGGGAACCACAUCCGCUACGACAUCUGCACCUCUUAUUCUUCAAGCAUCGAUAAAAGAGUUAUGUAGAUACGGUGCGACCAAAUUCUUAAGGUUGAAAGGAGUUGAUCCUUCUGCAGCUGAAGUUUGGAUUGAAUCUACUAAACGUGUCUUGCAACAACUUAAACGCAACCCAUGUGAAAGUGUAAUAUGUGUUAUUUCUCUACUGUAAUGAGAAGCAUAUACCUGGUGGCAAUCAGUGAAGCGCCAUGUAUCCGUUGAUCAAGCUAAUUGAGAAUUCUUUAUAAAGAAAUUCCAAAAGAAAUAUGUGGAGGAACUGUAUAUUGAUGAUAGAAGACAAGAAUUUUUGAUGCAGAAAUAAGAUGGAAUGUCUGUGGUUGAUUAUGGAUGAGAGUUUUCGCGACUUACUAGGUAUGCUGUUAAAUUUGUACCGACUAAAAUUGAAAGUUACAAGCAAUUUUUGUGUGGUUUACACAAUGAGCUUUAGGUGCAGUUAGUAUCACAUAGAGUUAUUGAGUUUGCUGAUUUAGUUGAACGGGCAAGAAUGGUAGAACAAGCUUUGGGUCUUGAUAAAAAGACCGAGACUACUCGUACUGUUGAAAACAUCCUGGAGUUACUAGUUCAAAUCCACAACUGAAGAGAUCAAAAGAAUUUUGUGGUAGCUGGAGGUCAACUUUUAAGUCAGAAAUAGUAAAUAGAAAUCGUGUUCGACAACCGACUGUGUCCACGGGUAGUGUACGAGGUCCAAUCAGGAAUACCGAUAUUCUAAUUUUUGAGCAUUGCAAGAAAAAAAGCGUCAUGGUGAGUGCUAAAAGUUAACUCGAGGUUGUUUUCACUGUGGAUCCACGGAGCAUUUUGUUAGAAAGUGUUCGAAGAAUAAUAAUGCUGACCCUGUUACUUCUUAGAGGUCUGUACCUGCACCUAAGGGUCGCAGGUCGAGUCAAGGUGGUUCAUUUUCGAGAGGUGGUGCUAGAAAGGGAAAUGAUGUUGUUACUCAUCAAUCAGAGGCUAGAGUGUAGGUCUGAGCUUAUGUUGUGCGGACACGAGAGGAUGGUGAUGCUAAUGACGUCGUGACAUGUAUCUUUUUGUUACAUUCAGAACUUGUUUAUGCUUUGAUAGAUCCGGGAUCUUCACAUUUAUAUGUUAAUAUUGAAUUAGUUAGAUCGGGGAGUUUAAAAUCUGAGACGUCUAGAGCAUCGAUAGUGGUGUCCAGUCCAUUGGGACAAUAUGUGUUAGUGGAUUAGGUGUGUAGGAGAUGCCCGUUAGUGAUACAGAACAUAACCUUCCCUGUUGAUUUUUUUAUAAUGGCAUUUGGCGAUUUUGAUAUGAUUUUAGGUAUGGAUUGGCUCACGGAACAUGGAGUGAUUCGGGAUUGCUGUAAAAAGAAGUUUAUUGUUCAGAAUGAGGAUGGUGAAAUGAUUGAAGUAAAUGGUGUUCGAACGAGUGGUUCAACUCAUAUCAUUUCAGCAAUUCGAGUUGAUAAACUUCUCAAUCAAGGCUGUGAAGCUUUUCUAGCCUAUGUUAUCAAUUCAAAUUCUAGAGAUAGUCAGAGUAGUAAAAUCCAAACUCUUUGCGAAUUCCCUAAUGUGUUUUCUGAGGAAUUACUGGGAUUACCACCAGAUCGGGAAGUUGAGUUCGCAGUUGAACUUUUUCUUGGUACGACUCAAGUGUCAAUGUCACCUUAUCAUAUGACACCCACAGAAUUAAAAGUGAAAGAUAGUGACGCACCGAAAAUGAUAUUUCGUACGCUUUAUGGCCACUAUGAAUUUUUAGUGAUGCCUUUUGGGCUGACAAAUGCUCCGAUAGCAUUCAUGGAUAUCAUAAACUGUAUUUUCCAAUCGUAUUUGGAUCAAUUUGUAGUAGUUUUUUUAUGACAUUUUGAUCUAUUCAAAAUCUGAAUCCAAGCGUGAGCAACAUCUCAGAAUUGUUUUGCAAGUAUUACGAGAGAAACAGUUAUAUGGAACGCUUAGCAAAUAUGAAUUCUGGUUAGCAGAGGUUGUAUUUUUGGGUCAUGUUAUCUCGUUAGAUGGGAUCAGAGUUGAUUCAAAAAAGAUCGAGGCAAUUGUUCAGUGGAAAUCAUCGAGAAAUGUGUUAGAGGUUCGCAGUUUUCUCGAACUAGCUGGUUAUUACUGAAGAUUUGUAGAUGGAUUUUUGAAGAUAGCUUUGCCGAUGACAAAGUUGUUGCAUAAGAAUGUUCAAUUUGUCUGGGAUGAUCAAUGCCAAGAAAUUUUUUAAAAAUUGAAAGAAUUGUUGACUGAAGUGUCGGUUUUGACUUUACCAGAAUCGGGAAAGGAUUUUAUGGUAUUUACUGAUACUUCUUUGAGCAGUCUCGGUUGUGUUUGAUGCAAGAUAGAAAAGUGAUCGCUUAUGCAUCUCGUCAGCUAAAAACGCAUGAAUGCAAUUAUCCAACGCCUGAUUUGGAGCUAACUGCUAUGAUUUUUGCUCUAAAGAUUUGAAGACACUACUUGUACGGUGAAAAGUGUCACAUCUAUACUGAUAAUAAGAGUCUCAAAUACCUUCUAUCCCAAAAGGAGUUAAAUUUGAGAUAACAUUGUUGGGUCAAGAUUUUGAAAGAUUUUGAUUGCGUUAUUGAUUAUCAUCCUGGUAAAGCUAACAUUGUAGCCGAUGCGUUGAGUAGAAAAAUAACGGUUGAUUUGUGAGAAAUGUUUGCUCAGCUCAGUAUCAAUAAAGAUGAAAGCUUGUUGGCUGAAUUAAAGAUCAAACUGGUGAUGUUUGAUCGGAUCAAGGCAGCACAAUUAGAUAAUGACAAGUUGGCGAAGAAAAGAGAAAUGGUUCAGAAUGGCAUAUUAGAAAAUUUCAGCAUUGAUGAUUGUGAUUGCUUGAGAUUUCAUAACCGAAUCUGCAUUCCAGAUGUUUCAGAAUUAAAAGAGUUGAUACUUAACAAAGCUCUUGAUAGUCCUUUUGCUUUGCGUGGAGGGACGAAAAUGUAUCGCGAUUUCUGAGAAUCCUAUUGGUGGCCAGGAAUGAAAAUAGAUGUGGUCGAGUAUGUGGCUAAAUGCUUAACUUGACAACGAGUUAAAGCAGAACAUCAGGUUCCCACAGGAUUACUUCAGCCUAUUUCCAUUCUUGAGUGGAAAUGGGAUCGUAUCACAAUGGAUUUUGUAACGGGGUUACCUUUAUCAUCAAGUAAGAAAAAUGUUGUGUGGGUGAUUGUUGAUUGACUUACCAAAUCAGCUCAUUUCAUUACGGUUAGGACUGAUUGGUCACUCAAAAAACUUGCUGAAGUUUAUAUUAAGGAAAUUGUGAGAUUACACGGUGUCCCUAUGUCUAUAAUCUCUGAUUGAGAUCCGCGUUUCACUUCGAGAUUUUGGAAAUAGUUGCACGAAUCUCUUGGUACACGACUUAAUUUUAGAACAGCUUCUCACCCGCAGACAGACGGACAAUCUGAGCGUGUUAUUUAGAUUUUGGAAGAUAUGCUUCGCACUUGUGUUAUUGAUUUGGAAUCAGGUUGGGAGCGUUACUUAUCUUUAGCCGAAUUCGUAUACAACAAUAGCUUUCAAUCAAGUAUUCAAAUGGCUCCGUACGAAGCUUUAUACAGUCGUAGGUGUUGAACACCUAUUUGUUGGAUGGAAUUGGGUGAAAGAAGAAUGAUUUGACCAGAAUUAAUUCAAGAAAUGAAAGAUAUUGGUAAGAAAAUUUGAGAUAGAUUGAAGACAGCCUUCAAUAGAAAGAAAUCUUAUGGAGAUUUGAAAUAUCGAGAUAUUAAAUUUUUUGUCGGAGAUAAAGUAUUUCUUAGAGUAUUACUUUGGAAGAAAAUUUUGAGAUUUGCCCGAAAAGGGACGCUGAAUCCUCGUUUUAUUGGGUCGUAUGAGAUCAUUGAAAGAGUGGGACUAGUUGCGUAUCGUUUAGCUUUGCCUGUGAAAUCACAUAAAUGUAUGACAUUUUUCAUGUCUUAAUGCUUAGAAGGUAUCGAUCGGAUCCGUCUUAUAUUAUUUCAACGGAAGUCAUAGAGAUUCAACCUGACUUGUCUUAUGAAGAAGAACCGGUUGAGAUUUUGACUUGCGAGGUGAAAGAAUUACGUAACAGGCGAGUUCUGUUAGUGAUGCUAUGGCGUAGUCAUAGUGUUGAGGAAGCGACUUGGGAAUCGAAAGAAACGAUGAUAUCUCAAUAUCUCCACCGCUUUUCAGGUAAAUCUCGGGGACAAAAUUUAAUUAAGGGGAGAAUUGUAAGAACCCGAUAGUCAGGGGUGUCAGAAAGUGCAAUCCUGGGACUCUAUUCCCGUAAAUCAGACUCGUAAAUAGUUGUGUAGUUAAUUAAAUUUCAGUUAAGUGAAUUUGCAUGAAUUAAGAAUUAUUAUUCUAUAAGGACUAAAUCGCGUAUAGGGUAAAAGUUGAAAUAUAGAUUAAAAAUUUAUUGAUGGGCUAAAGUAGCAAAUAUACAUUUGCCUUGUUUAGUGGACGACAUUAUGAAGUAUAUAUAUUAUUAGAUGUAAAAUUAUUAUAUAUGUUAUAAUAGUUAAUAAAUUAAAAUUGAAAUUUGAUGAUAGAAAACAUGCAAUUGAAUAGAAAAUAAAAGAAAGAAAAAGAAAAAAGAGAAGAAGGGUUAACGCACGGCUAUAGGGACCUUAAUGUUGUGAUCAUAAAUGAGAUAUAUGAGAAAUAUACUCAUAGAUUGAAGAUAGUUGGUUUAUGCCAUUGUUAAAAAUGAAUUGUUGAAUGAUCUAUGAAAAGCUAUUUUUAUAGCAAGUGAUAUUAAUUGAGUUAUAUGUUAAACGAACUAAUGGAAGAAUAUUUGUGAAGUUGAGCAAAUCAUGAAAUAAUGUGCUAUUAUGCAUGAAAUUGAUAUGGUGAUAAAUUACAAUUGCUUGUUAGAUAGUAAUGUGAUUAUACAAUUCAAAUUGAGGAUUCAUGUAUCUUGAUGUCUUUAAAUGUUCAGAUUAUAGAAAUAUCACUGAGUUUCACUCAGUGUACGAUUUUUUUUUCUGUGCGCAGGUUAGGUACUUCACUUUUGAUCGCCGACCCGAUCUCAAAUGUGGUGAUGUUUACCUUUUGUGAUGACAUGUACCUAGAGUGUCUUAGUUAGUAGUUAUUUUGUAGAUGGAUUGUAAAUGAGGUUAUAAGUAUAAGGUUAGUUUGAGUAUAUAAAUAUAUGUUUGUGUUUGAAACCAUAAUUCGACAUGUUGAUUUGAACAAGACUUAUUAGGUGUUUGUGAAUUUAAGUUUGAUGUUUUAGGUAGAUAUAAGCUAGGCCAAAUUGAUUGAUUUUGGCAUGUUUAAAACUUUGAUUUGAAUGAUGCAUGGAUGAUAUGUUUUGAUGAUAUAACAUGUGGUACCAAUGAGGGUACAUUGGUUAGGCAUAUUAUGUGAUAAAUUUGGUGUAUUUUGGGUAUGUUUAAUUGUGUUUUGAAUAGGUUAAAUAAUUGGUAAUUGAGUUGCUUAGUGCCUAAGUUAGUAAGAAAAGAUAAACUUGAAUUUUAAGGUAUUUUUAGCUGCACACGGCCUGGCCACACGGACGUGUAUCACACACGGGCAACACACAUGGACGUGUGACCCAAGUCAAAGAGUGACACGGCCUGGCCACACGGGUGUGUGUCUCAGCUGUGUGAUGCAUACGGCCUGGCCACAUGGGUGUGUGGCCCCUGCAGUUGAAAUUUUUCUAAGUUUUUCUUAAAAUUUUCAAAAUUUCCCAAUUUAGUCUCGAAUCAUUUCGAAAGUGAUUCUAAGGUCUCGAGGGCUUGAAUAAGGGACGAUAUGCAUGUUUAAUAAUGGGUUAUGUUAUGAUUAUUGAAAUUUUUUUAAAUGAAUGAUUUAGGUUGCGUUUAUUCGAUAAUGCUCCGAAACUCUUUUCCGGUGAUGAAUACAGGUUAGGGGUGUUGCAUUUAGUGGUAUCAGAGUAGGUUUAGCCUAUUCUCGAACUAAAUCGAGCUCAGAAUUGAGUCUAGACGUACAUGCCAUAGUUUAGUCGAAUUGAGUUAGGAUUUGGAUGCUGAUUAUAUUUGUUUUUGCUUUAUAGUUGAAAAUGUCAGACGACUAUAAUAAUGAUGUUGAUCAAGAGAUGUAUACUGAAGAUGACAUCUCUAAUGAGUUAGAUGAAAUCGAAUUAGUAACACCAAGUGUUAAUCUAGUUAGUGCUCAACAACCUAACGUUGAGUGAUGUAAUACUGAGGGAUGAGACGACUCAGAGUUACUUCGAGCUAUCGCUAAUGCUCUUCAGCGUGUUGUAGGAACCAUAUCCGCUACGACAUCUGUACCUUUUAUUCGUCGAGCUCCUAUAAAAGAGUUACGUAGAUACGGUGUGACCAAAUUCUUACGGUUGAAAGGAGUUGAUUCUUUUGUAGCUGCAAUUUGGAUUGAAUAUACUAAACGCGUCUUGCAACAACUUGAAUGCAACUCACGUGAAAGUGUAAUAUGUGCUAUUUCUCUACUGCAAGGAGAAGCAUAUACCUGGUGAAAAUUAGUGACACACCAUGUAUUCGCAGAUCAAGCUAACUGGAAAUUCUUUCUAAAGGAUAAGAGUAUGCGACCACUAGUCUCCAACGUGCCAUUCGAUUUGGCACCAAACAAAGACCUGCAUGCAUCCUGGAUGGUCACCCGGAUUCCACCUGGAUAAGGAACAAUAUGGAAAUUUGGGAGAGGAAAGGUCAAUAGAGAUUAUACUGGUACUGUAGAAACUUAGAGCAUAGGAAAGUGACAUAUUCUUUGUUGAUGGGUACUUUAGGGCCUCAACGUCGUGAGCCUUAUUUACUUUCAGAGGAUAUAAAAUUUAUUACAAUGCUUCCAUUAUUCUGGGGUAACAAUUUUUUGGUUUCUUAUUAACUUACAGACGACUUUUGUUAGAAUGUAACAAACACAAAUACGCAUACAAUGAAAAUUUGUGAUUUCUUUAUUGAUGUCAUCUAUAUUUACAUCAAGAUAGAUAAGUUAAAAAAUACAUCAUCAGUGUCGUCAGGGAGAAUGUGUGUUGCAUAGUGGUAGGUGAGGGUCGCGGGGAGGAUUUCUGCACACAACUAUUACUGAGGGCUUAUAAACUGGUUCGUUCCCGUCAUCAUCAUUAUGUUCGUCUUCACUGCCACCCUCAUCACCAUCGUCACCAUCGAUGCAACAAUCUUCCUGUUCGUCUUCGUAUUUGCCUUUGUCCUCGUGUUGGUCUUCGUUUCGCCUUGGUCUUUAUCACCUUUCUUCGUGCUCAAGUGCGGUGCCGUCCUAGCCUUCCAUCAUGUAUCCUUCACUCUAACAGAAGAUGGUUGCACUGAUAACCCACAUCGAUAGAAAAAUGAUACGGUGUGUGUUUGAGAUACUAUGGACAUGUGAGUGUAUGGCGUCCUAAAACCCGUAUACGUCGACAUUAACCCGAGCAUCGAAACUGGUAUCGACUACUGGAGUGGUGAUAAUAGCGGUGUCGUCAUCAUUGAAGGUAUAUGCAGAGCCAUCUAGCUCGAUAUAUGCGACAUAAUCAAAGUCAGCAUAGGGGCGUAGAAUGCAAGGGACGUUAGUGCCCCAAAAUAUGUACCUAUGAGAAUAAGAGAACUAAAGACGUGCAGUGAUGCAUAGUGCAGUGCUUGUGAAAAAAAUGGGGUUAGUGAAAUGAAUAAGAAUAAAUAGAUUUAAUUGGCCAAGAUAUUGUGUAGACAUAGGCGGCGCUUCUUCAGACGAAGCCAAUGACGAACCCAUCGUGCGACCGCGUCAGGCUCUACACUGCUGCAAUGGUCGUAGCUGCCUAUUCUGAUGUAGUUACCUACUCUUUACCUCCACUGAUAGUAAAUACAACUUCCCGAUAGCUCUAAACCAUGGCAUGUACUCCACCGUGUCCGCUGAGAAAAAUGGAUCUCGGAUGGGUAAGAAUUCCAUCCUACGAUCCCAAGUGUCGAUGUAGUCCUUGUAAAUCUCUUUCUAGUCUUCGUAAUUCUUCCCUCGAAGAUCCACAUUGUGCAGUUUAUCCAUGUGUCGUGGUGGUGGCGGAAUUUAUUACCUCUACUUGAACUGUCGCAACACCUGAUUUGAUUCGUGCAUUUCCACCGCCAUGUACACUAUCAACGACACCUUUGCGUCCCACAUUCUCCGGUUGGCCAAGAAUUCUGGCAAGAUGCAAAAUAUGAUAUUAGUGUCAGCAUAUGACAUCCAUUCAAACUGAAGUGCACAAUUGUAAAUUCCAUUAUGAACGAAAUUUUAUUUUACAAAUCAUUGCGUAAUUAAUAUAGGUUCAAAAGAAUAAGUAAAUAACCUCGUCUUCCGAGUGUUGAUCUAACAACAGCCUAAUAUCUUCUAGUUGGUUGGGUAGACCCACAUAACAUGACCCAUGGUUCCACAUGUACAAGCGAUAAGUUAUUUCAAACAUAUAUUAAAUAAAAACAAUUACCAUACAAACUACGUAUUUAUUAACAAAUAAAACAAUUACCAUACAUGUAUGAGUUGUUGACUCAGGGAUGUAUAAAUAUUAGUCACCACCAGGCCCACGGCUACAGCAAGAGUAGGGAACACCGAUUGACAUCUUAUCCGGUUCUGUCGCUCGACACAACUCUUGAUACAUCGUGGCCAACAAGAUUGGUCUUCAACUCAGUUUUCCACAUUCUUUGAAGUCUACUAGGUGUAGUAGCGACCCAAUGUAUACCAAAUUUUAAGUUUUAUCAAGCAUUAAAAUGCCUCCAAUUAACCUCAGAAUGAAUGGUCGAGCGUAUUAUUCUUUGACAACGUUGGUCGUGUCUAGAGGAAGCAUCUUGAAAUUAGUCUCCAACCACUUCUUCCGUAUCCGACCACCUUCGAAUGAGUUCGGGACCUUGCUCAAUAAUGUCAUGUAGAGGUUUUCUUUACUGGGAACAAUCGCUAUUCCCGUGACGACUGACCCAUUUAUUGGCAGACCGAGUUGUAGCGCUACAUCCUUGAGUGUGAUUGUACACUCAAUGCGUGGAAGAUGGAAAGUGUGUGUUUCGGGUCUCCAUCUUUCCACCAACGCGCUGAUGAGUGUAGGAUCGAGUUUCCAGCCCUUGAGUAUAUGAGACGUAUGCAAGAAUCCCGCCUCUUUCAAGCAACCAUGAGGUUCGGUGAUUAGAGGCGUUGCCAAAUUAGAGAGGUUUCGGGUCUCCAUUACUACUUGAGUGACGAAAAUGUACUUCUCGUCAAAACGAAUUAGAGAGGUUUUCAUUCGUGAAAACUUAAUUCGAACGAAUAAAAUACGGAAUAAUAAAAAACGAAUAUUUUUAAAUGAGAAUAUCGAAAAGUUUAGAAUAAGAGCUUGAGAAAAUUUAGAGAAUUUAGGGAGUUGAGAGAAUAGAAAGAUUUGAGAGAAUAGGAUGUAAGUGAAAAAAGAAAAAUUAGGUGGUAUUUAUAGGGAAAAUUUUGGGACGUUGACCAUUUAAACUUUUUUACCGUUUGGAAUUGACUAUUGAGGGAAAGCACGCUCAACUGGACCCACUUUUCUUUUCUUUCUCUAAAAUCACCUAUUUCCCUAAUUUUUGAAAAAAUCGACCUAAAACCCUAAUUAAACAAAACGACAUAUACCACUAAUUUACCCUAAAUAAGCAACUUCCAUAAUAUCAACCAUUAACAAGUUAAUAACCCCGUUAUAAAAUAAUUAGAAUUUUUUUAAUAUAAUUUAAACUCGAUCUAUGUUAUACAAAUGAAACAUUGUUACGCUGUUAUUAAGAAAAUAGUUUAGCGUUGCAACGAAAGUGUAAAAAAAAUUAAAAUAAUAGGUUGGGUGUAAUGGUGAGACACAUUGCACUUCCAAGGGGGAAUGUAAGUUCGAACCUUGGAGACAACAUUUUUGGAAGGGGUAGCCACAAACCCUGAAUAUGGACCGUAAAACGGACAUGCAUAAUAUAAUUUUAAAAAAAAUCAAGCUAGUUUAUAAUAUUUAUAGCAAUAAAAUUUUAUCAAAAAAUAUCAAACCAAACAUAAGAGGAAAAUAUAUUAUUACUUUCAAUAGUAAGUAAAGAUCGUAAUUCCCAUAAAAUAUAAUUCAUUUUAAGUAAAUAUAUUAUUUGGAAAAAUAAUGAUAACCCUAUAUUCAAUAAGUGUGUAUUAGGUUAAGUGAUGUCAUCUAUUUAUAGAGAGAAACAAAAUAAUUCUGAUUGAAUAAGGCUUAAACAAAUAGUAUUAUUUAAAUAGAAAACACACUUCUACUCCAACUAAUAUCUCGAUACCCCUGGAAUUUCAAAAGUAAAAAUAUUUGGUUUUACACAGUUGUAUCGUGAUACCUACCCCCAAUAUCGCGGUACCUCAGAUAGAGUCGAAGGUAAAGGGUCAAAAAAUAAGGGAUAUCGUGAUAUCCAACCAUGGGCAUCACAAUAUCCAAGUCGAGUCACGCGAUACUCAAUUUCAAAUAUCGUGACCCGUGUGUUUUGGGGGCUUUGUAAGCCUCCAAACACCCCAAUUCUUCUUUUCUUUUUCUUUUUCCAAAUCUUACACCCUAAAUUCCAAAAAAAACUCUCCCCCUUUCUAUUUUUUCUCAAUACUUCUUUCAAAUCCUUUCAAACAUAUUUAAAAUAUUUUCACUUCAUUUUUCUUGUUAGUCUCUCAUUUUGCAGGUUUUACACUCAUUUUGCUUUGGAAACAUGGGAUUUCAUCGAUUACAUCGACACCAACAUAACACGGUUUAAGUUUCCCAUUUCUUCUUGGUUUUACAAUUGAUAUUGUUGCCUUUAUUAUUAUUUUUGAUAUCUCUUUCUAGUUUUAGUGUUGAUUAGUUGUGAGUAUUUGGGUAGCAAUUACAUUAUAGUUAGCUUGUUACGAAAUUGAUAAACAUGCCCCUUUGGACUAAAAAGCAAGCUAAGUCCCAACCCAAACCACUUCUGUCAUCGGAGUAUGUCCUUAAUAAAUUUAAGUCAAAAGUGGCAGAAGCCUUUUUCUCGAACUUUCAAGGACGAACUUUUAUCCUUGAAAGAGGUUUUGACCCUUCGGUAUUGGAUUGCAUGGACGUUUGGGACUUAGUCCAUUUUCAUCAUUGGAUGAACCUUCCCAUAGAGCCUACUACACAAACCGUAAUUUCAGUUGUACUGAAGUUCUAUUCAAUUUUUUUUUAAAAUAACAAGGUCUAUGUGAGGCACAAAAAGAUCGAUAUAUCCCCGAGAGCUAUUAGUGAAUAUUAUGGCGUACCCUAUUAUGAAAAUGAUGAUUUACAUGCCAUGGAUCUUAACAAAUUUGAAAAUGUUUAUAUGGACACCAUUUUCGCAUUCUUAAUUGAAGAGAGGGGGGAGUGGAAAUGAGUGGGGUACAAUAAUUACCUCCUAUCUUUUAAGCAAGCUAUAAUGUUUCCCGUCGCCAAGAUGUGGAUGCAAUUUAUUUUCACUCAUAUAUCACCAUUGCUCAACACUAAUACUGUUAAUGCUUUUCAAGCUAUUUUGUGAUAUUGUAUCUUACAGCGUAAACGAAUUAGCCUCGGGCAGUGGGUCAAUAAAGAGCUCCAAAAAUAUGAAUUUGACAUCAAGGUUGGGAUCCAUUUUCCUCACUUAACUACCGGUUGUGCCGUUGUGCUGGAGUGGUGAUGGGGUCUAUGGAACAAUUUUAUUGUCCCACCACUAGUAUUAUUAGAGACACUCUCAUGCACCAAUUUCAAGAGCUUCAUAGAAAGCAAAUACAAAAUUAGUUCAGAGGAAGAAAUAUAAAAAGGAGAUGCCUUCGGCCCUUCCGAAUAAAUCCAUGAAGACAAAGGUGAAAAAGACCGAUGAGGCUACACAGUUGGAACGUAGGCUAGGCCGUGACGUGUACUAUAACGAAAGACUCCUAGAGUCCAUGAAAAUAGGCAUGGCCAUGUUUGUAAGGAUCCAAGAGGGAUAAAGUAUAGAAUAGCCCGAAAGGUUGAGUGACUCGUCUGAGGGCAAUGAAGACGCAAUAGAGCAACAAGAGGAGGAAGAUGAAGAAAUAGAUGAUGAGGCUAUGGAGGAUGACGACUUAGCCUUAUAUUAGUGAAACUUCGAGAGUGCCUUUGUGUCUUUAAGGCAACCAAGAGGGAGACCCGUCUUUCAAGAUCCUAGCGAUCGAUCUUGGAUGCAACCGUUAUGGCCUAUUAUGAGUGGAAAAGGGAAACGAAUCGUAGGACCGAGUGAGGGUCUCGAGGAUUAUUUGGAUUACUUACAUGAUCUCGUAAUUUUAACUUCAUUUUUGCUUUUAUCUUGGAGAAUUUUUAUUUUGCUUAUUGUUAUUGUUUGUUUUUUUAUUUUCUUAUGUGCAGCGAGUUACCUUGAAAGAUUACACAAAAUAUAGAGCUUCAGCAAGGAGGUGGACGCCCAAGUUAGUCUGAUGCUCAAUUCUAGAGAAGUUCGAUAACUUCAUAUCCUUUCUUUUAAACACAUUGGGGACAAUGUGUAGUAUGUGUGUAGGGGGUGCACAUAAGUUUUUAUGUUUGUUUAUUUGAGUUUUUAUGCAUUUUUCAAAAAUUCAAAAAAAAAAUUUCGUUCUUUUUAAUUUUCAAAAAUCCAAAAAUAUUUCUUGCUUUCAUUUUAAUUUUUUAUUGCAUGGUUCGUGGACUAUAAUUGAGUAAUAAAUUAGUAGUUGUACAUAUCAAAUAUGUAUAUAAAAUUGCCAAACUUGUAAAUUUUAAAUUAUACUAGAUAAUUUCUUACUCUUAAUUAUAGAUUAUUUAGUUCACUUAGUUAAUAUGUAUAAUGUAUUAGAGGCAAUAAUCGAAAAGAAAAUGUAUAGAAUGUAUCAUAAGAUGAAUAAAAGGUACGAAUCCUUGUAGAUAAAUAAUUCGAAUUGCUUAUUAUUCAUUUAAAUAGAUGCAUGCUUAAUAGAUUGUUGGUAGGUGACUAAUCCGGGAAAGCCUUAGGCAUUGUUUGUAUAGCCUUGAGCCUACAGAACCAACCUUAAACAUUACAUUAUCUUUAGUUCCCGAAUUUGAGCCUUACAUUGCCCUUCUUAAUGAGCCUCUGUGUUUGAAAUCUUAAGCCAAAAUUGAGUUCGAAACUCAACCCUUCACAGUCCUUGAACUUUGUAAUCCACUAUCAAAUGGAUGUCAGGCCAUAGACAUCGAGGGUUAGGUAGGAACGUUGCGAAUAUUUCUCAUAAAAGUGUACUCGAGUGAUUCGUAAAGAGGGAUUGAAUUAGCUCGUAAUUGAUUUUUUCCAGAAAUUGUGCUUAGAAAGAAAAGAAAAAAUUGAAAGAAAUAAGAAUGAGGAUCAAAAGCAUUCUGAGAGAAAAGAACAAACAAAGCAUACAUAUGCUCUAAACAAGAAAAAUAAAGGAGCAUAAAAUCGUCUCGAAAUCAGGCUAAACAAAAAUGAGCUAAUAUAAAUCAUCCUUUUCCACAUUGUUAGAGAAAUAAGUAAGGUGAGAGAAGAAGAAAUAAGGCUGUGAGAUGUAACGAUCACAGUUGGGGGGAAUUGGGAACAAUGUUCUGUGCUAUACUAUUCAUAGUGCUUGAACCAUUUUGAGUUGAACUUUCUUUGAAUCUGUACCAACCUCAGCCUCAGAACGUUACAAGCUUAAAAGACCUUUGGGACAUGAAUAAGUCACCAACGCAUUAAUUUGUACAUGGCUUGUAUUUGUUGCAAUGAACAUGAACAAUUCUUUUUAAAUAUCUAUAAGCGAUUCGUAUAAUUUAUUUUAAUGGAUAACAUUUGUACAUAUAUUCAUUUACAUUGCCUCUAGCACCAUUGACACUUUAACUUCUUGAACUAAUAAUGUUUACAUUAGAAGGAGAUAAAUUAGCUAGAUACCUCUUAAGUUACAUGUGAAGUAAUUCUUAUACAAAUUUGAUGUUGUACGACUAUAUAGCUUAAUUACCUGAUUUAGUCCAAGGGUCGUCUUUUUGCAUGUUUUGUGUGUUUACUUGAGGAGAAGCAAAGACUUGAGUAUGGUAGAGUUGAUCUACCACAAAUCGAUGUGGCGAAUUAGGCUUUUUCGAAGAAUUUAAGGAGCUUUUUCUCGAGCAAAAUAAAGUUUUUAGCAUAGUUUUUUUAUUUUCAUUAUUUUUAUAUUUUCGAGUAAUAAGUAAAAAUGUCUCGUUUUUGACUAUUUUUACCCAAAUUGGCCGCUAGUGUCAUUUGGAGGCCUAACAUGUGUUUGAAUGCUGCAGGGACGUGUCAGAGGUCAAAAACGAGUGAGAACGACACCUAGGUCAAGGGUAUCGCGAUAUCCAACCCUUCGGAUCGCGAUACCUCUGACAGUGUAGAAGAUUAAUGAUUCCUAUCAGUGGUAUCGUGUAUACCCUUGGGUAUCGCGAUAUCAACCUUCCAAGGAAGUCCCCAAGUUUCAACACUGCUUAAGAUAUCACAAUAUCCUCUUUUGGGUAUCGCGAUAUCACUUUCGCUAGGGGACAAACCAUGACAAAGAGGGUAGCCUUUGUCUACCCAGCCCUACAAACACACAAGGCCUGUGUAGAGGCAUUUUUGGCAUUGAAAACUCAUCAGAAUACACUUCAAAAUAGCAAAAAAUUGCUGAGGUUGAGAGACACACACAUUAGCUUAGUUUUAGAUUUAGUUUUCUCUAGGUUUUCUUUAGUUUUUCUCGGCACAUUUCUAGGGUUUUUAUUUUUCUCUUCUUCUACCUUAGAUUAGAGUUUAUUUUUCUGCAUUUACUUCUUGUUCUUGUUAUUUUUAGUGUUAGUUAAGUUAUUUAACACUAUAGUUAAGGUUUAUAUAUAUUUUCAGUCCUUAUACCUUGCUUUCAAGACUUUUUAAGUUUAACUUAAUGUAUUUCAGUUUAUUUUGCUUUCAAUAUGUUAAAGCAUGUUCCUGUUAUGUUUCUUACCUUAAAUUUCUAUAUUAAAUGCUUUUGGCUUCAUGCAAAUUUAAGUUUUCUCACAUAAAAACCUCAACUUUUAUACUUUUCUUAAGCUUUACUUUCAUGACUGCCUUGUUUUACAUUUUUAUGUUUAUUUCUUUUACUUUAAGCAUGAGUUGCUAAACCUUAAAGGAGGUUGGUUGAUGAGGAUGUGGGUAAACUGUAACAACCCGUUUUUAGUGAAAUCAGAGCAGUGGUUUUGGGACCACAUAUCUAAGGUCAAAAAAUUUAUUUUAAUAUUAUUUUAUGAUCUAUAGCAUGAUAGUAUUUUCGUAUAAAAAUUUCGUUAAGAAAUUUUAACGUUUACAUGUUCAAUUUGAUAAAAAGGACUAAAUCGCGUCAAGUGCAAAAUUUGAGUUGUAAUAGCUAAAGGUAUUAAAUAGCUAUAGAACUUUAAAGGUGAUAGUGGAUGUGCAAAAUUUGAGUUCUUAUAUGGAAAUUAGACCAUUAAAGGUGAUAGUGGAUGUGCAUGACCUUGCAAUUUUGUUAUUUUUAAAGUUAGGUAAGGUUAGUUUGGUAAAUAUGUAAUAAUAAAUAAAUUAAAUAAAAGAAAAAGCCUAAAAGCAAUCAUCUUCCUCCCAUUUUCUUUGUGUUAGCCGAAUUCCAUCUUUUUAGAAGAAGAAAAUUUUGGUCAAGCUACUCAAUUGAAUGUAAGUAAAUUUUGAGUUCAUUUUUUUAUGUUUUUUUAUGUUUUCGGAAUCGUUGUGGCGUAACCUAGCUAGCCCGAGAACUAAUUUGCAAAACUAUUGAAUUUUUUGAGUUUUUCCAUUGAUAAAUAUGUUAGAUUUUUGAAGUUUAAUGGUAGAAAAAUAAUGGUUUUUGUUUGAUAUAAAUCUUUUGUUAAGUGAUUUUUCAUAAAAUUGUUAAUUAUGGGAUAAAUUGAAAAAUGUGAAAUAUUCACGGUGUAAUUUGUGAAUUAAUGAAAUGUGUGGGCUGCUAUAAUCUAGAAUGAUAUUCGGCUAGGCUUGGGUAGGGAUGAAUUUGCAUGAAUACCAAUUUGUAAAGAAAUCAAAAGUAUAGGGGAAAAAUGAUAAUUUUUCCAAAACAUGAUUUUUGGAUUAAAUUGAAUAGAAUGAGGUUUGAAUUAGUUAAAUUUGAUUAUAUAGAUCAAGAAAAGUAACAUACGGAUCUAGAUUGGGGAAAAGAAAAAGUACAAGAUUAAUCAAUCGUUUUUCUCCGUACGAGUUUGAGGUAAGUUCGUAUAUUUAAUUAACAUUAAAUUAUAUUUGAUUUAAAUUUUUUUGUGUUAUAUUAUUGAUUUUACGACUCUACGCAAAUAUCCAACGAAGUUUCGACGACUUUGGGAUCCCGUUUAAACCUUAGGAGUAAAUAGGAUACAAAUGACAUGUCGUUAGGGGUUACCGUAUUUUGGGUGUUGGUCUCGUACAUCCUACCGGUGGUUGAGUUUCCAGCAUUUGUUGUGGUUACUUGACAGUUUCUGUGAGUAGACCCAUUUAUGGCUCGAGAGAGAGGAUUGGUACGAGAUAUGAGAUAGUAGUGGUUUUGACCACAUGUUAGCACAUACUGUGCGAGAUUCCCGUGUAUCCGAUAAUAUUCUAGUGGUUCAAUGGGUAUGAGAAGAAGGAAAGAUCGGCAAAUGCUUCAAUUAGAUUUGCUAUGAAAGUAUGGAAAGGUAUGAGUUUUUGGAUGAUUGAAAUAUGCUUAGCCAUAUGCUUGAAAAUAUGAAUGCACAUAAGUAGUGUGUACUUAUGCUAUGAUGUUUUGAGAUGAUUUGCUAGUUUAUGUGAUAUUUAAAAUUUAGAGGUUAUUCUUGUUUAGGCUAAGGCCAAGACAUGUAGGAUUGACUCAAAUUGUUUUAAGCUUAUAAAUUGAAAUGGUAAGCUUUAUUUUUGAAUUACAAACUUACUAAGCAUUACAUGCUUACUUUGUGUUAGUUUUCUUUGUGUACCUAGAUAUUGGAAGCUCAUAUGGGUUGGAAGUUGUUGGAGAUUUCAUCAUACUAUCAAUCAGCUAUUUUGGUACUUUUGGUUAUAUAAUUUUGGUUAUAAUGGCAUGUAUAUGUCAUUUUGGCUAAUAAUAGCCUACAUGUUUUGUUAUGUUUUUAGCCAUUUGAUUUGGCUUGUAUUUUGGAUAUAUUUUGUUAUGUAUAUAUGUAAAUGGCCUUACCAUAUGUGGUGUAUGGUUAUCAUGUGAAUGUAUAGUUUGUGAAUUGAUAUUUUGGGUACCAAAUAGUUGAGCUUGAUAAGUGACAUACAUGUUAAAUUUUGGUACAAUUAUGCAUAUUUGUGUUUGGUCAUUUAGGUAGGUUUGGAUACAUAGUUGGCAUGUUUUUAAAUGGUCAAUUGAGGUGCCUAUGGGCAUCAUGGUUGUAUGUGAUGAUAUUUCUUGUCUUAAGCUUGAUUUUGGUGUUGAAUGUCCAUUCAUGACUUGGUCAUAUGCAAAUUGUUGUGUUUAGAUUGGUAUCAAUUUGCGUGAGAAAUAUGGCUUGGAAAAUGACCUAUUUUUGUCUACACGGGCGUGUGUCUCAACCGUGUGUCCCCUGUACCUUUUAUAGAACACAAGUUAGUAGCCUAACAGGGCCUAGCACACGGCCGUGUGGCUUGGAUGUGUGUUACAAGUCAGUAUACUCACCAUUUUUCACAUGGCCUAGAACACGGGUAUGUGGCUUGGCCAUGUGUCACAAGUUAGUAUGCUCACCAUAUUUCACACGGCCUAGCACACGGGCAUGUGGCUUGGCCGUGUGACACAAUUCAGUGAGCUCACUAGUUUGGACACGGGCAGGGACACGGCCGUGUGUCCGUAUUUCGAAUGCCCACACGGCCUGAGACACGAGCAUAUCUCUUGACCGUGUGAGACCCACGGCCUGGCCACACGGGCGUGUGUCCCCUGCACCUUUGAAAAUUUUCAAUGUUUUUCAAAAAAUUCUUUGAGUACUCGAUUUAGUCUCGACUUAUUUUUAAUGUUUAUUUUAGGCCUCGAGGGCUCGUAUUAGGGAUGAUAUGACUGGAAUUUAUUGGUUUUUGUUAUAAAUGGUAUAUGAAAUAAAAUGUCUGUUUGUUUGAUUUGUAAGUCCGGUAAUGCUUUUUAACCCUAUUUUAGAGUUGGAUACGGGUUAAGGGUGUUACAUUUAUUAGUAUCAGAGCUACAGUUUAGUCGAUUCUCGGACUAACGUAGCGUAUAUGAGAAUAGUUAUACAUGCCGUUAUAUAACCUGUGGUAGUGUGAUAUCUCCUGACCAUUUUAAAACAUGUUUUCAUAUAGUAAUGGAUUCCAACCGAAUAGACUCUGAUGAUGUAGAAAGUAACGCACCAGCCUCCAUUCGGGGAGCAGUGUCGUUUGGACCGAGGGCCAUAUCUGAGGGCCGAGGAGGAGAGGCUAAAGAAGCCUUCUUCCAAAUGAUGAACGAGUGGUUCACGGAGUUUGUUCGAACUAAUGCGGCUACUCAACAACCUCUACCCCCACCUUUUCCCCAACCGGUUCCCGUAGUUCCUCAAUGUUUGGAACCUUUACGCAAGAGUAAGCUGCAUGUUGAUAAAAUCCGCAAAUAUGGGCCCAAAAAAUUUAGGGCUAUAACUGAUGAUGAUCCUGAGAAAGCUGAGUUUUGGCUAGAGAAUACGGUCCGAGUCUUCGAUGAGCUAUCUUGUUCACCAGCCGAAUGUGUUAAAUGUGUUGUAUCUCUUUUGAAAGAUUCAGCAUACCAGUGGUGGAACACGUUGAUUUUAGUAGUACCGAGAGAGUGGAUCACUUGGGAAUUCUUUCAAACCGAGUUCAGAAAUAAAUAUAUAAGUCAAAGGUUACUCAAUCAGAAGCGCAAAGAAUUUCUAGAGCUUAAACAAGGUCGUAUGACCAUGCUGAAUAUGAAAGAGAGUUUGUCAAGUUGAGUAUGUAUGCUCGAGAGUGCAUUCCUAUCGAAGUUGUUAUGUGUAAACGGUUUGAAGACGGGCUGAAUGAGGAAAUCAAGCUUUUAGUCAGAAUUCUUGAAUUGAAAGAAUUUGUUGUUUUAGUUGAUAGAGCUCUCAAAGAUGAUAAGCUUAGUAAAGAGGAAAGAAGAGCUGAUUCGGAGGCUAGAGAUUCAAGAAAGAGGUAAACGGGAAAUCGAAUCACUCAACGUCAAAGAAAUCGAAGGAUUACCAUAAUCGUUCGACCACUUAAGUGGGAUAUCCUAACAAAGAUCGUGGUAAGCAACAUACAAGUUCAAAAGCUGAAGCUACAUCAGUAGCAAGCGUUGCUAAUGUUAAGGCGAAUAGACUUGAUUGUAAAUGGUGUGGAAGACGACAUUUUGGUGAAUGUAGGAUGGAUGAUAGAGCUUGUUUCAGAUGUGGCUCACAGGAACAUUUUAUUCGGGACUGUCCUGAGUUAUCUGAAAAAGACAAACUCCAGACUGUUCGACCCAACAAUACAGCUGCAAAACGGAGACCACCUCAAAAUCCCAAAAAUAUAAGUGGUAGUCGGGGUGUAACAAAAAAUUCUACUGUGAGAUCCGAGACACGGGGGCCAGCCAGAGCUUAUGCUAUUCACGCACGCGAAAAUGCUUCGGUGCAAGAUAUUAUUACCAGUAUUUUUUCUCUCUAUAAUACUAAUGUAACUGCUCUGAUUGAUCCUACAUCAACCCAUUCAUAUGUUUGUACAAAUUUAGUGUCUAGUAAGAGUUUACUUGUUGAGUCCACUGAAUUCGUGGUUAAAGUAUCGAACCCCUUAGCUUAGUAUGUCCUAAUUGAUAAAGUUUGCAAAAAUUAUCCUUUGAUGACUCGGGGUUAUAGUUUUUUGGCCAAUUUGAUGCUAUUACCGUUUUAUGAAUUAGGUGUGAUUUUGGGCAUGGAUUGACUAACUCUGCAUGAUGUUGUUGUAAACUGUAGACGAAAGCUUAUCGUAUUAAAAUGUCAGAACGGUGAGACUCUUCAUAUUGAAUCCGAUAAUUUGAGUGGGUUGGCUAUUUUGAUAUCGGCUAUGUUAGCACAAAAAUAUGUGAGAAAAGGUUGCAAUGCUUACCUUGCAUAUGUACUGGAUAGUAAAGUGUUUGAAUCAAAGCUUGAAUUAGUGCAAUAGUUUGUGAAUAUCCAGAUGUGUUUCCAAAAGUUACCCGGGUUGCUGCCGACCAGAGAGGUUGAAUUUUCUAUUGAGUUAGUAUCGAGAACAUCACUAAUAUCGAUAAAUCCUUAUAGAAUGACUCUUACAGAGUUGAAAGAGUUGAAAUAUCAGUUGCAAGAGUUAACAGAUAGAGGUUUUGCACGACCUAGUUUCUCGCCUUAGGGUGCACCAGUUCUGUUCAUUAAGAAAAAAGAUAGAUCAAUGAGAUUGUGUAUCGAUUAUCAACAUCUCAACAAAGUCACGAUCAAGAAUAAGUAAACAUUGCCGAGAAUCAAUGAUUUGUUUGAUCAAUUGAAAGGUGCAAUGGUAUUUUUGAAGAUUGAUUUACGUUCUGGUUAUUAUCAGUUGCGGGUUAAAGAUUCAGAUGUACCGAAAACUGCAUUCAAGACCAGGUACGGACAGUAUGAAUUUCUUGUGAUGUCUUUUGGGUUAACUAACACCCCUACAGUAUUUAUGGAUUUGAUUAAUAAAAUCUUCAAACCGUAUUUAGACAAAUUUGUUGUAGUAUUUAUUGAUGAUAUUCUAAUAUAUUCCUGAGACAAGUCUGAGCAUGUCGAGCUCUUGAGAAUUGUCUUGCAAAUUCUGCGAGAUAAAAAACUAUUUGUUAAAUGUAGCAAAUGCGAGUUCUGACUCCAAGAAGUUGGGUUUUUAGGACACAUAGUGUCGACGGAAGGCAUCAAAGUUGAUCUGAGUAAGAUUUCAGCAGUUGUUGAUUGAAAACCACAAAGAAACAUAUCUGAAGUCAGAAUUUUUAUGGGAUUAACGGGCUAUUAUCGGAGAUUUGUAAAAGGAUUUUCGAUAAUAGCUACACUAAUGACGCGAUUAUUACAGAAAGAUGUGAAGUUUGAAUGGUCGGAUAAACGCCAUCAAAGUUUUAAUCAGUUGAAAGCAUUGUUAACCGAAGCAUCGAUUCUGGUUCAGCCUGAGUCGGGUAAAGAAUUUGUGAUUUUCAGUGAUGCGUUAUUGAACGGUUUGGGAAGUGUUUUAAUGCAAGAAGGCAGAGUGAUAGCUUAUGCUUCCACACAGUUAAAGCCACAUGAAAAUAAUUAUCCGACACACAACUUAUAGUUGGUCGCUAUUGUGUUUGCAUUGAAAAUUUGGCGACACCAUUUGUUCAGUGAAAAAUGCCACAUAUUUACCGAUCACAAGAGUUUAAAGUAUCUGAUGUCACAAAAAGAUCUGAAUCUGAGACAUCGUAGAUGGAUCAAAUCAUUGAAAGAUUAUGAAUUAGUUAUUGAUUAUCAUCCGGGAAAAGCAAAUGUAGUUGCGGAUGCUCUGAGUAGAAAAUCUUUGUUUGCUUUGUGAGUGAUGAAUACACGCUUGACAUUGUCUAACGAUGGCUCGAUCUUAGUUGAGUUAAAAACGAAACCGAUGUUUCUACAGCAAAUAUGCGAAGCUAAAAAAUGUGAUAAUGAAUGGCAAGCUAAACGAGUACAGUGUGAGUCGACUUCUGAUUCAGAAUUUCAGAUAGGACCAGGAAAUUGUUUGUUAUUCAAAGAUAGAGUUUGUGUACUGAAGAAUCCAUAGCUUAUAUAGAAAAUUUUGCACAAAGCUCAUAGUGGUAGCUUGUCUGUUCAUCCAGGGAGUAAUAAAAUGUACAGUGAUUUGAGACAGAUGUACUGGUGGUCGGGUAUGAAACGCGAGUUUUUGACUUUGCGUCCAGAUGUUUGCUUUGUUAGCAGGUUAAAGUUGAACAUCAAGUGCCUUCAGGACUGUUACAUCCAGUGAUGAUACCAGAGUGGAAAUGAGAUAGAGUUACGAUGGAUUUCGUAUCAGGGUUACCCCUAUUUUCGAAAAAGAACGAUGUUGUCUAGGUUAUUGUUGAUCAUUUGACGAAGUCUGCACAUUUUAUUUCGGUAUGUACAGACUUCUCACUUGACAGAUUAGUUGAGUUAUAUGUUUCUGAGAUUGCCAAAUUACACGGAGUGCUAGUCUCCAUUAUUUCGAAUAAAGAUUCGCGAUUUACAUCACGAUUCUGGAGGAAGUUACAGGAAGCUCUAGGUACGGGGUUGCAUUUUAACACUGCAAUUCACCCUCAGACCGAUGGUCAGUCUGAGAGAGUGAGUUAGAUUCUAGAAGAUAUGCUUCGUUUCUGUGUUUUAGAGUUCGAAGGCAAUUGGGAAAAAUAUUUACCGUUGGUCAAAUUCGUGUAUAAUAAUAUUUUUCAGUCGAGCAUAAAUAUGAUACCGUAUGAAGCUUUAUAUGGUUGUAAAUAUUGAACUCCGUUAUACUGGACUGAGCUCAGUGAGAAAAAGAUACACGGGGUUGAUUUGAUUCGCGAGACUGAGGAAAAAGUGAAAGUGAUUCGUGACAGUUUGAAAGCAGCUUCAGAUCGACAUACAUCGUAUGCAGAUUUGAAACGUAAAGAUAUUAAAUUUCAGAUUGGCGACAAAGUGUUUCUGAAAGUAUCGCCUUGGAGAAGGAUUCUUCAUUUUGGUCGAAAAGGGAAGCUGCGAUUUAUCGGGCCGUAUGAGAUUAUCGAGAGAAUAGGGCCACUGGCAUAUCGACUAGAUUUACCAUCAGAACUUGAAAGGAUUCAUAAUAUGUUUCAUGCACCCAUGUUACGACGAUACCGAUAAGACACUUCGCAUAUAAUUUCUCCAACAGAUGUUGAGAUUCAGCUCUACAUGUCGUAUAAUGAAGAAUCGAUCAAAAUUUUGGCACGAUAGAUUAAAGAGUUAAGAAACAAAAGCAUAGCUUUAGUGAAGGUUCUUUGCCAACGUCACGGAAUAGAGGAGGCUACUUGGGAACUUGAGGAAACUAUGAGAAAACAAUAUCCUAACCUAUUUUCUGGUAAGAUUUUCAUGGACGAAAAUUUCUUAGGGGGGAGAGUUGUAACAACCCGUUUUCAGUGAAAUCAAAAUAGUGGUUUUGGGACCACAAAUCUGAGGUCAAAAAAAUUAUUUUAAUAUUAUUUAAUGAUCUACAUCAUGAUAGUAUUAUCGUAUAAAAAUUUUGUUAAGAAAUUUUAACGUUUACAUGUUCAAUUUGAUAAAAAGGACUAAAUCGCAUAAAGUGCAAAAGUUGAGUUCUAAAAGAUAAAUAUAUUAAAUAGCUAUAUAAAUUUAAAGUGGAAGUCCUUAUAUGGAAAUUAGACCAUUCAAGGUGAUAGUGGAUGUGCAUCGCUUGACAAUUUUGUUAUUUUUAAAGUUAGGUAAUGUUAGUUUGGUAAUUAUGUAAUAAUAAAUCAAUUAAAUAAAAGAAAAAGCCUAAAAGCUACCAUCUUCCUCCCAUUUUCUUUGUGUUAGCUGAAUUUCAUCUUUUGAGAAGAAGAAAAUUUUGGUCAAGCUAUUCCAUUGCAUGUAAUUGAAUUUUGAGUUCAUUUUUAAUGAUUUUUAUAUUUUCGGGAUCGUUGUAGCGUAACUUAACUAGCCCGGGGACUAAUUUGCAAAACUAUUGAAUUUUUUUGAGUUUCUCCAUUGAUAAAUAUGUUAGGUUUUUGAAGUUUAAUGGUAGAAAAAUAAUGGUUGUUGUUAGAUAUAUAUCUUUUGUUAAGUGAUUUUUGAUAAAAUUGUCAAUUAGGGGUUAAAUUGAAAAAUGUGAAAUAUUCACAGUGUAAUUUGUGAAUUAAUGAAACGUGUGGGCUGCUACAAUCUAGAAUGAUAUUCGGCUAGGCUUGGGUAGGGAUGAAUUUGCAUGAAUUUCAAUAUACGAGGCUAAGGACUAAUUUCUAAAGAAAUCAAAAGUAUAGGGGAAAAAUGGUAAUUUUUCCAAAACAUGAUUUUUGGAUUAAAUUGAAUAGAAUGAGGUUUGAAUUAUUUAAAUUUUAUUAUAUAGAUCAAGAAAAGCAACGUACGAAUUUAGAUCGGGGAAAAGAAAAAGUAUAAGAUCAAUCGAUCGUUUUUCUCUGUACGAGUUUGAGGUAAGUUCGUAUAUUUAAUUAACAUUAAAUUAUAUUUAAUUUAAGGGUCUGUUUGAUUGCCAGUAAAAUGUUUUCCGAAAAAUAAUUUUUGGAAAAUGUUUUACUUUUCUGUAAAAUGAUUUACUGGAAAAUAUUUUCUGGUGUUUGAUUGAAUCUGUGUAAAAUAUUUUCUGCUGUUUGACAGAUUUCCUGAAAAUAUUUUCCGAAAAAAUUAUUUUUACAUAUAUUAAUAUAUAUUAAUAAAUUUUUAUAUUUUAAAUUGUUUUUACACAUAUUGCAAUGAUUUAUUUAUAAUAAUACUCAAUUAUUAAGCUACAAUAUUAAUCGUUAUAAAUUGAAAAAAACUAAUAUCAAAUAAAUUAUUUGUAAUUGUGUUAAAAAACAAGUAUUGAAUAAUUAUAAAUUGCUUCGAACCACAAUGAGUACUAGAAAUAAUAUUAUCCAAAUACAUAAUUAGUAGUACACCACAUAAUAACAACAUUGUCCAAGUGCAUAAUAUUACAUCACAUAAAAGUAUCAAUAUCUUCAACCCUGAGAAAAUUUUUGAAGCCAGAUUUUUCUAUGGUUCUUACUUUUAACUAAAAAAGCUUUGGCCUCGGAUUCAUGACUCACUAGAUAAUCAAACACAGAACACAAGACCACUUUCACUGCUGCAUCAUAUGUCGCUCUAUCACAUGUGAUCAUUUUCACGUUAUCAUCCCAUCCAAAACCACUUUCACCUCGAAUUUUGCAUAUAAUCUGCCACUGGUUUUUUACUGUCCUCAAAUGAUUUUCCACAUGCUUCGCAUCGCAUUGGACUUGGAAUCUUUCAGAAAUGGCGUCGGCAACUCGAUUAAUAGAAACUGCUUUGAAAGUAUUAGAAGGCUUAUUUCCUUUUCGAGCCUCCUCUGCUAGAAUUUCAAGGAAAACAUGUUCCAUCAGUUUUGUCCACCUGAAUUGCUUGGAGGUCCCUUCUUUGUUACCCUUACCCAUUCUACAUUAAAUAAUUGUCAUUGUUAAUAAUUUCAAUAUCCAACAAGCUUAAAACAUAAUAUUAAAUACAAUAUCCAACAAGGUUAAAACAUAAUCAAUAUCUAACAAAUUCAAGACAUAUAUCAAAAUCCAACAAUCUAAAUUUCAAUAUCAUUAUCCAACCAACAUUUACAAAAAAAAAAUAAUUUUUAUACUAAAACAUACAUAACAUAGAAAUAGUAACGCUAAGCCCUAAAUAUACCUAAUAUUUCUAGCCAUAUAAUCAGUCCACAUAGUUUGUACAAUUUCAUCUCUCUUAGCAGACUAUUCUCUUGCUUCUUGUCUUUCUUCUCGCUCCGUGAGAGUUUGUAUUAUCGAAUCAGACUCAGACGCCUCGUAUAAUCCUUGAUUAAGUAAAUCACUAGGAUCAACUCCCAUUAUAUGAUUAUGAAUGAUACAACAGGCCAAACUAUAUCUUCUUGAGUUUGAAAAUUCCAAAAUGGUUCAGCAUCUAAUACACGAAACCGUUUCUUCAAAAUCCCAAAAACACGUUCAACAGUGAUCCGUAAUGAUGAAUGGCGAAGAUUAAAGAGUUCCUUUGCAUUUUCAGGCCCUUCAGCACCAAACUCUUUUAAAUGAUAUCGGACACCACGAUAUGGGGUAAUACAUCCAAUUCGGAUACCAUAUCCAGCAUCAGCAAGAUAAUAUUUACCUACAAUUUUACAAUACAUAAUUAAUACUAAUAAAUUAUGAGCACUAGAACUAUUUGUGAUAAAUAUUACCUUCCAGAAUUCUUAAUCCUGUUGGGCGUGAAAGUGCAUCACUUAAAAUAUGAGAAUCAUGUGCACUACCUUCCCAACCAGCUAGAACAUAGGAAAAUUUCAAAUCAAAUGUAAUAGCAGCCAAUACAUUUUGUGUUGUCCCCCCUUUACGACUACGAAAUCUUCCUUGCAUGCUAAGUGGAACGGAUGCACGAAUAUGAGUUCCAUCUAAUGCUCCAAUACAAUCUUUAAAAUAAGGAUAAAACCUUGGAUUGUUUCUAAUUCUAGGAGUUGACUCAUCAGGUAAUCUAAUAACUAGUCUAUACAAUUUCAAAAUAGCUCUCAAUACAACCCUAAAGUAAUGGUGAACUGUCUGAGUUGAUCUAUAAUAUCUAGAUCCAAUCACUCGAAACCUUACAUUAUGACCAAUUAUAUGUAAAAAUAUAACUACUUGCUCCCUAAUAUUGACAGAUUUAGACGAUUGUAACAAAAUAUUCGUACUAAGAAUAUCAUAUAAAUUAAAAAAGGCGAUCGGUCUCAUCCUUAUCACAUCAAUACAAUGCUGGUCACCACUAUAUAAAAUACUAUUAUUAUAGUUUUCUCUUUCAUAAUCUCGAUUCACACGAGGGCGAGAAGCAAUUUCCUUCUUAGUUUCUAAUUUUUUAAUCCAAAGAGCCCCAAAAGCUAAAACUGAAGCCACGACUCCGACAAUUCCCAGUUGAUGUUGAUUAUGAUCCAUCUACACAAAAUAAUGCCACACAAAUAUAUGAUCACUACUACAAAAGAUGCAAGAUUUUCAUAAGAUCACAUAAAGUUACCAUGACUAAAAGUGCAUGCAUACAUAUCAAGCUAAUUAUAAUUGCAUAAUAAUUUUUUUGAAAGUAGCACUUAAAAUAUAUUGAUCAUAGUUAAUACAAUACUUCAAUUGGCGCAAGAUUUUGUUAUAUAUUAUUAGGUUAUCUUUCAUAUAUAAUUAAUUAAUUAAUCACGAAUUAGAAUGGGAAAUUUGAAUGGAAUUCAUUUAAAAAUCAAUAUAUUAUUAGGUGCAAUACUUUAAUAUUUAACAUAUUAUUUAUAAAAAAAUAUACAUUAACAGAAAUUUGAUUAUUUAAGUAUUGUUUUUUAUUGCAAAAAAAUUAUUAAAAAUGGUGAUGCCUCUUUUUUAAAAUAUAAAAACUUUUAAAUUAUAAAUUGCUAUCAAGUGUGUUUUCUUUUUUUAUUUCGAAAUUUAAACAAAAAAUUUUGACAAUGUUAUAAAAUUUUUUUAUUUCUAUUUUUUUAUAAUUUUUUUAAAUUAAAAAUUGAUUACUUUUUUAUAAAAAAUAAAUAAUGUUUAAGUGCACUGCUACAAUUGCUAUAAUCUCAAAUGUCCAUCAUGAUUUUGUUUGCUCCAUUUUCAGCAUGAAAAAAGCAUGAGAAGACUGACUGGACAAAGCUAGUAGUAAAUACUACCACAUGUGUAUAUAUAUAUAUAUAUAUAUAUAUAUAUAUAUAUAUAUUUUUUGGACAUAACUAACAAAAAUAUUAGUCCCUAAGAUGCCUAUAUAGAUGAAUUAUUACUAGCUUCUUGAUUUCUUAAAUCAAAAUCUAUUUGAAAAGUUAAAAACAAAUUUGAUUUUGGUUCAUCUGUCAUUUGCAAAAGUUUUGAGACUUUCCCAUUUCUAACUUCAUCUUUUCUUUAAUUCCCAGUCUUUGAACUGUGAAAAAAAUGGUGGGGUGCAUGAAGUCAUAAUUUAGAGAUAAAUUGGCACGUGACAGUCGCCAUAACUAAAUUCUUUCCCUCCUGUUCAUACUGUAUAUUCACUACAAUCUCUUUCAUGGAAAUUUAAAGCAUGUUUGAAUUCAGAUAGCAAAUGAAUAUGUAUCACACCUAAACUUCCAAAUCGAUAUCAAUGUGUAAUAUUUAAACAACAUUUCCUUAUAUUUUAAAGAAAAAAACAUAAUUCCUUGCCAUAAACUCUAUAUUACUACAUAUAUUUAAAUCUAUAACAUGGAAACUUGGGAAAAGGUCCAUGUUCCCAUAAACUUAUACUGUUCCCCAUUGGUUAUCAGUUGUCUUGUUGGUUAAUACCAGCUUCUGUGCUUGCAUUGCACCAAAGAUUAUUACCACUGACAACAUAAUAAUAACAACCUACACCCAGACCUUUUUAAUGCCAAUUCCAUAUGCUAUAAAUCAUGCCAAAAUUACCAAAAUUCAUGACAUACGCACAUAUGUAUUUACCUACCAUCAACCAAAUAUAACAGCUCAUCACUGCCAUUUCCCAAAUAAUACGUAAAAAAUUUACAGUAAAAAUGUAAAUCAAUAAUAAACCAUACCCAAACACAUUCAACAAGCAUGCUUAAUUCACUUGAACUGAAUUAUAACAACCAAAAAUGCAUAUUAUACCAAAUCAUAAAUCAAGCACACCACAAACAUAUAACAACCACAAAUGCCAUGCCAUUGGCAGACCAGAAUCAAGAAAGAAGACAUUCCAAAGAUAAAACCUUGGACCAACCUCUUAUGAAAAUAUCAACCAAGGCCACCAACAGGAGUAAGAAUGCUGAGGUAGAGGCUAGGACAGCAAGACCUAUACAGCUGGAGGUCAAGCAUAGAAAGAAAUUAGAACCGUUAGGAGCAAUAAAAAAUCAAACACAAAUCAUUAAUGGUUUAAUUUAAUGGAUUGAAAUUACAAUAUAUCAAUUCUUGUAUUAUAUGGUGUGAAUCAAGCUUCAAACAGAAGAAAAUUGCAAUCUAUGAUUGAAUGCUAAUUGUUUGCAGACAAGUAGGGUCGCAUAAGGAAUUCAGAAGUCAAAAUAUAGUAGGAUCAGACAUGAUAUCCAAAAAAAUCCAAACUAACUUUUGCAGUAGAGGAAAAAAAUUUCUAAAAGAAAAAAAUGUUUUGUGAGCUCAUUUGGGGGAUGAAAUGGGACAGUAAAGACUGGCCACCGUAGUUGACUUUCUUACUAAUUCUAUCAAUUACUAAUUCUUAAAAAGAAUGUUAUGGAUGUUUAAUUUUUGUAGUAAGAGAAAAAAAUACCAAUUAAUUUGUAACGUUACUAUAGCAACGCAUACAUGGAUGCAGAGAACCAAAGUGCAAUUAAUUUGUAAGUUAAAAACAAGUUACUAUAGCUUAUGACAGGAAAUGCUUGUAGUUUUGUGCAAAUUGCAGUUGUCACAUUUAUGAUAAUGUGCUUGGUAGCAGGGAGGGUCCAGUGCAAUGAGGACUCUCUCCCAUACCACUAACCCACCUUAAUAACACUCAUAGAAUUUGGCAUUAUCCUAUUCAGGUUCUUGGGUCACUUUCAGCCACAACAGGGUAAACCAGCACUAUGGGAGUUGGAUUCAGACCAACACUACAGUGUUGGAAGGCAUGACCCUAAUCUUAUUAACGAGGAUGCAAGGUAUAUCGAGUGUCCAAAUUGCUAAUAUAUUUUAUACCAAAUUUCUAGUUCCAUUGGUUUUUCUGAGACUACAACAUAUUGCCAAAUUUCAAGAUAUGAUAUGCAUAUGCUAAGCACUAUUUAUGUUUAAUUGUGAACAAACAAAUUUUUUUGAUUUUAACCAAUCUACAGACCUAUUUUGCCAUACAACAAUGCAAAUCAAUAUACAGUUUGCAGGUAGGUUCAGCAAGCUUGACAAUAGCAAGAUAUGAAAUCAACACCUUGCAUUACCCAAUUUUCGUGCAUAAAAACCUAAAACCCUUUUACAAUCUAAUCAGUGCCAACAAUUACUGAACAAUGCACUAACAUUUUCUUAUGAAAUGAAACCAAACACAAGUUCGAAUUUUACAUGUUGAAAUUUCCCAAAUAUGAAGGAUAUCAACUCUUUGACUAUGAGUCUUUGUGUUGUGUAUCAUACCAGGAUAAAAGAAAAUCAAAUUGCAACUUCAACAUCAAACAAAUGGAGUGAAAGUGAAAAAAUAUUAUAGAAAUAUCGGGACAGAAAAUACAAACCCAGCAAGUCUUUUUCGGCAAAUUGAAAAUAAAACCAUAGAAAAUCAAAUAAUGUCUAUAAUAAAAGGUUACCUGAAAUUUCCCACAGAUCUGAAGGAAAUUGGAGUGGAGAUAGCAAAAAUAAAUGGUGUUUGAAAAUUGAGCACGUUUGGAUCGGUAAUCUAGACAGAUACGGAGAAGAGAGAACCGAGAAAAUGAAAAAAAACUGCGAUAAUUGAAGAGGGAACCGAGGAAAUGAAGGAAUGAAGGACUUCUUGGGGAGUUAGUGGAAAAUCGAUAAACAGAAACAGUGUUUUCUACCGGAAAUGAAGGAAGGAAUGAAGGAGGCGAUAGAGAGGAGAGCACAGAAAAUGUCUUAAGGAAAUUGAAAGGGUAAAACCUUUUCCCUAAAAUGUAACCCAAUUUCCCAUGCUUUGGAGUUCAUUUUCCAAAUGGAAAAUGUUUUCCGCCAAUCAAACGCUGGAAAAGGCGGAAAUGAUUUUCCGAAAAAUCAAUUCUGCCAAUCAAACAGACCCUAAAUCUUUUUGUGUUAUAUUAUUGAUAUUACGACUCUACGUAAAUGUUGAACGAAGUUUUAACGACUUUCAGAUCUCGUUUGAACCUUAAGAAUAAAUAGGAUACAAAUUACAUGUCAUUAGGAGUUACUGUGUUUUGGGUGUUAAUCUAGUACGCCCUACUGGUGGCUGAGUUUCCAGCAUUUGUUGCGGUUACUUGACAGCUUGUGUGAGCAGACCCAUUUAUGGCUCGAGAGAGAGCAUUGGUACACGAUAUGAGAUAGUAGUGGUUUUGACCACAUGUUGGCACAUACUAUGCGAGAUUCCCGUGUAUCCGAUAAUAUUCUAGUAGUUCAAUGGGUAUGAGAAGAAGGAAAGAUCGGCAAAUGCUUCGAUUAGAUUUGCUAUGAAAGUAUGGAAAGGUAUGAGUUUUUGGAUGAUUGAAAUAUGCUUAGCCAUAUGCUUGAAAAUAUGAAUGCACAUAAGUAGUGUGUACUUAUGCUAUGAUGUUUUGAGAUGAUUUGCUAGUUUAUGUGAUAUUUAAAAUUUAGAUGUUAUUCUUGUUUAGGCUAAGGCCAAGACAUGUUGGAUUGACUCAAAUUGUUUUAAGCUUAUAAAUGGAAAUGGUAAGCUUUAUUUUUGAAUCACAAACUUACUAAGCAUUACAUGCUUACUUUGUGUUAAUUUUCUUUGUGUACCUAGAUAUUGGAAGCUCAUAUGGGUUGGAAGUUGUUGGAGAUUUCAUCAUACUAUCAAUUGGCUAUGUUGGUACUUUUGGUUAUAUAAUUUUGGUUAUAAUGGCAUGUAUAUGUCAUUUUGGCUAAUGAUAGCCCACAUGUUUUGUUAUAUUUUUAGCCAUUUGAUUUGACUUGUAUUUUGGAUAUAUUUCGUUAUAUAUAUAUAUGUAAAUGGCCUUAUCAUUUGUGGUGUAUGGUUAUCAUGUGAAUGUAUAGUUUGUGAAUUGAUAUUUUGGGUACCAAAUAGUUGAGCUUGAUAAGUGACAUACAUGUUAAAUUUUGGUACAAUUAUGCAUAUUUGUGUUCGGUCGUUUAGGUAGGUUUGGAUACAUAGUUGGCAUGUUUUUCAAUGGUCAGAUGAGGUGCCUAUGGGCAUCAUGGUUGUAUGUGAUGAUAUUUCGUGUCUUAAGCUUUAUUUUGGUUGGUGUUGAAUGUCCAUUCAUGACUUGGUCAUAUGCAAAUUGUUGUGUUUAGGUUGUUAUCAAUUUGCGUGAGAAAUAUGGCUUGCAAAAUGACUUAUUUUUGUCCACACAGGCAGAGACACGGGCGUAUGUCUCAGUUGUGUGUCCCCUGUACCUUUUAAAGAACACAAGUCAGUAGCCUAAAACGGCCUAGUACACGGGCAUGUGGCUUGGACGUGUGUCACAAGUCAGUAUACUCAACAUUUUUCACAUGACCUAACACACGGGCAUGUGGCUUGGCCGUGUGUCACAAGUCAGUAUGCUCACCUUUUUUCACACGGGCAUGUGGCUUGGCCGUGUGACCCAAGUCAGUGAGCUCACUAGUUUGGACACGGGCAGGGACACGGCCAUGUGUCCGUAUUUCGAAUGCCCACAAGGCCUGAGACACGGGCGUGUCUCUUGACCGUGUGAGACACAUGGCCUGGCCACACGGGCAUGUGUCCCCUGCACCUUUGAAAAUUUUCAAUGUUUUUUAAAAAAUUCUUUGAGUACUCGAUUUAAUCUCGACUUAUUUUUAAUAUUUAUUUCAGGCCUCGAGGGCUCGUAUUAGGGACGAUAUGACUGGAAUUUAUUGGUUUCUAUUAUAAAUGGUAUAUGAAAUAAAAUGUCUGUUUGUUUGAGUUGUAAGUCCAGUAAUGCUCCAUAACCCUAUUUUGGUGUUGGAUACGGGUUAUGGGUGUUACAUAAACUAAAACUCUUGGACAAAGGACUAAAUCGUAACAAAUUGGACUAAUUUGAAUAGAACUAAGAACUUAGGUAGUGAUAACCCUAAAGGAUUAUUAAGAUAAAGUGAGACCGGAAGGUAAUCUUGCCGUGCACCUACUCAUUAAUUUCAGAUUAGUUGGUAAGAUUGGAAGAUAAAUCGGACCUAAUUCGUCUAAGUUGGAAAAAUUGAUAUUGGAAGAUAAAAUGGAGUCACUUGGUAAUUUAUGCGAUUUAUGUCAAUAGUCUGAGAUUUGGUGAACCACGUAUAAGUCAACCAACCCGCAUUAGUUAUUUGUUAGAUAGCUCAUCUAGUUUUACAUUUCUUACACUUUAGUCCUUAGAGUAGAAUAUUUAAUUUUCUUGGAAACUCAUCUUUUUAUGAAUUGUCGUAAUAUAAAAUAGUAUUAGUAGCCACUUAGACUUUAUCGUGUUUGCUAAUGAUUAAUCAAUCGCUUCUUCCUUUGGGUUCAAUCCUUGGAAUACUUCAGCCUUUCAUUGUAACAAUAUAAAUACUACAAUUGACAUGUACGCUUACAGUAUAAUUGGGAUUUAAAAAUUAUUAUAUAAACUUGUUGUUUUAACGCGCACACGCAUAGCCGAUCAUGGAGGCACUUAGUAAUUUAAGCAAUUUAAUUUCCUUGUCUGAGAAUUGGUGAACCACAUUGAAAUCAACCAACCACCGUUAGUCAAUUUAUUUGGUUAAAUCCUUAGUUUUAUAUUUUUUAUAGUUUAGUCUUCAGAUUUGUGCAUUCAAUUUUAUUGCAAAAUUUCCUUAUUAUGAUUUGUCGUACUGUAAAAUCGUAUCAGUGGUCGCUUAGACUCUAUUAUGUAUGCUAGUUAUCACUCAAUCUCCAUCUCCUUUAGGUUCGAUCCUUGGAAUACUCCGGUGUUCCAUUGUAACACUAUAAAUAUUACAACUGACCUGUGUGCUUGCAGUAAAAUCGGGCAUUAAAAAUUGUUUUAUAAGUUUGAUGUUUUAUGCGUACAUGUGCAAUGUCGGUCAAAAAGUUAGGAUUAAAUUUAAAGGACUAGUAAAUUGUCGAAUUUUAAAGGGAGAUUUGAAAAUUUUAAUGGUUGAAUUUUGAAUAGUUGGAUUUUAAUUCCAGUUCAGUUAGAUUGGAAUCAGCUGGUUCUAAAGUGAGCGACAAAAUGAUUAAGAGUGGAUGGUAGAAAUGGUCGCUAAAGACUAUGCCCAAAGAGCAUAUAUAGGUGUAAGUAGAGACGAAAUUUUCUCAAUUCUGUAUAUAAACCUUCUCCUCUUAAUAAGCAUCAUCUUCCUCAUUCAUUCUCAAGAAGAAGGGGAUGCAAAUGAAGGAAGCUCUGCAUGUCGCAACAGAGGUGUGAAUUUAAGUUCAGUGAGGGAGAAAUUGAGGAACUGAUAAGUUUCCUUACCUCUCUGUAAUUGUAAAUUAAAGAAAAGAGGUAGUGUAAGAAUUCUCAAGGCUUCUGAAUAAUUGUGGAUUCUGGGUCUUAAAGGUUGAAUACCCUUAGUUUAACCAAUACAUGGUUUUCAUGCUUAGCUUCUAGGACGAAGGAGGCUGUGGCUUUCAAAAAAGCUAAGCUAAGGAGAUAAGGAACCAUCAGGUGAGCUUCUGCACCCUACCUCUUGAUUGAUAAAUGUUGUUGUGAUGUCAUGCUAGUUAUGUGUUGACUGCUAUCAGUAGAUAAGUGGUAUUAUAUGUAUGAUUAGUGUAUGCAAAGUAUGAGAGGGAAAUAUUGACGGGUUAGAAGAAGCUAGGAUUCAGAAAAGAGUGAUUCUGUUAGAUGCUGCCAUACGAGAUUGUUGGGAGUAAACUGUGAUGUGUGAAGCUCUAGGGCUUGCGGAGGGAAUACUGCGGUGUCAAGUAUCAAUGUUAGGGUGGUGAAUGGAGGAAUGGGCGAAGGAAAAAGGAAAAUUGGAAUUCCAUUUUGAUUUAUGCCAUCCGAAAUUUUUGCGAGUAAACUGUGAUGUGUGAAGCUCCGAGCCUUACGGAGGGACACUUUGGUGUUCGAGCAUCAAGGUGGAUAUAUGAUAGAACGACAUUGAUGAUUAUUAGGUUCCAUAGAGCAACAUCGUGACGGCAGUCAGUAGGCUUUAUUGGGGGACACCGCGACAGUAGUAGGGUCCUUCAAGGUGAUACCUCCAAGAGGUUUAAGGUGUAAGACCAUAUCUCGAUUAUGGCAACUGAUAUGCCAUAUGUAGCAAAUUAGGCAUUUUCGACACACUUAAUGAGCUUUUUCUUGAGCAAAAUAGAGUUUUUAGCUUAGUUUUUCGUUAUUUUUGUAUUUUUAUAUUUUUUGGGUUAUAAGUGAAAAUUUUUUGUUUUUCUCUAAUUUUUUUACCCAAAUUGGCUGAUAGUGCUAUUGGGAGGUCUAAUGUGUGUUUGAGUGACGUAGGGACCUGUCAGAGGUCGAAAACGAGUAGGUACAACAUCUAGGGAAAGCGUAUGAUGAUAUCCAACCCUUAGAAUCGCAAUUCCUCUGGCAGUAUAGAAUACCAAAGAGACCCUUCAGUGGUAUCGCGACAUCCCUUUUGGGUAUCGUGAUAUCCACCUAUCAAGGAAGACCCCAACAAGAAAUCAAGGAGUUCAAAACUCAACCCUCCACUGUCCUUGAACUUAGUACCAUGGAUAUUGAGGGUUAGGUAGGAACAUAACGGAGGUUUCUCACAAAAAUGUACUCAAGCGAUUAGUGAAGAGGAAUUGAAUUAGCUCGUAAUUGAUUCUUGUUAAAUAUAGUGCUUAAAGAAAAGAAAGAAAAACGAGGAUCAAAAGUAUUGUAAGAGAAAAGAACAAACAAAGUGUAAAAAUGCUUAAAAAAUGAAAUGAGCAUAAAAUUGUUUCGAAAUCAUAGUGCGCAAAAACAAGCUAAUAUCAAUUAUCCUCUUCCACUGUAUUGGAGAGAUAAGGAUGGUGAGAAAAGGAGAAAUAAGGUGGUGAGAUGGAACAAUCACAUUUUGGGGGAGGGGAAUUGGGAACAAUGUUUUGUGUUAUACUAUUCAUAGUGCUUGGACCAUUUUGAGAUGAACUUUCUUUGAAUCCGUACCAACCUCAGCCUCAGAACGUUACAAGUCGAAAAGACCUUUAGGACCCAAAUAAGUUACCGAAGCAGCAAUUUGAAUAUAGCUUGCAUUUGUUAGAACGAACGUAAACAAUUAUUUUUAAUUAUCUAUGAGCGAUCUGUAUAAUUUAAUUUGACAGACCAUAUUUGUACAUAUGUUCAUUUACAUUUCCUCCAUCUCUAUAGACAUUUUUAAAUUGCAUGUAAACUAAUUCUUGUACAAAUUUAAUGUUGUGUAGCUAUAUAACUUAAGUGUUUGAUUUAGUCCAAGGGUCGUCUUUUUGUAUAUUUUGUGUGUUUGCUUGACGAUAAGAAAAGACUUAACUGUGAGGGAAAAUGAUCUGCCACAAAUCGAUGUGGCAAAUUAGAUUUUUGCGACACACUUAAAGAUAUUUUUCUAGAGAAAAAUAGAGUUUUUAGCUUAGUUUUUUUUGUUAAUUUUGUAUUUUUAUAUUUUUAGGGUAAUAAGUGAAAAUAUCUUGUUUUUGUCCAAUUUUUUUUACCAAAAUUGGCUGACAGUGCCAUUGGGAGGUCUAACGUGUGUUUGAGUGAUGUAGGGACGUGUCAGAGGUUGAGAACGACAUCUAGGGCAAGGGUAUUGCGAUAUCCAACCCUUGGAAUCGCGAUACCUCCGGCAAUAUAGAAGACCAAAGAGUCCCUUCAAUGGUAUUGCGACAUCCUCUUUGGGUAUCGCGACAUCCAUCUCUCAAGGAAGACCCCCAAGUUGAACACUGCACGAGAUAUCGCGAUAUCCUCUUUUAGGUAUUGCGAUAUCACCUUUGUAAGGGGAUAAACUUGGACAAAAAGGGCAACCUUUGUCUACUCGACCCACCAAUCACACAAGGCUCAUGUAGGGGUAAUUUUGGCAUAAAAAAUUUAUCAGAACACCAUUCAAAACAGUAAAAAAUUACUGAGGAUGAGAGAGAUACAUUUUAGCUUAGUUUUAAGUUUAGUUUUCUCUAGGUUUUCUUUAGUUUUUCUCUACACUUUUUUAGGGUUUUUAUUUUUCUCUUCUUCUACAUUAGAUUAGAGUUUAUUUUUUUUGCAUUUACUUCUUAUUCUUAAUGUUCUUUAUGUUAGUUAACAUUGUAGCUAAGGUUUAUUUACAUUUCUAGUCCCUGUACCUUAUUUUCAAGACUCUUUAAGUUUUAGUUUAAUGUAUUUCAGUUUAUUUCACUUCAAAUUUGUUAAAGUUUGUUCCUUUUAUGUUUCUUGUUUUAAAUUUCUUUGUUAAAUGCUUUUGGUUUCAUGCUAUUUAAAUUUUCUCGUAUAAAAAUCUCAACUUUUACAUUUUUCUUAACUUUUACCUUUAUGACUGCUUUGUUUUCCAUUGUUAUGUUUAUUUUCUUGAAUUGGAGCAUGUGUAGCUAAAUCUUUAAGGCGGUUGCUUGAUGGAGAUGUAGAUAAACUAAUAUCUUUGGACAAAGGACUAAAUUGUAACAAAUUAGGCUAAUUUGAAUAGAAUUAAGAACUUAGGCAGUGAUGCCCCUAAGGGAAUAUUAAGAUAAAGUUAGACCGGAAGGUAAUCUUGUCGCGCACUCGUUCGUUAGUCUCGGAUUAAUCGGUGAGAUUGGAAGAUAAACUAGACCAAAUUCAUCUAAGUCGGUAAAAUUGAGAUAAUAAGAUCAAAUGGAGUCACUUGAUAAUUUAUGCGAUUUAUGUCCCUAGUCUGAGAUUUGGUGAACCACAUCGAAGUCAAUCAACCCUCAUUAGUCAUUUUCUAGAUAGUCCCUUUAGUUUACAUUUCUUGCAAUUUAGUCCCUAAAGUAGAAUAUUUAAUUUUCUUGCAAACUUAUCUUUUAUGAUUCGCCGUACCAUAAAAUCAUAUUAGUAGCCACUCAAUCUCUAUUGUGUAUGCUAGUUAUUGCUCAAUUUCCACUUCCUUUGGGUUCGAUCCUUGAAAUACUUCGAUCUUUCAUUGUAGCACUAUAAAUAUUACAAAUAACCUGUAUAUUUGCUAUAAAACUGGAAUUUAAAAAUGUUUCAUAAAUUAGUUGUUUUAAUACGCACUUACGCAGUUGGUCAGUGACCUAGGUAGUCCGCCGAGAUAGAAAACACAGGGUAGUCAUUGGAAUAUCAAACAUGGGAAUCAUAAUUGGACAAUAUGUGGUUCAUGAAGGAUGUCAAUAGUGAAAGUGGAGUUCGCAGAGUGAAUGGAGUGAUAAGUCUCAUGAAUGAAUGAUCUUGGCAUGUCUAGGGAAUUUAGACCACCAGAAUAGUGAGGGAUGUUAAGGUUAUGUCCCAACCCCAGUUAGGGUAAAAAGGGAAAGAGGCUCCUUAAAUGAAAAGGUAUAACUGGAAUACGCAAGUUCUAGUCUGCUAGGGGAGCUGCAGAUUCCAUACUGUUUAAGCAGUUUUGUAUUAGCCUGUAGUGGAACGAGAUUCUUGCGAGCUGACGAAAGCUGGCCGAAGGGUUCAAUAGGUUGAACAAGGUUUUAUGAGAGGAAAUGUGUACCGGUGGUUGAAGGGGCAGGAAGGUUCAUUAGGGGAUACGGGAAAGUGGAGGCCGGAGAUGGCCAUAGAGGUUAGUAGAGAUCUUGUAGAGUUUUCCCCAAAGGCAGGAACUGCAUGUCCUAAGAAGUCAUCUUUGGAAAUAGAUCGAUAGAGCAAGGGUUUCAAUGUUGUUAGUUAGCUCUAGUGCUCCAAGGUAGUGAGGUCAUCAAAAUCUGAGAAAAACUGAAAAUGUAGGAAACACUUGGAUAGGCACCAGGCGUUGCCUGCCAGAAAUAAUGAACACGGUUAUCAGAUAGUUAAAUUCUGAGCUGGAUGUCUCAUUCUUCUUAAAAAUUUUAUAUGUAGAUCUCACUAAGUUCACCUGAACUUAUAAGCUUUCUGCUCAAAUACAAGUUAGUUAAAGAAUCGAAAACUGAGAGGGACCAAGCCAGACUUCGUUAGAGGCUAGGCGAAAUGCAGCAACAAUGCAUGUUUAUAGAGUGCCAUUCGUAGAGGCUCUACCUUAAGGGUUUAGCGGCUAUUUUAUGUAUUCAAAUCUUGUCCAAAAUUUUGUAACCAAUCAUUAGAAAUGAAGUUUUAAGGUUUUACUAUUAGUGUAAUAUAACAUGUUUAAGUAUGUAAUUAAACAAGAACAGAAUUUUCGUUAAGUCAUUUGGGUUGAUGUAGCAUCCGAUACCUGAACCUGGCAAACGAGUUGGGUAAAGGGUGUCAUAAUUUUUCACACACUUGAAUUCAAUAAAAAGUUGUAGAGAGAAAAUUUUCUAAAAAAAUUAUUUCAUAAUAUUUUUCUUAUUUACAACUUGGCUCAGAAGUUUAGAGAAAUUACAAAAUUACCCCAUUGGUAAUUUUAUGGAAAAUUUUCUGAUUCGAAACGAGCUUACACUCGGUAGACGUGAGCUUGAGGAUAGCGGAGAAGACUACUCGAUCGAAGCGUUCAUCCUAGACGAAUAAAAAAUGUACAUUUUUUAUUAAGUGUUUAUUACUUUAGAUAUCACAAUCAAGUUCUUGUUUUUGGAAAAAAAAAUAAAACUUUGGUUUUUCCCUUAAACUCGUUUUUCACUGUGUUUUCCAAACCCGUUUUUCCAACACUAUAAUAUGCCCUCUCCCCUAGCUUGCUCAUGCCACCCUCCCAAGCAGCUGCCACCCCUACUCCCUCAGACUAAGCCUUUCACUAAUAACCUUCUGGCUCUCAGCAUCAAGUUACUGAAAUGCAAGAGAAAAUAAAGCGUAAAAAGGAGUAGCAACGUCGAUUCUAAAAGCAAUAGAAGCAUCAGCGCCUACUUGACCAAAAAAUGCUCAGUAUGAGCAACUGAUCGAAGAACUUUGUAGCUAGGGAUCAUAUUGUCAUGUGCAUCUUUUGGAUUUAAAGGAGUCAAAGUGUAUUAUUUCCCACGAAACACAAGGGAAUAUUUGUUUAAGUUACCAUGUUGAACAACAUCACGAUCAUAUUGUCAUGGUCAUCCGAGUAAUAAGUAGGCAAGCUUGCAUAGGAACCAUAUCACACCAAACAUCGUUAAAAUAAUUCCUAAUUUUAAAAGUGAUUAAAGACUAUUCUUCCAAUUUUAUCUCUGAAUCUUCAUUAAGCCCUUUUAGAUGAUAUAUCUUAGGGUGUUUUUGACAAGGUAAAAAAAAAGAUUCCACAAGGUAACUACUUACCACAUCGACACAACUGCAACUAUCAAUUAUAAUGAACAAUUUUCCUUUUAAUUAAACAUCAUGAAUGGAAUAUAUUAGUCUUAUAAACAUCAGAAUUGUCUCUUACAUGCAUGUUACGGGUUUGUCUCACUACAAAAGAAUAAGAUGCUAUCAAAUUGUCCCUAUCAAUUGGAGGUUAUAAUACCUUAUCUUCAUCAAAUUCAUUCUCAUCAACAACAUCACAAUCAUUAGUAUUCUCUAAAACAUUAUCACAUCCAGAAUAAAAAGAAAGUGUACCAUCAUAAUGCAUAAAUAAGAAGCAUUUAUUUGGACACUCAUGAGAAUAAUGACCAUUCUCAUUACAUGUAAAGCAUUCAAUAUCUCGAGUAUGUUUAUGAUUUUGUUAUGAAGAAGAAGUAGAAGUGGGUUUGGUGUAAGAGGAUGUACUUUUGGAUGACGCCUCACUUUUUCAUUCAAGUUGUUUUGAUUUAUCUUUAUAUGGUAGCGAACAAUUCCCACUCUUUGGAAAAGAUUUCAAAUCCCUAAUGAGGAGUUAGAGUUUAAAAUUUUCCAAUUUGAUUCAUUACUCCAUAAAUGGGCCUUAGAUUUUUAUUGGAGUUGCUGCUCAAUGUUAUGGCCUUCUAAAUUUCCUUCUCUAGAUCAAAAUAGGUUUGAAGAUCAAAUACAUCAGAUAUGGCCACAUUCAAUCCAUCAAAAAAUCGGGUUAUAGCGUCAUCUUCAUACAUAUUUGCUCAGUGCAUGAGCAUCUCUAUCUCCUUAAAAUAUUCAUCAAUGGAGUUGUUCCCUUAAAUAAUAUGUUUAAGCUUUCACUUAUUGUCAUUAAUGUAGUGAUAUGGGACAAAACAUUUUUGCAUGAUCCAUUUUAGUUUAUCUUAUGAUUCAAUCAACUUCUCAUGGUUCAUUUCCUGAUUUCGCAUAAGUGUAGUCCAUUAACUCAAAGCACAGUCAGAAAAUUCCAAUGUAGCCAAUAUAACUUUCUCCUCCCCCGGACAUUUAUAGUAAGUGAAAAUGAGAUCAAUUUUGCUCUACCAAUCAUAAUAUGUGCAUUUGAAUUGUGUUUACCUUUGAACAACAUAAUGUUGAACUUCAGUUUAACAAAAAAAAAAUUGCCACGGGUAUUACAAUCCGAAGCCUCCUCAUGAGCACAAGAUCCAUAUUUAUCAUCACUAGGUUGAUUUUGAAGCUCAUCAUCCUCAUCACUGUCUUGUCCACGAAAUUUAUGAAUUGCCACAUUAUCUAACCAUGCCAAAGUGUUGCUCAAAAUCUGUUAGACAGCUCAUUCUAACUAACACAAUCUUUUAAGUCCUUGAACAAUUUUUCAAACUUGUCCAAAAUUUCCAUCAUGUCUUUUUACAACUUAGCUUACAUUUCAACCACAUUUCAAAAGUAACUUGUGGCUUGUCAUGAUCAUCAUCUCCUCCUCAAGUACAAGCCAUUUUGAUAAUCCGAAAUCACAGCACACGAAAUAAAGAAAAGAUGAAGUAUAAAACCUUAUCCUUAACACUUGUGAUAAAAAAAAAACUCUUGGAGGAAAAGGAAAAUAUUAAGAAUCCUUCACUUGUAAAUCUUAAAGUGUACAAAAUCAAUAAUCUCAAAAGACUUAAUGGUGAGUGUUCACUAGCAAAGCACACCUAAGGCUCUAAGAAGCCAAAUAAAGCUCAACUCUAAAAGAAAGAAGUUGCGUGGAAAAAGGAAAGGCAAAUUUCGUUGUACCUACUAACAUAAGAAAUAAAAAAAGUGUUAAAAUGAGUAAGGAAAAAUAAAAAGGCUGAACAAAUGAAAUCCUAAAUCUAGAAUCAAAGAAAAUUGUAACUACCUAUCAGAAAAUUGAAAAAUGGAACACAACUUGAAUUUUCCGUUUAAGGUGUUAUUGAUGAGAUAAAAUCGUGAAAUUAAAUAUGGAGCCUCUUCAAAUGAUAAAAAUAAGACCUAGAAAGAUUGGGCAUUUAAUUCAAUCCACAAUUUUUUUCUCUUUUUUUUUUUGGCUUUUCUACUGUAAUCCAAACAAACUUUAAUGUGCAUUUCUUGAAAGGAAACCUUUGUAUUUUGAAACUUGAAAUUUCAACACAAUAAAGAACAUAAGAAAAAUAUUCAUAUGAAUAAAAUCAAGAUUGAAAAAGAUUAGGGAAGGUGGGGAAAAAUAAGUGUGAAGAUGGAUAAAAAGUAAUGUCCAAUGGAACUCUUUAAAGAACACUUCAACAAACUCCACCAAAGGCUCUAACCAACCCUCCAAGAAAAGAAAUCAAGUUGAAAGCACUUCUAAGAAAAUACAAAAAAAGAAUCUUUCAAAGAGAGAAAACUCUAAGAGUUUAAUUCAUAAAAAUAAUGAAAAAUGAAUGAUGUACAUGAAGGGAGUGACUUGCCUUAUAGAGGAAAAAAUAGGGUAAGUUAAGAGUUCUAAUCAUACUAGGAUUACCUAAACAACAAGUAACAAGAAAAAAAUUAACCUAAUGAAAAAAACUAAGUAUAAAACAUCAUUAAUAGGUGAAAGUUGACGAGCCUUUGAAUAUAACGGAGAGAUGGAAAAAUAUUGGAUGGAAAAUGAUGACAAGGCGAUGCCCUAUAAAACCCUUUGAAUAAAAAUCUUCAACAAGCUUUGCAAAUGGCUUUAAUCAACCCUCUAAAGCUGAACCCUAGUAAAUUGGAGGGUGAAGAAUGUUUCCCAUGACUUGUUGAAGAAAACCAAGAUGAAACAAAUUCUAAAAAUCAGAAGAAAGAUAUUUUUCAAAAAGAGAAACUCAAAGGGUUGUAUUAUUCCAAGAAUGAAGGAUGUGUAUAAUAAGGGGCAUCAUAGGCUAUUUAUAGGGAAAACUAGGGUAAACCUAAACAAAAAUGACAUGUUUCAUAAGUAACAAGCAAAAAACCCUACUUAAUUAACAUGAAAAAUAAAUUAAGUGAUAUUUGGCCAACUUAUAGUACGGAGCAUUGAUUGAAUUUAACAAAUAAAAUAGUCAUAAUGGGCUUAAAUAGAAGUUGUUCAUAAAACUCUAUUAACAAAAUAAAUUAACUAAGUUCUAAAGAUGAUAAAAAUGUUCCAAAUGAGUUAAAUAACAUAAGCUACGCAUGUGGGCUUGAUUGGACUCCUUGAAGUGCAACGUUUAAGCUUGUUAACAUCUUCCACAUGGACUUAUCUUCAUGAAUUGAACUUUUAAUGCCAUGACCAGUCUUGCAACCUUCUAAUUUGUCCUUAAUUCUUAUUGAACUCCAAAGUCCAUCAUCUUAAAGCUUCAAAUCCUCUUCUUGAAAUCUUUUUAUCAAAAAGUAUUGUACAGAUAAGUUGAGCUUUGACAUCAAUUGCUCAAAUUUAGAUAUUGUGGUUGGGCCUUGAGAAAAACCGAACCCAUCUCCAUCAUGAGCUUAAAAUUAGGUCAAGUCAUUCCUAUCAAGACACCUAAACCUUUUAUAAAAAACACAUCUCCUCCACCAAAAGAAAACAAAGAAAUUAUUACGACCAAUAUUCUAAACAUGCUUUGCCAGACAUCCGAAAAAACCCUUGGUGGCUCUCGGCACUACCGUGUAAACUGCAUCAGCUCCCAAAAGACCCCAUUGAUAAUUCUUGCAUCAACAAUCACUAUUUCUUGAAAUCGGAUGGAGCUAACUAUUUUUAUUUUACCGUCUCAAACAUAGUCUUCGGCUGCGUUCGGCAAUGAUUAUCUAAUGAGUUUUUAGGGGAAAAAGUGCUUUUAUAUAAAAAGCAAUAAAGAAUGGGGUAAAAAGUAGGAGCUUUUUCAGCUUAAAAAAAAAAGUCCUUUUUCUAAGAUGAAAAAGCCAAAUUUUGGUGCUUUUUUUAGCCAAAAGUGCUUUUGAGGCUGAUAUUAUAUUUUUGACCUUAUUUGUUGUCUUCCUUUUUUUUUCCCUUUUUCAUUACAAAAAUUUAAUUAUUAUAUUUAAAUAUUUAAAUAUAGUUUAUAUAUUCUAAUUAAAUUUAAUAAAUAAUUAAUAUUAAUUAAUUAGAAAUAUUUAAAAUUAAUAUUACAUAUUAAAAUAUUAACAAUAAGUUAUAAUAAAUUAUUUUUUAUAUUUUUGCUAAAAUAUCAUAAUAUUAACUAAUUUGAACAUUAUUUAAAUACAUAUUUGUUACCUUAUAAUAUCAUGUCUAAAAUGGACAUUUUAUUUCUCAAAAGUACUUUUUGACAACAAUACCAAACACUCAAAAUUUUCAAAAACACUUUUCCACAGUACUUUUCAAAAGUAUUGCCAAACUAGCCCUUCGUUUCCGACAUUCUAUUACUUAAAUCUAAAAAUUUUUGAUUUUAUUGAAUAUGGAGAAAAAAAACCCUCAACAUUGGUGGAAAGAUCUUUUGUUGCAUUACUUGACCAAAAAUUUCAUUUGUAUUUAUUCUUACAAAUCAAAUUGCUUAUUUAUUUAUUUAUUUCUGACACUUACUAUUUUAAAAGAAUAAUAAUCAGCUGCUUCUUUCAAAAUUACAAGACAUUUUUGUUUUUUAGCCACACAAGUAAUCAAAUUGAUUAUGAAAGGGACACAUAUUUUGUCCAUAGAUUAAACAUAAAUAAAUAAACAAAUAAACUUCAACUAUGCAAGAAAGUCCACAAAAUCGACGGUUAUGAUAGUUUGAUAAACCUUUCUCCGCUUACUCUACUUUUUUAAAACCAAAAAAAAAGGAGUUGACCCAAAAUUUUUUAUGCAUCUUUUGAUAAUUCUGUCCCAAAGCUGUUGAGUUAACGCUAACUAAUUUCAUUAGCCUUUGAUCGGAUCUUUCCCUUCUUUUCAUAAAGUGCACUGUGAAUACUAUUACUUGGUCAAAAUCUCUGGUUGUUUACUUCCCAAUUAUUUGAAGGUUUGAGUUAUAUCGGUUAUGUUUUGAGUUCAAAUUUUAUAAAUAAAAAAUAUGGAAUUGAGAAAAUCUUAUCAAAUUAUCGUUUAUAUUCUAAAUUUUAAAAUAUUUUAAUUAAGUAUUUUAAGGUCUCGAUAUUAUAUUGACUAGAUCCUUUAGUUAGUUUAACCAUCAAUUUACUUAUUAAAGGCUAAGUUGAAAUAAAGAAUUGAUUGAUACAAUAAUAUUUAAUAAUUUAAGCAAAUAUUUGAUAAUUUAGGGAACAAACUCCUGUGCUUACUUAAGCCUAAAUUUGGAUUUAAACAAGAAUCCACCUCUUUAAGUGAACCUUGGGGUAAGUCUAUUAUAAUAAUGCUAAAACAUAAUUAUUUAUUUAAUUAUUGAAUUGGAGUGUGGUUUCAGCUCAUUGAGAGCCACUUAAACUGCUAUAAAUAAUUAUUACUACUUUGAAUACAUGAUUAAGGGAGACUGUUUCACAAAGUCUUUGGUGGAAUUUUAAUUAAGGAAAACUUUGUGUAUUCAGUGUGAGAUGGGAAUCUGCAUAUCCAUUGCAUCUUCAGAGAUUCAUGAUCAAGCUGAAGAUCAACAUCACUUCCAUGAAAAUGUUCUUUACUUGACCGAAACCAUUCCUUCCAUUGGAACUCACACACAUGGUUCUCUUUACUCGAAACAAGGAACCAAAGGACUCAACCAGGAUGCUGCCAUCCUUUAUCAGGUUUGCCAUUGCUAAUCCUUUCUCUCUUUUUUUGGUUUAAUUCUGAUUUCAGUCUCUCUACUAUGCUAAAAUUUGAGAUUUGAUUCAUCUACUCUUUUUUUUUAUUAGAGGGACUAAACCAUAAUUAUACCUUUCUUCUUGGCUUGAAAAUAAUAUAUAUGUGCGUGUGUUUGUGUGUAUGUAUGUCAAUUAAAACUCUGGGAUUUGUACCUUUUGGUUCUUCAAGGAGUAUGGGAUUAAAGGUGGAGCAUUUUGUGGUGUUUUUGAUGGACAUGGGAAGAAUGGUCAUAUAGUGAGCAAUAUGGUGAGGAAUCGGCUGCCAUCAUUGUUGGUAAGCCAAAAGUAUGGUGUAGCAAAGCUUGAACCAACACCUGAAAGCGACAAUGGAAGGAGACCAAGGAAGGAUUUGGUUAAAUGGAAACAGGCUUGCGUUAGUGCCUUCAAGGUGAUGGACAAGGAGAUUAAGCUGCAACACAAUUUGGAUUGCUCCACUAGUGGAACCACCGCUGUUGUUGUUGUUAGACAGGUAAGAAAAAUAUCUAGUCAUAUUACUACUGGUUUUCGAAGAAAUUCUUAGAUUCAUAAUUCGAUUUCACAAAUUAUAGGUUGGUUUUGGGGACUGUGUCAAUUUGACUUUUAAAUUAUAGGUUGGCUAAAAAUAUAUUUUUUUUUCAUUUAAUCAAUGGUUAAAAAGUGUUAAAUUGAUUUUUUGGAGGGGCUGAAAAGUAAUAUUGCCAUUUAGGAAGAGAGCCUACCAACCUUUCUAGCUACACCCUUGAUUUUGGAUUCGGAUCUUUCAAGAUUAAGGUCUGGUUUGAGCGUUGUCACUUCAAGUUUAGGUCAUUUCAAAUUCAUUCUUUUUUAUUUGCAUCAAUUCAGGUUCAAAUUAUUUUAAGUUUGGGAGGUUUGAGUUUAAAUUAAUUUUGGAUUUAAGUUCAUUCAAGUUUAGGUUAGAUGAGUUUGAGUUGUUGAGUUUUUAUGAUCAAAAUCAUAUUUAUAUUUGAAAAGAUAAAAGUUGAAUUUUCUAAGUUAUGGCGAUGGUAGCUUAUUAUAGUUUCAUUUCCAAAGGGUGAAGUUCUUGUGAUUGCAAACCUGGGCGAUUCAAGGGCAGUGCUAGGAACAAUGACUGAGAAGGGGAUCAAAGCUGUUCAACUAACUACCGAUUUGAAGCCUGGUUUACCCAGUAAGACCCCCAUUUCCACCAUCAUUCUUACUCAUUAUAUAAAACAAAUCAAUGAAUUAAAAGAGCCAUUUUCACCAUAUUAUUUUCAAUUGCAGGUGAAGCUGAAAGAAUAAGGAAUUGCAAGGGUAGGGUCCUUGCUUUAAAGGAAGAACCACAUAUCCCUCGAGUGUGGCUGCCCCAUGAGGAUUCACCAGGCUUAGCCAUGUCUCGAGCCUUUGGAGACUUUUUGCUCAAGGACCAUGGCCUCAUUGCGGUCCCCGAUGUCUUCUAUCACCGCCUAUCCCCAAAUGAUCACUUCAUUGUUCUCGCAACUGAUGGUGUAAGCCCCCUUUCAAUCAAAUUAGUAAUAACCUCCUCUAAUUAUCAUCCAAAUUUUAAAUUCAUCCCUAAUUUUUAAAAUGUUAUAAUUGAGUUCUCAAAAUAUUAAUAUUGUAUCAAUCAAAUUCUUUCAUCAACCUAAAAUCUCUCAAGUGUUAAAUGUCAGUUCAGAUUGACAUAGAGUGUGUAUGUAUGUAUAUAUAUAUAUAUUAAAGACACUGUCCUCUAUGCCCUUGAUUGAGUUGAUAUUACGAGACAACUACGUACUAACUCAGUUGGGUAAUAACUAAAAUAACAUUAUUUUACAAAGUAAAUUAUAUUAUUUUGAGAGUUUUUCUAUCUUUUAUAAAAAAAAACAUAUCUAUAUUGGAUUUGAACUUAAGACACUAUAUAUAAUUUUAAAUAUCUUCACAUUACUAUUUUAAUGAAAACCUCGUUUGUUUUUUAUCCUUAAGUUUAAAAUUUGAUCUAAUUGUUCUAAUUAUACUCCAUUUCAUAUCAAAACUAACAACUAGGUUGAGGGGAAAAAACCUGAUUGAUACUAUACCAACACUUUAAGGCCUUCGAUUAGAAUAUUUUGAAAUUUGGAGGAUUAAUUUAAAGUUUGAACUCUAAUUUCAGGACCUUUAUAUAAUUAGCCCUAAUAAUAAUAUUUUUUUCACACGUGUAAGAAUGUGAAGCUAAAUCGUUUGAUUUUGGCAUGUUGUUAGGUAUGGGAUGUGCUAAACAACGACCAAGUUGCAUCCAUAGUGAUGGAGGCAGAAAGUGAGCAGGCAACAGCAAGGACGGUGGCGGAGGCAGCCACCGCCUCAUGGAAGAGGAAGUUUCCGUCUUCAAAAGUAGAUGACUGCACCGUGGUUUGCCUCUUCCUCCAAGACAAGCAACAUCCAAGUUCCUUGGCCCCGGAGACUUAAACUAGUUGAUUGGCCUGACCGCCUUUGAUGUAUAAAAUAUAUAAAAUUUGAGGAUAUUUUGAUCAUUAUUUAUAAAAGAAAUCAUACUAUAUUGAGAAUAGAACUAAGACUUUACUAGUUGGUAGGCCUCCUUUGUUAUUUAAAUUAAUUUAUAUUACUUAUCUAAUAUAAUACUUCAGUAUUGAGUAUUAAAUUUAGAAUAUACAAUAUGAUACCAUUACACAAGUAUAUUUAUUCUUUUUAACACAAUGUUUAAAACUAUUCAUAGUUCCUCUCCAACCUAUAAAUAGGAGGAUAAUACGCUUCAGCGCACUUGAAUCCAAUUGAGCUAAGACUCAAUCCAUAAAUAAAAUAAUAUUUUUAAAAAAAUAAAAUAUGAUAAAAUUAAAUGGGUUUAGUACAUAUAAUAUACUAGGUUUUAAUUUUGAUAUAUUUAACUAUUAUAUUAUGUUUAUACGAUGAAAAUACAAGAUAAAGAUAAAGUUUUGGAAAUCUUGAUAUUAGAAAUUUAGCUAAUACUUUAAUGUAAAAUAAAAAAAUUGCCAACAAGACCUUCACUGAAAUAAUAAGGUUAAAAUUUUUGAACUCUUAAAUUCGAUUUUCAUCCCAUAUAAACAUCGUGUUUGAGUUCUCUCUAAUAUUUAUCUUUAAAAGUUCCACUAAUUUAAUUCUAGUUUUAAUUAUUCAACCAUGUACUAUAUUUACGAUGAUAUAUAUACUUAUAAACUCUUUAAAAAAUAAAAUCCUAAAUAAUUUUGAUAAAGUAUAAAACAGAUACAAUGAAGUUUAAGCAAUCAAGUACAUGAUCAGCUAGGCAUGAAAAGGAAGCAUGUUUUGGAAUUUUACUAUCAAGGAAAGUCCCCUUUGUCCCACAAUGAAACUUCACCCAACUUUUGAUAAUAGUAUGGUUUUUCCAUGAAAACGAUAGGGUUGGGUAAUUAGAAUCAAACUAUUGUUUUUCUAUUUAAAUUCCAUCGUAAAUAUAUUAAAGUCCAAAAUUAUGUGUCACUUCCCCUGGAUCUAGUUUAAAUUCACCAAUAAUGCAAGGGUCGCUGUAUAUGUAUCCAUCAAAGAAAAUGAAAUGUAGAAGAAGAGUGAGAGCAAGAGAUUCCUAAUUCUUUAUGUAUGAUACCAAAAGAUUCAAAUAUACUUGCCUCCCUUUUCAAGAUAAGGGAUUGGACCACCCCUUCAAAUAUUUUAAUUUUUUUUUUUGACUUCUAUGUUUUUUUUCUUAAAUAAUACAUUUUUUAAUAUUAAAAAACAAUCUGCUAUAAAAUUCGUUUAAUGCUUUUUAUAAUUGGAAUUAAAUUUAAAUAAAAAUUUAUAUAUUAAACUCUACACACAAAUAUAUUAAUAGAGUUAGGCAAAAAGUUUAGCUUCUUUAAACAUAUGGUUUCAAUAAAUUUAAACUUCAAAAUGAGAAUCGAAUCGGAACGAAUAAGAACAUGUUAUCUAAUUUCUAUAUUGUAAAUAUUAAAUAAUAUGUUAUUUAUGUUAUUAUACAAGUAAUAAAAAGAAUUUUAAUAUUUUAACAUCACUUAUAUGGUUAAAAAACUUGACAAUUUAUUAGAAUUGUUUAUAAAUUAAGCUGAGUUUAGAUUUUUCUUUUUUUUUAACUCUAGGCUAAUUCAAUUCGUUGUAUUUCAUUGUUUGUAAAUAAUAAAAAGUACAAAAAUAUUUUUUAUUAAUUUUUAUAUAUUUUUCAUAAUUCAAUUUAAGUAUAAGUAAUUUUCAUAAUAUUUAUUAGAUUAGAAUAUUUAUUGAUUUUAUUUUAAAAAAUAAAAAUGAAAAUUGGGUGUUUUUGAGUUUUCCGUUUUCCGGGAAAAAAAGCAACCAAUAAGAGACAAUUACGUAAUACACAUUUCGACUCCGCGGGUCCCAUUAAAAGCCGACGAAAAUCAACUUGGCCACCUCCCGUUUUUCAUCACUCUCAUCACAACCGUUAUUCUAUUUUGCUCUUGAAGGACCAAAACCGUUAACUUUUAAUGGGUCCCGAAAUGAACGUCCCAGAUGCAAUCAUAAGUUUCUAUCAAUAAAAGUAGCUCCUGGGCCCGCCAAUACCAUAGCUAAUAUCUAAAUUUAUGCUUAUAAUAACUUAGCUGCAAAGCCUUUGAAUUUUGCAUUAUCUUCAAUUUCUUCUUUUGUUGGCCAAAUCAUGACCACUCUCGUGACCGGUGUGUUUCUCCUCCUACUAUCCGUCGCCGGCGUCGUCUCUGCCGCUAGAUAUAUCACCGGUGAUGUUCUCCGGUUACCUUCGGAAGCUUCAAGGUUCUUCCGAUGGAGGAGCGAUGAUGAUGAAGUUGGUGGCACAAGAUGGGCGGUCCUGAUUGCUGGAUCUAAUGGAUAUUGGAAUUACAGGCAUCAGGUUAUAGAUUCUCUUUAAAAUUCAAUUUUUUAUCGUUUUCAUGAGUUUUUUGAAAAUAUUUAUGAUUGAACUUUUAAUGUCAACCUCCACUCCACUUCAACAGAGUAAAUUAUUAAAAAAGUUUUUCACUUAUUGGUUGUUUGAUCGGUCUUAAAUUUGUUAAAAUUAUUGAUAAUUGUUCCAGGCUGAUGUUUGUCAUGCUUAUCAACUCCUAAGGAACGGUGGUUUGAAAGAGGAAAAUAUCAUUGUCUUUAUGUACGAUGAUAUCGCUUUCAAUGAAGAAAACCCUAGGCCUGGUGUUAUCAUUAACAAUCCUCAUGGCGAUGAUGUUUAUAAGGGAGUCCCGAAGGUCUGUUCUUUUUUUCUUUUUCUUUUUGUAAAAACAAAUCAUUAUUAAUUUUACAAUUACUGAUGAUAAUUUUUGCCUAAUUGUUGUUCUUUUGCAGGACUAUACUGGAGAAGAUGUUAAUGUUCACAACUUUUUUGCGGCUCUCCUCGGAAACAAGUCUGCUAUCACCGGGGGUAGCGGGAAGGUUGUCGAUAGUGGCCCUGAUGAUCAUAUCUUCAUAUACUACACUGACCAUGGGGGUCCUGGUGUGCUUGGUUAGUAAUAUCUCAUUAGCAGUUACUUUUUUAUGGCUCUCUGAUUGUGUCUUAGCUUCGUAUUUAUUACUUGCAGAUUCUAGUAUUUGAUACUUGCUUUUGAAGCUGUUAAUGUUUCUUUUGUGUUAAUCCAGGGAUGCCUACCUUCCCUUAUCUUUAUGCUGAUGACUUGAUUGAUGUUUUAAAGAAAAAGCAUGCUUCAGGGACUUAUAAAAGCAUGGUAAUUUGAUGUUUUAAAAUUUUCGAUUUCUGGAUGUGUUUUCUUAUCAUCUUUCUGCCGUUUUUAAUUUCUUAUCUACAUGUAACUUUGCAGGUAUUCUAUCUUGAAGCUUGUGAGUCAGGUAGUAUCUUUGAGGGUCUUCUUCCUCAGGGGUUGAAUAUCUAUGCAACCACAGCAUCAAAUGCGGAAGAGAGUAGCUGGGGAACCUAUUGUCCCGGAGAGUACCCAAGUCCUCCCCCAGAAUAUGAAACCUGCUUGGGAGACUUGUAUAGUGUCGCUUGGAUGGAGGACAGGUUGGUAUUCAAGCAUGAUCAUCAUAUAAGUCUUUUUCAUUUAUAUUUGGGAAUAUUGGUUCUGCGAUUAUUUUGAAAUUGAAGCUGAUUGUCUAGACCUGUUUUAACGAGAUUUUGGGAAGUUGUAUAUAAGUUAAAUUCAGUUUAUUUCCUGGCUGCACCUUGUUGAAUUUUGGAGUUAGUAGACAAAUUACAAAAUCAGAGGCAAAAUGGGUGUUAUACAUGUAAAUUUCAUUCUUUUAGUAUGAUCUAGACUAAAAUAGGAUAGGAGAUCUUUUAAAACUGAGGAAUCAGUUUUCCCUUUAAAAAAAAAAAAAGAAUUACAUACGUUGGUGUGAAUCCUAACAUUCUGUUUCUGUUGAGCAGUGACAUGCAUAAUCUGCGGACAGAGACUUUGCACCAGCAAUAUGAACUUGUAAGGCUUUUAAGAGAGUGUAUUUGCGUGAACUCUUUCAUUUAUUUUAUCAAGGGAAAGAUGAAAAUUUCAAUAUCAUUUUGUAUUAUAGUUAUUGAUUACUAUUUAGAUCUAAGAAAUAUAAAAAAUAUAACCAGAAAUGGGAGGUCUGAGUUAUUUUGCCGUCAAAUUUGAGCUCCAAUGACUCAUUUUGCUGGCUUUUGCAGGUGAAAAAGAGGACUAUCAAUGGUAAUUCUGCGUAUGGCUCUCAUGUCAUGCAAUAUGGUGAUGUAGGGCUUAGCAAGGACAGUCUCUUUGCAUACUUGGGUACAAACCCUGCAAAUGAUAACUUCACCUUUGUUGACGAGAACUCCUUGGUGCCACCUACAAAAGCCGUUAACCAGCGUGAUGCUGAUCUUGUCCAUUUUUGGUAUAAGGUUUGUGUCUUAUGUCCUUUGACUUGUAUGUUAAACACAAGAAUUGCUUCUUCCCUAACUUAGAAUCUGUAAUUCGGAGUUGAUGCAACUAAGUGAAGAAUAUGACAACUUAGAUCAGUAAUACAUGGGUAUUACCAAAGGCGAAGUCAGAAUUUUCAUGUUAGGGGGCUGAUAUAAAAUAAUAAAUUUUGGGGGCACAAAGUUAAAAAAAUUGUGUUAAAAGGGCUUAAAUUGAAUCAUUAGUAUUGAUUAAGGGCCAAAAUAUAACUUUUCCAUUUUAACAAAGGUGGGAUCAAGGCCCUGCGUGCUCCCUUUGGAUCCACCCCUGGGUAUUAUAAACCUUAUGGUGUUAAUAACUGCAAGAUGGAUGCUACUCUAUAUCGCAUAUAAGCGGCUAAUGUGUUUUUAAUGGAGCAUAACUAGGCCUGAUGCUGUGGCAGAAUUUGAAAGGAACCCAUACUGUGAAUUUUUGCAUCUCUUUCUUUAAAAUGCUUUCAUUCAGAAUGAAUGUAAAACAUGAACAGUUGUUUCGUGUAUUUGAGAGCAGCCUCUAUGCUAGUUUUAGAUCCCAUCUAACUCGGAGAUUCCCCUGACCUACUUUGCAGUAUCGCAAGGCACCCGAAGGCUCUGUUAGGAAGACUGAAGCCCAAAAGCAGUUUGUUGAAGCCAUGUCUCAUAGAAUGCAUAUAGACCACAGUGUGAAACUCAUUGGCAAACUUUUAUUUGGAAUUGAAAGAGGCUUGGAAGUCCUGAACACCGUUCGACCAGCUGGCCAACCUCUUGUCGAUGACUGGAAAUGCCUCAAGAAAAUGGUGAACAUUCUUCACCCUCACCCUCACCCUCAACCUCUUUCCUUUCUUUUGUCUUACUCCUUUCUUUUGUCUUCAAAACAGGUGAGGACUUUCGAAACACAUUGUGGAUCACUAGCCCAGUACGGGAUGAAACACAUGCGAUCCCUUGCAAACAUCUGCAAUGCCGGGAUUCAGACAGAACAGAUGGCUGAGGCAUCGGCACAAGCUUGUGUCAGCGUUCCUACUGGUCGUUGGAGCUCUCUUCAGAAAGGUUUCAGUGCAUAAAAAUACCACUGGAAUCGGCAAAUAUUAUCGGCCAAAGCUUGGAUUAUGUUUGUACUUGCUGUGUUUUCUUAUAUCCCGAAUGGUCCGAAUGCUGCUGCAUUUUGAUGAUUAUUCAUGCGAUUUCUUAUUUCUGAAGUUAUGUAGGAGCAACUCUAAUACCAGACUGCUAAAUUUAUGUAAAUAUGCUUUAGGAUGUGUUCUAUAUCAGACGACGAUGUUUGUAUAUAAAUGAUCUAUGAUGGAACUAUCAUAAAUGAAAAGAAGUGCUUGUUUUAAUUAUCUUUAAAUUGUUACAAAUAUAAUUACGUGUUAAUAAGUAAUAAAAUAUUAUUAUAAGUUAUAUUUAACUUUUGAUUUCAAUCCUUUUUUUAUUAAGGUUUUGGUUAAAUUGUAACUUGUAAGGUGAGAUUUGAAAAUUUCGAGAUGAUUAAUGCAUUAUUUGAGGUAUAGAUUUGGCAAGUGUAUUUCUAUUGGGAUUUGUUUUUGUUCAAGUUGGUUUUUUUGAAUUUGACAAUUGUUUCUAUGUUGAGAUUUUUUUUUUGUCCAAGUUAACUUUUUAUAUUUAAAAAAAAAGUUGGGCAAAAAAAACUUCAAAUCUGCAUGUGGUAAUAAUUGUUGGGUAAAAAAAAAAGUUUGAUUCUUAUGUGUGAACAAUUGCCUAGUUAAAUGAUUAACUUGGAUAAAGAAACAAUUCAAGUCUUAAUGUGGAAACUAUUGCCAAGUUCAGACCCCAAAAAAUGUAUUAACCCAUUUCAAGAUUUCAAAUCCGAGUUCCAUCCAUGUAAUUAUAUAGGUUCUUCCUCAUUUAUUUUGAUUAAUUAAUUAAUAUAAUUAAAAUUUUUAAAAAAAUAUAUAUAUGGUUAAAAAAAACUCAAUUCGUUCUAAAAGUGGUAUAAAUAUCAAAAUGAUAAUUUAACUUUAAUUUAAUAUGUAAUACGAUACGUUGUAUAACAACAUAGUUAGAACUUUUUUUUGGUAACAAUCUCAUUAAUCUAUAAUUAAUUUAUCUAUUUUAUAGAUGUUAUUGUUACACCUGUUAUACCCCUUACUCGAAAAGGGACACGUGGCAAGCCGGAAGGCCACCCAAACAACAAAUCUGCUAGUUACCAAUUGGAAGGUUACCCUCAAGUUUCACCUCCCGUCCUAACCAUCUGGACAAGUAGGAACCACCCAUUACUCCAAGCUCCCGGCCUUUCGAUCGAAAUGUGAUAUCGUUGGUCACCAAAUCUAUAUAGGCUCAAUUGCUCCAAACUGCCGAAUUAGAAUGAAUGAUAAGAUUUGUCUCAUCACAAGCAUCCUCGUCCUAUCGAAGACAUCCACCCCAUGUGUUCUGUAAUGAUGGUUAAAUGCCAAGUUCAACACAUUAACACCAUCUUACACAAGAUCCUCGCCUAUAAAUAACUCCAUGAAUGAUGAAGAAAUGAUCUACUCUCUAAAGAUAUCAAGCCUACAUUUUGCUAUCUUACCUCUAGUAUCCAGCUUUCCUACUCUCCUUUUCUUUAAUCUUUAUAACCUCCGGCUCUCCACCCUGACUAGGUGAACCAGCCUCUGUAGCAACCACCAUAUCCCCUUCCUUAUCUCCUCCUUGUUGUAUCAUUGUAUCAAUAACCCUAGAUUUAUUUAUGGAUUUGUUCACUUGUGAAAUACAUAGUAUGACUUACCUCAAUCUUGAGUAAGUGGUUUACUAAGUGUGCAUGACUCGUAUACUUUGAAGUAUUAAAAGCCUAAGUUCAAAUAACUAAAAAGUCGAAAGCUAGUACAUUGGGCAUACAACUUCUAUAUGGCAUGGCGUCAUUUAUAGUAGUGGAAUUCAUAGUCCAAUAAAAGGUAAAUGAUGUCAUCUCGUGGGCAUUACAUGGUUGAUAGAAAAGUAACAUGACAUGACUUCCUUUAUAGUAGUGAAAUUCAUAACUCGAUAAAAGGUAAAUGAUAUCCUCUCAUUAGCAUUACAUGGUUGAUGGAAAAGUAACAUGGUCAUGGGUCGCUCAUCUUGGACAAAUAAUUUAAUUAUUAUAUGUUAGCAAUUGAGUUUUUUCUAUGAAGGAAGAUGUAAUGGUUACCAUAAAUUAAAAUAUGAUAAUAUUGGGUAAACAAAUUUAACUCAAAUAGAUAAAAGAUCAUAUGAAGGUAACACACAUAAUAGGGAGAGUUUAGUCAUAAUACUUGUCACACCCCAAGUUUGGCGUUUAGUGGCAAAAUAAUCUGUUUGGCGAAAUGUAAUAUGACAUUAUGUUUCUUUUGGCGCAUAUGUGUGGGUCUAUAGUAUCUGUCGUGUAAGUAAGUGAAUAUUUUAUUUCAGAUUUAUUUUGGUAUUCAAAGGAAAACAUUGUGUUAAGCAAAAAAGGGUAAUUAUAGUAUGAGUUAACGCCAAAGGUAUAGUACGCCUUGUUUGUCUAAAGUACUGUACUAGUUAGGUUUGUAAAGUGAUCUGGUUGGAAGCCAACUGGAUUAGCUGGUUAAAUAAUAUUUGUUCAGAAUUCUCAUUUAUGUUUCUUUCAAAAUCUGUAGGCCAUGAAGAAAGACAAGUUCUGAAAUGUAUGACACUUGUUAAUUUUCACUAAGUAGGAUGGGUCAAAUAUAUAUGAGUGAGAAGGGUUCUAAAAGAGGCUCUUCUUAUUCUUUCUUCAAGAGUACUUUCUAAUUCUUUUUUAUUAAGUCAUGUUUUGAAAGAGUAAGUCUGUAUGUGGUAUAUAAACAGUAAGUUGUAAGUAUAAGGUUUUUGAAUUAGGGUUAUCAGUGAUUAAGAUGAUAGUAAUUUGUAUGUAAAUGAGUUUUAAUGGUGGUCUUAUUUUCUGUAAGUAGUUGUUACUGCUAGUUUGGGAAAGAUGGUUGAGUUUGGAACCUUGAACUACAGUAGGUGAGUAUCAUGUGAGUUUUCACCUUGACUCUUAAAUGUGAAAUGUUUAAGUAGAAAUAUAUAUGCAUAUAUAAAGGAUAAUGAUAUCUAAAAUAAUUGGUAAGCAUAUGAAUAUUGUAAAGAUGAGAUGUGUGAUAUGAUGAUUAUGUAUAGAGUUCUGUAAAACAGAAUAAUGUUUGGUAAGCAUGUAGGUAAGGUUUGAGAUACGAGAUCUAUGAAUCAGUGAAAUGUACAAAUCUAGGUAAGUAAAUAUUGAAUAAUGUCCCUUUGUGAAGCCUCUAAUAGGGCAGUUAUAUUGCUAACUAGACUAGUAGAUCAUGAUAUCAAAACAAUCGUAAGACCAUGAGGUUGAAACUCAUGGCAUCUUAAUAUGAUUUGGAAAUAUUCAUGGUGUAGCCUCCAAGACUAGAUUGGCAGAUCACGAUACAUAAAUGUGUGUAUAAGUCCAUGUGGCAGAGACCUAUAGCAAGAUAUGUUUAUAUGUAUGCUCAUCGUGUAGCUUUCGAUAAGGUGUAAAUCGAAUUGGCAGAUCAUGAUAGAUGAAAUCAUGUAUAAGUCCAUGAGGGAGAAAUCCAUGGCACCUUCUGUGAGUGUCCAUCGGGAUAGUAAACACUUGAUUCUAUAUGAUGCCUUCGUAGCUUAUUUUGUAUGAUCCAUUUGUGGCGUAUUCCAUAAGUUGCACUUACGGCGUAUUCUAUUUCACCCUUGUGGCAUACUCUGCUAAGUCUGUAUGAUGGAAUGUGAUUAUCUGCCCUUAUGAUAUGUUAUGAUAAUUCUUUGGUAAGUAACUCUAUGAUAAGGUUACGACACGUCUGAAGUUAUCUGGAAUUCUGUCAUAUCUGAGUUGUAUUAUAUCUUCUUCUGGAAUCAUAUGGAAUCUAAGUUAUUGUUAUCUUGAGUAUCUGAGGUUCUGAAAGAAAGUUGUGUGGAACUCAUCAGAAUGAUCUGUAUAGUUCAUUAUUAGUAAGAGAUUGUAUGGUAUUGAACAAGAAUAUGAUUUGAUUAGUAAACUGAUAGUAUUCAAAUCUGUGUGAGUAUCCUCCAAAAUUUUAUGUAUUCGCCAGUGAUCAGUAUUUGUGAAUAACCAUUUUGGGUUAAGAGUAAAAGAGAUGGGAUGAUCUGUAUGAAGCAGGCUUUAAAGAUAUAUUCUUUAAAAAGUACUUUUGUAUGUGUAAUAUGUGUAAGAGAGAGAAUUGGUAUGUUAAGCAUAGAAGUUGGUAUAAGUGUGAGCCUGAAAUCGUGAAAGUAUUUGCCAAAAUAGAAUUAAAAUGUUAAAGAUGGUAGCUAUGUACGGAUAUUCACUCGAUGUCAUAAAAGUAUCUGCCAAGGUAUUUCUGAGUUAACUCUUACCAAGUUCUUUUGAACUUACAAAGGUUAUGUUUGUGUUUCAGGUAGUGUAGUACAAGAUUGCGCCAAGAGGGAAGACGUUAGGAGUACACCAAGGAAACGACGAGCUGGGUUAUUAUGCAUACAGUGGACGUAACAACCCAUUUUUCAGUGGUGUCGGAAACAGUAGUUUUGGGACCACAAAUCCAACAGUAAGUUCAUAAAUAUUAUUAAUUAAUAUUUACGUGUCAAAUAUAGUAUUAUAUUAAAUUUUGAUUUGAUAAUUUUUUUGCUAAUUGAACGAAUAGUCAAAUACAAGUGGUUUGUCUCUAAAGUCAAGUGGUUUUAAAAAAUGAGGUAUCGGGACCUCGUUUCUGUAAAUCAAGCCUGUAAAUAUUUUUAGUCCAGAAAUUUUGACAUUUGGAUAGUUAAUUAAGGAAAAAAUACUAAAUCGUAAAAAUUGCAAAAGGCAAUCAUUAUGAGUUUAGGGACUAAAUUGAACAAAAGGUAAAAGUUUAGGGAAAAAUUCAAUCAUUAUGAGUUUUGGAUUUAGGGACUAAAUUGAAUAAAAGGUAACAAAAGGUCAAAUAUGUGAAUUUUUUAUUUAAAAGUAUUUGAAUUGGAUAAUUAAAUUAAAUUAUUAUAUAGAUCAAGAAAUGGAUCAAUAGAUAGACAAACGCGGAAAAGGAAAAAUUGUUGAUUAGUCCUUAGAGUCGCGUUUGCUGUAGAAUUGGUUUAGGUAAGUUCAUUAAAAUUAAAUUAAACAAAUUUAUUUGUUGUUUUGUGAUUAAAUACCUAUUUACGUAUGUUGUGAUUGAGUUCAUUUGCUUGAUAAAUGGUAAGCAAUGAAAUAGAUUAAGUUGCAUUGUUAAUUAAGUUAAAGAUUAUGUUUGAAAAUGAGAAACUACAUAAAUGAAAUAAUGUAUAUAUAAAUGAUAUAGAUAUGAAACAUGGCCUGUAUAAACCUUGUGAAUGCUUAGAAUACAAAUGACAUGUCAUUAGUAUUAUUUACCGUUUCGGGUGCUAGUCCUAGAUAUCCUACCGAUGGUUGAGGUUCUGUAUUUGUUGCAGAUUUCCACAGCUCGUGUGAGCAGCAUCGUAUACCCGAACAUCCCAACCCACAACUCGUGUGAGCAGGCUCAUUUCACAACUUUUGUGAGCAUUUAUAGAUACGGCUCAUGAGAGCAAUUACAGUUACAACUUGUAUGAGCAUCUUCCCGCGUGUCCGACGUUAUUUCAAUUGGUUUAUCGGGUGUUAAAUGUAUAAAAUGAAAUAGAAUAUACGAAACGGUUAUAUGGAAUUAGACAUUGAAUAGAGAAAUUUAUAUGAAUUAUUGAAACGAUAUGUGAUAUACAAAAUGAUUAUGUAUUAAAUGUGUAAAUGAAAUGGUAAAAUGAAAUGUUUAGAUGAAAUGGUUAUACGAAAUGGUUAUAUGAGAUGAUUGUUGGAUCAUCGGUACGCCCCGUGGCGCAACAGAAAAAUUAUUUUGACGAUCAUCAACUAUGGAUCCAUGUAUAAAUGAACAAAUCAGGUUGAAACAAAAGGUCGAAAAUAUACCUUUUCAAAACUAGAAAAGCAAUGAACAAUGUUGUUGAUAUGAUUCCUUUGAACGAUGUCGAUCCCAGGCCACAAAAAUAACAUCUCGGCCUCUACGUUAUCCACCUAGUAAAAAAAACGAACAUCAAAGUUCUCUUGAACUUUUCAAAGAGAAAAAAUCAAAAAUGGUUGCUAGACCUUUUGAUAUUGUUUUUAUUGGUAACCCUAACACACUAAGGGAUUAUAUUCCUUUUAUUUUAUUUGAUCACAUAUCAAAAAUAAAACGAGAUUAUUCCCUUAUUCUUAGAUAAACAAAUGGAAAGUCAAAAAAAAAAGAAAUUAUAUUAUUUUCUAAAGAAUAUCAAUUUCCAUGUCUUUUAUAUUUUGACCGAAAUUAAUUAUUAUAACUGUUUAUAUUAAUAAUUUCGGUAAACUAUAUACAAUUAUUUUUUUGUAUAAAUCAAAUUCAUUAUUAAUUUUAUAUAUGUUCUAUAUUUGUGUACAACAAGUUUGUACAUAUAAUGUGUUCAAGAUUUAACUAUCAAAUUAAAUUAAUGUGACAACUAAAUAUAAUACCAAAUGUAUUUGGAUUAUGUUCGCUUCAAUAGGUUCUUGUAACAUUAGUAGUAAUACUAGAACAUUUCUAAUAUUACAAGCAAUGAGUGGAAUCUAGCAAGGCAUCAUUGCUACCCAAGUUACAAGAAGUCGUGAUUAGACAUAACAUUUCUAUGAUAAUCUUUUCAUGUAUUAUAUAUUUUUAUCCUUAAUAUCUUGAUUGGACACAAGUCAUGGAAUAGUCACACUUGUAUAGUCCAAUAUCAUAUUUCUCGAUAUUUUGAGUAGACCUACUAUAAACAAAUAAGUGUGAUAUCUCAUAUCAACUUAUUUGAGCAUGGCCAUGCAUUUCUAGUCUCACUCCAUCAAGAGGCCUAAGAUAUUGCUCUCAUUAUGUAGGAGGAACAAAUCCUAUCUUGAUCAACCAUAUCCUUCUACAUAGAUUGCAGCAUACCCAAUAUUAGUCUUUAUAGUAUAACCUGUUAUGGUAAACGUUUGAUUGUGUCAAAAUAUAUAAGUCAUUAUGUUAGGACAAUGAUGAUCUCAAGUCUAAGGAUCAUAUACAUAGUUAUCACUAUGAGUAAUGUUGUGACUGUUACAUAAUAAUCCAAGAACCAUACUCAUAGCGGGUCAGUCCAGUAUGUUGUUCUCUAACACAUACUCAUGUAUCGAUUUUGAAAUCCCUAUGUCAAUGACAACAUUUUGUCAUCAACCAACUACAGAUUAGUCUCAAUGCAUUAUCAUUGUCCAAGCCCACUAUAAUACUUGACUAAGGACCUUUUAAGAAUAAUCAUAUUAUUCUAAGGACUUUAUAAUUAAUCAGUUUAUUUAUACACACAGAAAAAGAAACUGAAAUAACAAUGGCAAUGUGUUAUAUUAACAAACAAGGUAAAACGAGUAUGUGAUUACAAUCAUCUCAUGAUUGGUCUUUAGGCAUACUCUAACAAUGAUUACAUGAAAUGUUUAUAUUGAAAUAGAUGUACGAAGUAGGACAUUGGAUAUGGAUAUUUGAAAUGAAAUGUGAGUUGUUAAAUGAAUAGAUGAUGGUUGAAUUAAGUUUUAAAUGUGUUCAGUUGUAAUGUUCUAUGACAUGAUAAGAAAAUUUCAUGUUAUGUUUAUAUGAACUCACUAACCUUGUGAGACUUGUGAUAUUUAUGGGUUAAUAAUGAGCUCUUGAUCUUGUUAUGGUAUUUAGUUGAGAAAUGUUUAAGUUACAACUGUUACAGUAAGUUAAAGUUUAUAUUUAAUACGAACUUACUAAGCUUUACAUAAGCUUACCUUGUGUUGGUUUUUCUCCUUAUAGAUCGUCGAAUUUGACCUGUCGAUUGGAUUGCUUUUGGAGACCACAUUAUCUGACAACUUAAUCAGUAACUAAUUGUUCAUUUUGGUCUGGUUAUAAGUAGCAUGUAAAUAGGGUUUCGGUUAUGUAUGUUAUAAGCACUAUGGUUAUAUUUUGUGUCAUUUAAAGUAUAUAGUAUGUGUAUUGAUGUGAAUUCUAAUUGGUAUUUUAGUUGGUAGUGGUGUGUGAUGGUUAAUGCAUGAUUUGGUAUUUAAAUACAUUUUGAAUGGUUAUUUUGAUUUGUUUAUGUUAAUAGGUAUCCUAGGAUGUUUUGUGCCUUUUGAGAUGAAGUCACGUUUUUGGUGUUUUGGUGACUUGAAUUUGGUAACUUAUCACUCGAUGCCUAUCUUGACCAUUUAUUGUGGAAUGACCAUUUUGGUUUAGGCUAUAAAUGGCAUGUACUAAGAGUUUAUAAGUACAAAUGUAUAUAACCAUGUUGUAUAUGUUUAACUUUAUAAAAAGGGUUAAGGUACUACCUAAUAGGUAAUUUUGGUUUGGUAUAGUCAAGUAUACAUAAGAGGUAUGAUUCAUGCUCUUGAAAUGUUUGGUUACAUGUUUUGUGAUUUGGUAAAUGAUGUAUGUGAAUUGGAUUUUAAAUGUUUGAAUUGUGGUGCCAAUGAGGGCACAUUGGUUAGGCAUUUAGGUUGCAUGUAAUAUAGUAUAUUUUGGCAUGUUUUGAUGUAUUUUAGUUAGGUUUAAGAGAUGAAAAUUGUAUGACUUGUGGCCUAAGUGUUUUGGAUUGAAAUUGUUUGAUUUUGAAGGAAUUUUUAGGUAUACACGGCCUGUGACACGGUCUGCCACAUGGUCUUGUUUUACACAUGGCCACCCCACACAAUCGUGUGGUCUGUUUGAUUUUAGGUACAGGAUGUUUCAUACGAUCCCAAUUUGUUACAUGGCUUGGCAACAUGGCCGUGUGACCCUAUAUUUCACAACAUAGAGUUAUACAUGGUUUGAGGACAUGGGUGUGUGGCGUAGCACCACAUGGCCUUAGCCUUAUCACAUGGCCAUGUGACCCAUAUUUAUAGUUUUUUCCGCAUUUUUUUUGUUUUGUUUCAGAUUAGUCUCUACUUAUUUCCAAACUGAUUUUUAGGUUUCGUAGGCCCAAUUUCAGUUUUGUUUUCGCAUAUAUGCUAUGAAUAAUGAUUGAAUAUUGAUUAUUUAUAUUUAUAUUUAUAUUUAUUUUUGAACUGUUUUGAGAUAUUAUCGGAUUUGUUAACUGUCAUAAUCCUGUAAUCCUAAUCCGGCUAUGGAAACGGGUUAGGGGUGUUAUAGUAGAAAAGUGGCGUAUUGUAGUAAUCUAACCUAAAAGUCAGUCAUUAGAAAAUGUUUGUAUUGUAAUGAAUUGUAUUUGGUCUAAUGUAAUAUAUUAUUUCUAAAAUAUUUACCUUUGUUUCUUCGACAGUAAGUCUUUAAAUGAAAUGAUAACGUGAAAUGUUUUAAAUAAGAGUGUGUCAAUUGUUUUGAAAAUUUUGUUAAGUAUUGUGUGUGGUAACACUCGAGAUCCGGACCUAGCAAAUCGGGUUAGGUUGAGGGCAUUACAAUGCUUUUAAUGGAUUGACUCCAUAACUAAAUAAUUUAAUUAAUAGAUCAAAAGUCGAAACUUAAUUACAAAUUAUUUGAGCCCUUAUUAUAUAUGUUCCAUUGGUCUCUCUGCUAACUCAACACAACCCUUUACGGGUUGCAUUUGUACCGAUAUGAUAAAUAAAUGAAAAAAACGAAUUAGAGAAAUAUAUCGCAUGUAUCAUUAUCCGCAGUGAAUAUGUUUUCUCUCUGUGAGCAAGAGAUGGCUGGGAGAUUAAAUUAAUUUCUUUUAAUUAUUAUUUAAUUAAUUAUAAUUAAAUAAUUGAAGUUCGAAGUGAAAAAUAAAUUAGUAAGUCAUCGCAGUUUUAUUGAACAAGACAAUUAAAUGUAUUUACUCAUAAAUUCUAAUACGGUAAAGUUGUCAUGACAUAAGCCAAAUUAGAAUUAAGUUAAAUAUAAUAAUUUAAUUAAGUGCAAUGAAAUUUAUUUUAAUUAAUUAAAUAAAUAAUAUUUUGAGAAUAAAAAAUUGAUUAUCGAAUUAGAUAAAUUAUGAGUUUUUUUAAGGACUAGAUAAAACAUAUAUUGAUUAUCUCUUGUUCAACUAGAAUUCUUGUAGGUCAAAAUAUUCAUUCUUGAGCGGAGUUGCUCUCACGCAAUUUAGUGAGAUGUUUAUUUUUCGUGAAAACUCAUAUUAAGUUUUUAGUCCACAAGGGAGAACUUAAUUUUCCCCACUGAAAAUUUAAUAAAUUUUUAUUGUAUGCAGCUGGUUUGUGAAUUUAGAUCCCAUUCUCUAAGCAAAUCAAAUGUUUGAGAUUAGUGAAGAUCGUGUUGGUAAAGAACCAGAAAACGACCAAGUCAGCUUAGCCCAAAACACAAUACUAAUUUUAUAAAUGUUUAUUAUUAUAAAUAACACAGGUUCAAUUUUAAAAAAUUUUAAUUUUCGCUGUACAACAAAUUUAUUUUCUAAACCAAUUUUUUUCAACAAACAAAUAAAACUUUAAAGAAAAUGGUAUGAUUAAACACCCUAAAUCUUCUAACUAAUUUCUGGUAAGUUUAUUUUUAUCUCCAGCAUCAAUAAUUGUUUUCCUUUUUUUUUUCUAGCUUCGUUGUUUUUGGUUGUUAGUUGCCUCUAGAAAGGGGCUUCGUGCCUCCUUCCAAUUGAGGAAUGUGGGUGGUCGUGGCCCCUUAGGUUUCCCUCUGAGAUCCAAUCAUUUACCAACCCGCCUAUCGUUUUCAGUUUUUUCAAUAUAAUAACACGUCAUUGCUGGUCUUUUGGUCAUCAGAAAUGCAUUUUGCUUCCCCCUCAGUCAUGGGUGGUGUUCAAAAUUUUUCUAUUGCAGUUGUUGCUGUAGCCAAUCCUGUGCUUGUUGAAGGCGCCAUUGUUGGCGGAUUUGGUGCCUAUAGGGUCAUUUUGACCUUGACGAGUCUUGCUUGAUUUUCUUUGGGCUCCUUUUACAUUACCACAAGGGAGAGGGCUUUGGUCUAGUGCCCUAUUGCAUCAUAAUAACUUUACUUCUUCCCUGACCCCCACGUUAUCCGAUUCAAGUGAAGGUUGUUUUAGGAUUUCUGACCUCUUGAACCCUAAAUGUAGAAGAUUCUUAUUAAACCACCGAGUGAAAAACAAGGUUCUUCAACAAUGAUGUUUUGAAGGAAUCAAAGGUAAGGUAUAUUGGAUUCUCCGAAAAAUAAAAAAUAUAUAUUUACCAAUCGUUUUUGAGUGACUUGUGAGUCACGGCGGGGUGAGAGUAACACCUUUUUUUACCCCAAAAAGACAAAGGUUUCAGCCUUCACGUGACUCCAUCAAAGUUGAAAUUUCCUUUUAGACGACACAGCGCAUUCCAUUACGCCAUCUGCAAUGUCGUUUGUCCACCAAACACUCCACCUUUCUUUCUUUCGCCAAAAUACAAUAUUUAACCAGACUUUGAUUCUGUCCUCAGUUGUUGAGAAUUUUAGAUGGCUUCUUCCAUCACCUAUUUAUGAAUUUCAGGCUUAAACGUAAGGUUAGAAGUUUUGAAAAUUAAAUUAUUAUUUCUUUUUAAAUUUCAUAUUUAGUUUUAGGACCCUUUGGAUCGACAUUUACUUUCAGUGUAAUGCAUUUAGCUUUUUUUUUUCACGUUACAAUAUGUCACAUUGUUUUUACACUAACCACAGGUAAACACACUAUUCAUUCAAAGGGGCCGUUAAUCUACAUUUUUAGUCCAUGUUUAAAUGUUCGCUUUUUGCUAAGUAACUUUGAUUUUGGUUGUAAUUGAUAGAACCAUAAAAAAUUGAUAUAAAACUUAAUUUAUCAGGAAUUAUCAUAUUAGAUCAUCAAGAACAAAAUUAAAUACGGAAGCCGAGUCAUGUGAUUUUGAAAAGUUCACUCUCUUUUUUGACAAUGAGAUGUCAAUGUCAGUAACGUUAGUAUAUGUAAUUUGGGACCAUAACUUUAAUAUAUAUAUAUAUAUUAAUUUCUAAUUAACCCAUCAUUAAUUAAAAAUUAGUCACUAAAAUAUUUAUACGUAUUUGACUCCUAUUUUAUUUAAUAAUUGAAUAUUAAUAAACUAUAAUCAUAUUCGAUCACUUUUAAUAUAGGUUAAAUUUAUAUGAUUAUAAAUAAUAAUAUGUAAUUAUUCUUAUUAUAUAUAUAAUGUUGGUAUUAUCCAUAAAUAGUUAUGUUGUUAUAAUGAUGGUACUUUAAUUUUUAAUAACUUCAUAAAAUUUUGAAGUUAGCUCAAUUGAGCAAUGCUAUUAAACUUUGUCGGAUGUAGAAAUUAAUUCGAUAUUUAUAUAAAAUAAAUUAUCCAAAAUUAAUAAUUUAAGUUUAUAUGUUUAUUAACAAGUAAAUUAUAUUUAUAUAAAAAAUCAAUUUUUGAUAAAUUAAAAUGAAUGUAGAAAUUUAGUAAGUAAACCGUUGAUGGAAACUUGUAAUUGCAAGACAAUGGUGAUGUCAUGUGUUUUUGAAGCUAAAACUGUCCAACCAAUGAAAACAAAACAUCUAAUAAAGUUUGCGUAUGAACAUGACUCCCAUGUUCCCUCUUUGCUUUUACAAAUUGACCUUAUUCAAUAAAUAUCAAAAUAUUUAUUAUUAAUUUAAUUGGCAUGUGUAUUGUUGUUAAUGCAGAAGGAUGUGAGUUAAAAUACACUAAAACGUAUUAUUCUCCUAUUUAUGGAUUAAGGAAAUAUUAUGGGUAGUUCUAGGCGUUAUGUCAAAAAGAACAGAUAUGAUCAAAACUUCAAAAAAAUAUUUGCUUUAAAAAACAGGAAUGGUUAAAAUAUUAUUAGGCCAUUGUGUUUAAAUAAUUUUUUAUAUAUUUUUUGUUUUUAAUAUUUUUCAUGUUCAUUUUACAAUUCAUAUGCGGAAUUUGUAAUUGUCUCUUUUAACAAUAUCGUUUUCAACUUAAGAGUAUAAAUAUUUAAACUUUUAUUACAUCUAAACGAUUUUUUUAAAUUUAAUUUUUACCUCAAUAAACACUUGAUUUUAAUCAAUUUUACAUUUGAAUUAAGGGGUUUACUUAAGUAAAGAUAAACAAUUAAGAAUGGCUAAAAUUAAAAAGGUGAUUAAACUUUGUCAUUAUGUUGAAAUAAAUUUGUUACAUCCGUAAAUAAAUCUUAAAUUUUAGCUUUCAUUUACUAAACCUUUAACCUUCAAAUAUUUUUAAACCUUCAAUAAACAAUUAAUAUUAAUCAAAUAUUUUUAAUAAAGAAAUGGAGAUGUAGAAUAGAGGUGGCCAAUCAUCACGUAAUUUAUCUCCUCAUUAAAUAACUUCACUAUGUGGCAAUCUAUAAAUUUAAUAAACGAGUUGGUCGAAAUUCGAAUUAAAACUCAAUUGGAUAUUUAAUUUAGCGUUUAACACUUAAAUUUAAAUAUAACCAAAGGUAUGAAGGUGGUGUGAAGAAUGGGCAUAUUAAGCAACGAUAUUUGAAAUGUUGUGGCAGUAAUCAAGGACCAUCUUAACCUUUGGAUCUGUCAUUGAACUACAGAAUGAGCCCCACCAACCUUUGCUUAGUUUGGUGUCCUACCCUUAAUCAACAUCCUUUUAAUGGCUGUAUUUAAAAUAAAUAAUUAUUAUUAUUAUUUAUUUUGACCCAAUAUACGUGUGUGAGUUUGAAGUUCGGAUGACUUUGAAUGAACCAUUCGAAAUUUAAAUUUUUAAAAUUAUUUCAGUUAAACAUUUUGUAUGAUUUAAAUUUCCUCCAGUAAAAUAGGUAGAUUUGUGAGGGCGAAAGGUUGUGGCCCGCCACAAAUCCUCAUUAAGCAUAAAAUUUGACUGGGAUUGCGAUCUAUAAACCAUAUGGUACAAGCUAAAUUCAUAUAUAACUUUUUUUUUUUUAUCAUUUUACUUUGUGAUAAUUCUAUGAUCAUUAUCAACAUUUAUUAUAACAUAUUUUUAAAUGAAAUUAUUACAGAUUUAGAUUCAAAUCAUCAUGUUUAAAUAAAAAAUGUGUUGAAUUUAAUUUGAUAGAAUAUUUUUAAAAUUCUGAAUCAUCAUCUUGAUUUUAGAUUGUCUGAUACUAAUUUUUUAUACCAUAACUAAUCUCAUGCCAGGGUUGUUAUUAGCAUUACAGCCACAAACAUCAUUAAUCAAACCUGCAUAGACCAGGUUCCUUAUUAAGUGCAAGUUUAGCCAUAUGAACUGCUGCUGGAUCAAAUUAUUUUCAAUUUUAGACCAGUUUUUUUAAAAUAAUUUCGAUUUACUAGUUGAAAUCAUUUUUAUAGUCAGGAUUUUAUUAAAUUUGCAGGUGGAAUAUUUGGUUAUUUACUGAGUCUCAACUCUAAAGUAUGGUUGACAUGUAAAUUUGAAUUUACAAUCUGAUAAAAUUUCAGAGCAUAUCAAGACCAAACAGUAGAACCAGAAACAUCCAGAAUAAUAUUAACGAUGGGGAAUAUGCGGCAACGAUUGUUUGGCUGCAGAGAAAACGAAAGAAAAUACUAAACGAAAACACAAAUGCAAGAAAUUAAGAAACAAUAUUGAAACCAUAUAUAAAUAAUAAAAUGUCUCGCUAUAACAUCAAUCCAUAAUAAUACAGAAAAUAAUCCAAAUCCAAAACAUCAGCCAUCAAUAAUCUGUGCAACAAAUAAAAUAACUACCUCUCUGUCUCCCUCUCUCUCAUAAAUUAUAUAUAUAAUAUAAUCACUCCCUAGAUCCACUACCACAGCUACUAAAAUUGCAAAGCAAAUUCAAAAUCAAAUCAAAAAGAAAAAAAAUUUCAUAUAUAAAAGAAAAACAGAGCAUCAUCUGAACACCAGAGAUAGCAUCAUUCAGAUCCGAAGUCUAGAUCCGAAAAGCAGAGCCAUAGCGGCAGCGGCGACGGAAACAGAGACAAAUGGCGGCGAGAUAGAGCCGGCACCAGAGGUGGGGCUCGGAGCCGGAGCGUCGGCGGCAAUGGCGGAACCCAUGAGAGCGCAUACAGCGACGAGAACAACCAUUAGAGUAGACAUUGAGGGAGCCAUUGUGGUUAAAGGAAUCUUAAGCGUUAAACAAAGAAAGGUUUUUCUUUUUAGUUAGUAAAGCAGCAAAGAAAUAUGCGAGGGUUUUUGUGAUAGUGGCGAAGGUAGGGUCUAAUAUAUAGAGAGAGAGAAAGGGACGGGUAGGGCAGCUGCCCGAAUUCCAGCCUGGAGAAUUACAUAAUGGGUCCCCCGUUUUGAAGGUUUCCCUUAAUUUCCUUUUUUGAUAUUUUUCCUUAAUUAUACUGAUUUACAUAAUAGCCCCGGUUUCUUUUUUUUUUUUUUUUUCUGAUAAUGACAAGGUGCGAAUAUUUUUGUCCAUAUCAGGGAUCGAGCUGGUUUUAAGUUGGGAUAUUUGAUUUAAAAGUUUCAAGUUUUUUUUUUUUUGAAUUAUUUUGGUUUUAAGUAUUUUCAAUUCUUUUAACCACACUUAUAAAUACUUUUAUUUCAUCCAUCUUGAUUUUUCACUCAACUCCUUAACACAUUUAAUUUCUUUUUUACCUUGAAAUCAUUAUCUGAAACGUUUAAAUAUAAUCUUCUUUUAUAUUUUAAUUUUGAUAUAUUAAAUUUUUAUAUUUUUAUAUUUAAAAAUCUUGCUCCCUCCACCAAUUUUGCCUUAGAAUUGAUGAUGAGGUUGUUAUAAAAAAGGGUAAAAGAACUACUGUUGCCCUCAACAUCUAUAUUUUUUAUCAAUUUAGGAUUUACUCUUUAAAAAUACAUAAACAAUUUUAAAAAAACUCUUUAAAGUUAAAAAAAUUAAAAAUCAUUUUUAAAAUAUGAAAAUAUAAAAAUUUUCAAAAAUCCAAAAGAUGUGUUUUUUAUCCCGUGAAUACUAGUUUUUUUUAUUAUUUUAAAUCUAAUUAUAUAUAAAAAAUAUUUUUUAUGUAAAUUUAAUUAUAAAAUAUUAGUAUAAAAAAACUUCUUUUAUGUAUAAAAAAUUACGUGAGGGAUAACUCCCUCAGUGGACCUUGGUGAACUCAUGUUCAGCUUUCUUUUCCACCAAAAUUUCCAUUUUUGGGAACUUAUGUUCUCCAAAACCGCGCUUUUGUCAUCAAAAUUAAAUGUACCUAUAACAUCCAGGAAUCCAUUAUCAAGCAGAAAAAACCCAUUCAUGAUCAAUCUCCAUUUCAGGGUGAAUCAUUUUUUUGGAAAUAGAAUCUGAUCCAAAUGAAGAGUUAAUAUAGGAAAUGAGGUGAAGGGUGGGGGUGAAAUUCUUGGAUCAUAAAACAUGACUUUACAUGAAGUUUUACGUGGUGUUAAAGAUAAUAAAACGGUUAAAGAAGUAGUUAGUGAAUGUUGGAAGGUUAGCUAGUUUGUUAAAGAAAGCAAGUUUUCUGUGAGUAUAAAAACGAUGGUCUGGCUUUGUAUUGAAGUAAGUAAAUAGUCUAAGUUCAUUUUUGUAACAAAGUUCAUUUUGAAGCUAAUGAUUGUUUGAAGAGAAAUUCUCAAAGUUACCUAGUUUUCUUCAUGGUAUCAGUCGCUAGGUGUUCUUGAUCAUGGCAACAACAAACUCGGAUGCGUCUAACUCUGCUGAAGUAUAUGGAUCUGUGUUUACUGCUGAACGUGUGGUGAAUUCGCUUCCUCGACAUGACGUUGUGAAACUUGAUGAAGAAACGUUUCUUCAAUGGAAGCAACAGGUGAGAUUCAUUGUUAAUGGCUAUGAUCUAUUUGGUUUUCUUGAUGGCUCUAUUGCUGUGCCGUCGAGGUUUGUGCAAGCACCGGAUGGUGCACUUGUGGUAAAUCCCGUGGUUUCCGUGUAUCAGCAACAGGACGAUCUUCUCACGUCCUGGCUUCUUUCCACCAUAAGUUCCUCCAUUCUCUCAUCCUUUAUGGAUGUUCAGUCGGCGAAGGACGUGUGGACCAUGGCGUUGGAAAUGUUUGCGGCCGAUUCCGAUCAACGGCAGUCGCGAUUGCGUCAUGAGCUUCACUCUCUCAAUAAAGGAAGCAUGUCGAUCCGUGAUUAUGUUGCGAAGUUAAAACGUGUGUGUGCUCUGUUGGAAUCCUCUAGAUCUUCCAUUUCAAUGGCAGAAAGGACGGCGGUGCUUCUUGUGGGGCUUCCGUCUGAGUUUGAAGGCGUCGUCUCGUCGGCUUCGUUGUCUCCGACUCCGUUGUCGUUUCCACGACUGGUUAAGGCGUUACUAGAGUGUGAAACUCGGCAUGCUUAGACCAGUCAAUAGGUGGUGUAUGCUGCAAAUCUGGUGGAGGAUGUGUCUACAGAUGGUUCGUCGCGAGGAGGGCGAUCGGGGGCGCGUGGUCAUGGAAAGAUGUUUCGGCCGCGACUUCUGUGCCAGAUCUGCUCUCGGUUUGGACACGUGGCUCAAAAAUGCUAUUAUAGGUACCAUCGUGAUGAGUCGUCUCCGGUGCCACCUCCGCAGCAAAACCAGAUGCUGAAUCUUUACUCUGGCGAUGGUGGCUGGCCGUCUUACCCAAACACUAGACCUAAGGUUUCUAAUUUUGGUCAACAGCAUUAUGGGACUAAUCAAGUUAAUUGUGCUACAGGUCAAAAUUGUUUUGGGCCUGGUCAAAAUUCAUAUGAUUUUGGUCAAAAUUGGUGUGUUGAAAGGGGCUUCAAUGCGCAGCGUGGAGGCCAGCAGGUUGGGCCAAAUGGGUGGCCUAAGCCGAGUGAUGAACGGCGAGAUUUUAGGCCUCCAACUCCUGGGCCGCAAGCUGGUGGGCCAAAUGAUGGUGUACAUGGAGGGUUUGGCAUUCUGUCUUAUGUUGGGCCGAAUAUUGGGCAGAAUGUUGUGCCAAAUGUUCCUCCUUCGAUGCCCACAAAUCCGUUUGUGAAUAAUGUUCAGCUCAAUCCAGCUAAUCCGAUCGGUACCACGACAGUUCCAUGGCGAACCAAGCCGCGUGCGCGAGUAUUUUCCGCCUCAAACCCUUGUUUUAGACUUUCUAGGUUGGGAGAUAUACAUGCGUCGGACUAUUCUGAUCCGUCGAUCUCUAGUUCUCAUGCUAACUCCGAUCGACAUAGAGUGAGUGGGGAUGUGUCUGACUCGCCGAUUCCUGGACCAGUUGGGACGUCGUCUUAGUAUCCUGAUUCAGGAGCCAGCAAUCAUGUUUGUCGGGACCCGUCUGAUUUGCAUUAUGCCAAUCCUUAUUCAGGUACGUCUUCUAUUUUAAUGGGUGAUGGUACACCCGCAAUGAUAUCGUCCGUUGGUCAAAGUGUUUUGCCGACACAGACUAGGUUGCUUCAGCUAUCUAAUGUUUUAUGUGUCCCAGCUAUUCAGAAAAAUUUGUUAUCAGUGUCACAAUUUGCAACUGAUAAUGGGGUGUUUUUUGAGUUUCACUCUACUUAUUGUGUGAUUAAGGACAAAGUGACACGGGAGGUUUUACUGACGGGGCAUAUUUAUAAUGGGCUAUACCGGUUCUCAUUACCAGAUGGUGUUCCUAGUAUGUCUGCUGCUCAGGUAGAAUGUUCGACUUCGACUGCAGACAGUGAGUUGUUUUCGUUAUGGCAUAAGCGUCUUGGACAUCCGUCAUCUAUUGUUGUUAAAAAUGUUUUACAUAAGUGUCAUGUUCCUUUGAAUAAAGUCUCUAUUAGUGAUGUUUGUACUGCUUGUAAAAAGGGUAAACUUCAUAAGUUGCCAUUUUCAGCCUCUAAUACUGAGUAUACUGAUCCCUUUUCGUUGGUUGUAUCUGAUGUAUGGGGACCUGCUUCGGUUGCUUCUAAUAACAAUUGGUACUAUGUGUCGUUCAUUGACAUGAGUUCUCGAUUUACUUGGGUAUAUCUAAUUCGGCAGAAGUCACAAGUUAUGACCUGUUUUAUUCAGUUUCAGAAACUUGUUUACAAUCAGUUUGGCAAGACCAUCAAGCAGUUCCAGAGUGACUGGGGUGGUGAGUAUCGCGCAUUGGCAUCGGUUUUAGCGUCCCAAGGCAUUGUUCAUUGUGUGUCGUGCCCGCGCACUUCUGAACAGAAUGGUGUUGCCGAGCGUAAACAUCGACACAUUGUGGACAUGGGGCUUACACUUUUAGCUCAAGCGGGGCUUUCGAUGGAGUUCUGGGCAUAUGCAUUUACGUGUGCAGUUCAUCUAAUAAAUCGUCUUCCCACACCGGUGCUGGAUGGUAAAACACCGUAUCGUGUGCUCUAUGGGCAAGACCCUACUUAUGAUCAUUUGCGUAUUUUUGGGUGUUGUUGCUAUACGUUUUUGCGCCCGUUUCAGCGUCAUAAAUUAGAGUUUCAGUCUCAACCGUGUACGUUCUUGGGCUAUAGCCCUUGUCACAAAGGAUAUCACUGUCUGUUGUCGGAUGGUCGCAUUAUUGUCUCGCGACAUGUAGAGUUUGAUGAUCUCGGUUCCUCUCUCCAACGAGUGUAUCUCGUUCACGGGAGGUGAGUACUAUACCUACCUACUUUCCUAUUCUUGAGACUAGUCCGUUAUUGGGAAGGAAUUAUGUUUCUGGAAAUGUUUGUCCACCUAGUGUAUCUAGGUCUCUGAGUCCUCAGAAUAGAGUGGAUGUUAGUCCAACAAAUACUAAUUGUCGUGAUACUCCCUCGUUGAAUGAGAUGUUGACUGAAGGUGAUAAUGAUCAUCAUGAUUUCUUGAAUUCUGAAACUCAAUCUUCCACACCUGUUGUUCGAGUUCCGUCUGACCCUACAGGACCAGAUGUGUCAGUGCCUAAUGUGAAUGUUCAUCCUAUGACCACUCGUUCGAAGGCUGGUAUUUUUAAACCUAAGGCUCUUGCGGUUGAGGUUGUCGAACCAUCAACGAUUGAAGAAGCUGUCACUAGCCCUAAGUGGCAAGCUGCUGCUCAAGCUGAGUAUGAUGCUUUAAUUCGGAAUGGUACCUGGGUACUUGUUCCUAUGCCAUCGGGUCGCAAAGUUAUUGGUUGCAAAUGGUUGUUUAAAGUAAAGAAAAACCCAGAUGGCACGGUUGAACGAUACAAGGCACGUCUAGUGGCAAAAGGAUGUUCUCAAGUUCCGAGGUGUGAUUUUCAGGAAACAUUUAGUCCAGUUGUAAAACCUGCUACUAUAAGGGUUAUCUUGUCCAUUGCGGUUACUAAAGGAUGGUUACUUCGACAAGUUGAUGUUAACAAUGUCUUCUUAAAUGGUGAUGUUGAUAGUGAGGUGUAUAUGCAGCAACCCCCGGGAUAUGUUAAACUUGGUUCUGAUUGGCGACCUUUGGUUUGUCGUCUAAAGAAGGCGUUAUAUGGUUUGCGUCAGGCUCCACGAGCUUGGUUUGAGAAGUUGAGGAAUUUUCUUCUGACAGUUGGGUUUGUUGGCUCUAAGUCGGAUGCUUCUCUGUUUGUUCAAGUUCGAUCGGAUUCCACUCUAUAUGUUCUUGUUUAUGUUGAUGACAUUAUCAUUACUGGCAAUUUGGCGUCGUCUAUUGACUGGUUUGUACAGAUGUUGAAUGAUGAAUUUUCGUUAAAGGACAUGGAUGAUUUACACUAUUUUUUAGGAAUUGAGGUCACCAGAUCGUUGUGUGGAAGUCUUCAUCUUUGUCAAAGGAAGUAUAUCCGGGAUAUGUUGAAGCGUAGUGGUUUGGCGAGUGCUAAAGGUGUUCAUACGCCCAUGAUUAGCUCGUCGCACAUUUCUAAGAAUGAUGGUGAUCUUUUGUCUGAUCCAACUGAGUACAGAAGUCUGGCAGGUGCGUUACAAUAUGUGGUUAUUACUAGGCCUGAUAUUGCGUAUGCGGUUAAUCGGGUAUGUCAGUUUAUGCAUCAUCCUACCACAGUUCAUUUGGCAGCUCUUAAAAGAAUAUUACGAUAUCUGUCUGCUACUAUUGAUUUUGGAAUUGUUUUUCGACGGUCUGAUUCUCUCUGUUUAGUUGGGUUUUCUGAUGCAAACUGGGGGUUGGAUUUCGAUGAUCGGCGGUCUACUUCGGGGUACUGUGUUUUCUUUGGGUCUAACCCUGUUUCAUGGUCAUCGAAGAAGCAACAGGUGGUAUCGCGUUCUACGGCUGAGGCUGAAUACAGAAGUCUUGCUGCUGUUACAAGUGAUGUUAUGUGGUUACUUUCGUUGUUACAAGAGUUGCAUAUUAGGUCUGCUUCUCCACCAAAUAUAUGGUGUGAUAGUUCUAGUGCUGUUGCUGUUGCUGUUAACCCUGUGUUACACUCCAAGUUCAAGCAUGUGGAGUUAGAUUUAUUUUUUGUUCGGGAGAAGGUUGCCGAUGGUUCAGUUUUUGUAGGGGAAGUUCCUGCGUCCGAUCAAGUUGCUGAUGUAUUAACCAAACCAUUGUCGCUUUCUUAUUUUGCUCGAUUUAGAAAUUUUCUUUGGGUUUUGUCAAUUGAGACGAUGGAUGCAUGUUAAAGAUAAAAAAACAGUUAAAGAAGUAGUUAAUGAAGGUUGGAAGGUUAGCUAGUUUGUUAAAGAAAGCAAGUUUUCUGUGAGUAUAAAAACGAUGGUCUGGCUUUGUAUUGAAGUAAGUGAAUAGUCUAAGUUUAUUUUUGUAACAAAGUUCAUUUUGAAGCUAAUGAUUGUUUGAAGAGAAAUUCUCAAAGUUACCUAGUUUUCUUCACGUGGAAUUUUCAGUGAUGAGAGCAAAGACCGCCAAAACAAAUGGUGUCCUCUAGCUCUUUAGAGUGAGAGAUUAAACCUUUCAACAAAAAAGAGAUAUGAUUGCUUCCAAUUUUAGGAUAUUUCUCUUUAAUUCCCUAAAGGGUUUUUAUUUUUAUUUUUGUCAACGAUUGAAAAUUUUGAAUACAAUACCAACAGUUUGAUUAAAUAUGAAGUAUGUACAUGCAUUUACAACUUGUUGGCACAAUUGCUUAUAAUAUGUAUGCUGGAAAAAAUUCUGGACGAUAUGUCGAAUGUAAAAAACAUCAUACGCAUGUGGGUUGGCCCAACCAUUCUUCAAUGACUGACGCUACAUACAUCUACAACCAUUGAAGGAUAAGUUUCCGCGCCUCAUGCUUCACCAGAGCAGAUGCAAGCGGAAUGGUUUUCCUUGCCCCACCUUGGGAAACAACAACGAUAAGUUCUCAUUGUACCAACCAUACAAGAAAGUGCAAUCUACUUUGACAAGGUUUGCAUUGUUUAAACCCUUCAUCAAGUGGCCUGAAUAUCCAAAAAGACGAUGCAAGAAUCGUGCCCCCUGGACUAUAUUAUUAGCAUCAUAAGUGGGAAUUAUUUCUAUAUCGAAUUUCAUAACUCCCCAAUUAUGUAGGUGGUUGUAAGAUUCCUCCCAGUCCCCGUAAAAUCAUUCUAUGGCCUUUUGUUUGUACUUCCAUGCUUUUUUGUUGACUGUAUAAUGGAAUUGGUUUAAGAUCUCAACAAGCAAUACUGAAACGAUUAUCAAAGGAUCUACUUUGACUAGUGAAAUAAUGGUAUUGCAUAUAACAUUGGCAUCCAACAUUGGAUGAUGCUGCAAUAUCGUGUGUACAAGCCCAAAUUUGCCUGGGGCCCAAAAAACCCAAUACACCCAAACCUCAGUCCAAUUAUAAACUUAGCCCAGCAAAACCCAAUACCCAAAAUAAAGCCCAAAACCCAUUUACAAAAAUAGGCCCAAACAUGGCCCAAACCCAAUGAAAACUAGGGUUUCAGAACCCUAGUCUCUGCCACCAGCCUAGCGCCGCACCCCCACUUGCUAUUACUACCGUCGUUCAUCACGUUCCAUCCGCACCUACUCCCUGCCCUCUGUCACCUACCCACCGCCACUUGCCACCAUCAAGUACCUGCAAAGCAACCAAAGCAGUGACAGAAAGAAUAGAAAGAAAUAAAAGAAUAGUUUUUGUAUUUUUUGGAGGGGAGAAUCGGCUAUAAAAGCCAAACUUUUCUAAAAUUUCGGGGUUAUUCUUCUCCAUUUUGUACGAACACUUUCAAAAAAUAAUAAUAAUAAAAGCAAGAAAAACAUUCAAGGUGAUUUUUUUCUUUUCGGUUUUAUAGAUCUAUUUUUCUUUUUCUCUUUCUUUUGAUUUUUUUCUUUUACGCAUAUAUAUAAACAAAAGUAGUAAAUAAAAGGGGGAGAUGCACCGUGACCGCACUGUCGGAGUGGUUCUCCGUCGCCUAGCCCGAACCGAGAGAGGGCACAGGGAUCUUUCCCUUUGGCCUUCGGUCUAUGAAGGCUCGGCCUUCAUUCAGCUUUCGAAACGGGGUUCAAAAACCAUUUUUGUCGCUCUGACCACCGCCCGCGGUGGAGCCAUGGUGCUGGUGGCCGGCAGCGUCACCGGAUGGGGAAGGAGUGGAGAGAACUGAGAGAGAGUUCUCCGUUUUUCUGGAAAAUGAAGUGGGGAAUUUAUUUAUUUUUUCUUUUUUUGCCAUUUAUACAGGCCGUAAUACGGCGCCGUUUUGGUAUUUAGGCUCAGAGACCAAACCGAUCCAUCCGACCUCAGGAUCCGCGUGUUUCUGCAGUGAAGGGGAUUUUUGCGCGCGAGGUCCUUCCUCUUUUGCGCCUUAGUGCAAUCUGGUCCCAUUUUGAUUUUUUUAAUUUGGCCGCCUUUUUUUCGCGUGUUUCAUUUUAGUCCGCGCUUAAACGCUGCGCAUUGGGGUUGAGAAUAUUGCCCAAUCGGUCCCUCGUGCCUUCAACACGUUCUAUUUCAAUCCCGGAUCACUCCUUUUUAAUUUAUUUGCGAUUUAGACCCCAAAGUUUUGUUUUCAGUUUAAAUUAGUCCCUUUUUGUUAUAUUUUUGCUAUUAAACUAAUUAAUUUCAUAAUGUUAUCAUUAUUUUUACUAUUAUUGUUUUUAAUAUUGUUAUUACUAUUAUCAUGCUUAUUAUUAUUUAUACCUUUGUAAUUUUAGAUUUAAUUAUAUACAUACAUAUCUUGGAUCUAUAUACAUAUACAUACUUCCAUACUUUGUAUACUUUAUAAUUUAUAUAUACGCUAUACAUACACUUUUAUAAUAUGUAUACAUGUACGUGUACAUAUUUUUAUAACUUAUCUAUAUUUAUGUGUAUAUAUACAUACUUAUAUUUUUAUAUUUUAUAAUUUAUAUACAUAUCUAUAUAAUAUACAUAUUUUGUUUUCAUAAAUAUAUAUAUAUAUGCACACUUAUAUAUAUUCUUUAGAUUUUAAAAUAUAACCUCUUUUACACAUAUCUUUUAUAUUUUAUAAUUCACAUAUACAUAUAUAUUUUCCUAUAUUUUACAACUUACAUAUACAUCUAUAUAUAUAUAUAUCUACAUAUAUAUAUAUAUAUUAUACUUUAUAAUUUUAAUAUACAUACAUAUAUACAUAUAUAUAUUUUUUUAUAAUUUUAUUCAUUUUCUUUAUCGUUAAUUGCUUCACUUGGUGUCUAUUUAUUUAUUUAUUUACAUGUCCAUUAUUUUUUUUAAAUGCUUUAGUUUUUAUUUGUUUAUUACUUGUUAUUGUGUAUACAUUGAUUUUUUAUAUAUAUAUUUUUCUUCUUAUUUAUUUAUCUUUUUGUUUUUGCUCAUAUUAUUUUUACUUACAUUAUCAUAAUUGUUAUUCCAUUACAUCAAUUUUUACCCAGAUUUGUAAAAAAGAAAAUUUUGAAAAUAAAGGCAAUACUCAGUAUUUGGGAUCUUCGAGAGGAUUGAGCCCUAACGCAUUAGGUUUCAAUUUUCUUCGUUGAAUCUAAAUAAUCGAGAAUGCUCUUUAAUCAAAAACAUAAAUAAAAAUCAAAAACAUAAAUAAAAAGCUCAUUAUCGGGAAUUCAAUACGUUGUGUCCUAACGCAUUGGAUAUGACACAUUUCUUUGAGAUGAGGAUUUUUUCUAAAAAAUAAUAAAGGCAAUAUUCAAUGUUUAGAAUUUUGAGAAAUUAUGCCUUAACGUAUUGGGCUGCGAUUUCUUCAUCUGACUUAAACAAUUGAAUAUCCUUUUAAAUUUUAUUGCAUGAGUUUUUUGGACAAACUCAUUUUUAAGGAGGUGAAAUGUCAUGCCCUAACUCAUUGGGUGUGACAUUUUCUCUCUUCGAAAUGAGAGGGUCUUAACGGGUAAUUUGAUUUAUACAAGUUUUUUAAUAAAGGAUCGUAUUUUAAAUCUCUUUAAAGUUUUUAAUUUUCGAUAAUAAGACAUUAAGUAAUCAACUAGGUACCAAUUUUGGGCGUAUCAAGGGUGCCAAUCUUUCCUCGUGCGUAACCGACUCCCGAACCGGUUUUUCUGAAUUUCAUGGACUAAAAUUGUUAUUUUAAUAAAAUUAAUUUGUUUAUUAAAAACAACCGUUUUACAAGGUGACCUGAUCACACCUCAUCAAAAGGAUUGGUGGUGACUCCCGUUUUCGUUUUCGUUUUCAAAAUCCUAGUCGACCCUCUUUUCAUCCAAAAAUGAUGUCAACAUCGUGCUUGCAACGCAUGUAUGUAAGCCAUUAUACUUAUGGAUAAUCAACAUAUGUUUGCUCUUGAUAAAGGCUACCUGAAUCAACCAUAUGCAGUCAUUCUAAAAUUUUAUGCAUUUACAUGCAUGAACAUAUCGUUUAAACUCCUUUACCUUGUAGUCCACUGAGUUCAUUAUGUUAUACUCCUUAAUUUUGUUAUGCACAACUACCCUUUGUUUGGGAACAUCUGCCCAAGUACGAGUUCACCGUUGUUAUCAACCGGUGGGUAAUUCAAUUCCAACAGUUCAUGGGCAUAUUUACGCAAUUCAUGUCUACGGUUGUAUACACCCAACUUAUGAUAGUUGAUUCGGGGCUCGUACUCUCUAUUAUUGCGACUGCGUUGGGCCAGAACAAUUGGUUGAUCUUCAUGCUCUUGAUUAGAUAGUCUUACACCUUUUUCAUCUACUUCUUCUUGUGCUUGGACUUCUACUUUGACUUCGGCUUCAAUGUAGUCACUAAUGUCAACUCCAACUAUUAGUUCUGGUUGUGGUCAAAUGAGUUCGCAUGGGUUCUUUCUCCUAGAAAAUCAUUACAUCGUCUCAUAACAUAAGUUUCAGGCAUUUAUGGAUGAUGUUCGUGUUGGAAAAAUAUGUUUAGAAAACAAUAUUUUUAAGCUUAGAUUUAUUUCUCAAAAUCCAACCUUAUGAUAUUUAUAAUAAUAAAUUCUUUAAUUGAAAUUAUACUUAUGCUUUGUACGAAGUGGUCUACGUUGAUCUCGACUUUCUACAGAAUGACCUUCUCCGCUAUACUUGAACCUCAAAUCACUUUAAGUGUGAACUCAAACAAAACGAACCAACCACACGGAAUGAAAGCUUUUAUUAACUUUUAAUAGGAAAGUUAAUUCUCUUUAAAAUUGGAAACUAUUGUUUCUCCCAAAAAUAAAAUUUAUUUUGUAAAAUAAAUUGUCACUAAUUUUUUACAGAAUAAUGGUGCUCUCAAAGUUGUAUAAAUAGCUUAACUCAUAAUUCAUAUUUAUAAAGAAACUAUAUAAGAGUUUUGUUUGAAUAAGAUCUAAUUAAAUAAUAAUGUUUUAAUAGAAAAUACAAAUUCUACUCUAACUAGAAGCCAUGAGGGGUGGGCAGCAUCCCUAGGGAACACUAAGUUUUGUCGCCCCUCUCCUUAACCAGGCAUAAUUUGGGUCUUUCAUGUAUUGUGUAUCCAGACUUCUUAUCCAACAUUUAUAAUUUAUCUAACCUAACAACUAUUUUCUAUUUCCCAAAAUGUUAUUUAUUUAAUCAAUUAAUUUAAUUUCUCAAUUAAAUUAUUUUUUUAAUUCAAUUCUAAAUCUGUUAAAGUCAUGGCAACAUUACCGUAUUAGAAUCUUUGAGGAAAUAUAUUUAAUUGUCUCAUUCAACAAAUUCAAUGAUGACUAAUUAAAUUAUUUUCUAGUUCAAACUUCAAUUAUUUAAUUACAAUCAAUUAAAUAAUAAUUCGAAGAAAUCAAAUUAAUUUUUAAGUCAUCUUUUAUGCUUAGCGAGAAACGCUUUCACUGCGGAUAGUGAUACAUGCGAUCUUUCUCUUACUUCAUCGUUUUCAUUCAUUCUAUAUUAUUGUAUCUAUAUACAGUUUGUUCUAGGUUCUCAAGCUAGUGGAGUGACCAAUUGGCCAUAUAUAAUUAGGGCUCAAAUAAUUUGUAAUUAAGUUUCGACUCUUCGCCUACUAAUUACAACAUGACUUAAUCAUGGAGUCCUUCCACUAAAGUACUAUAAUUGACAACAUGCGCGCGCGCGCAGAAAACAAACAAUUUUAUAAAAUAAUUUAGAAGUGCGGUUUUAGCUGCAAGUGGAUAAUGUCAGUUGUAAUAUUUAUAGUGUCAAUGGAACACCCGAGUAUUCCAAGGAUUGAACGCAAGGAAUUGCCAAAUUGGUAAAUGUAUUUAUCAAGUUAAUUACAAAUUAAACAAUUACUAAUCUAAUCAAGUUAGAAAUUACUAGUCUAAAUUCAAAUAUAAAUCUAAAAUUAAACUAUCAAUUAAACAAACUAAUAUAAUUUUCUUCCAUAUUGCUUUGUACAAUGAAAAUAAUAAAACAAUGGUUGAUUGAUUCAUUACUCGCUAACUAGGCUAAUAAACCUAUACCGAUUAUGUUGUUUGUCACUUUUAGUUAGGAAUCUUCUCUCGGCCUCAUCUUAGACUAAAAGAUAUCACCUAACCUCUCCUAUCAAUCUCACCUAAGCAUGUAGAUUUCCUCUCAGUCUCACUAUUCGGCACAAUUACAUCGAACUAUCAAAGGAUAAACUAUCCUCUCGAUCUCGUUUAUCUAGAUUUUUCACUAGAUUUGUUAAUUCUAGUGUAUUAAGCAUUUCGGUAUAAUCGAACAAUCAAUUAAUCAAGCAUAAACAUUAACUUAAACUAGCAAAUAACCAAUCAACCAACUAUCAACAACUUUAGCACAUAAGCAAACUUAAAUUCUAAACAAGCAUUAUAUCAAACACAUGGUAGGCAUAAAAUAAAAGUAAAGAGUUUGAGAAAUGCUCAUUUAAUUGAUGGAAAUCUGAUGAAGCCCAAGAGUUUGAUCAUCUCUCUUUUACAUAGUCUUCAACAAUAAAGAAGAAAUGAAACAACAAAAAUAAAAUCUAUCCUAAGAAGAAAAGAAAAAACCUAAUCUAAAAAAUGAAAAGAAAAGAAAAGAAAAACCUAACCUAAAACUAUGAAAACUAAAGAGAGAAAAAUUGUUUAGCCCCUAAAAUCUCAAAAUACAAAGCUUAUAAAGUAGUAUUUAUUGUCUACUAAUAUUUAACCUAACAUUAACCAUUAUGCCCUUAAAUAAAAACAAAUAUUUAAGCUUGUUUGGACACAAAACUGCCCCUACAAUGUUUCACUCGUUAGGCAGCGAUAUCGCAUCUUGAACUUGGUAGGCUUGGGAGUCUCGGUACACAAUAUCGCUGUAGUUGGCCUCAAUUUUCCUCACUUUAGCACUGUCAGGGGUACCACGACUUCCAUGCUUCAAUAUCGCGAUACCCCAUUCUAAGUGAUGUUUUCUUCAAGUUUGGGCCAUUAUUGACUCCCUACACCACUCAAGCACAUUGUUAGGUUCCCCAUGACGCAUUUGGUCAAUUUGGAUCUUAAAUAUAUGCCCUAGGUUAGUAGUUGAGAAAUCAUGUAAUCUAUUAUCAUAUAAGAUUGUUACUACACGGGUUUAUGGUUUUCGUUGUUUUGAAAUUAUACACAGUUGGGAAUAUUACGUUUUUAAAAUGUUUCAUUUAUUUAUAGCAUCAAUUCACUUUCACUAAGGGUUAGGGGAAAAAAUGAUUUCCAGUUGCUGAGCAUUUUUACAAAAGUUCCGCUCUCAUUUGAAUUAUAAUACCUAGUAGUUUUGCUAGAUGGGUCACAUGAUACAUGUAGUAGUGGUUCCAUAAGGAUGUUACUACAUCCAUACAACAUAAAAAAGUUGUACGUUCUCUGCAUUUGAUGAGACUAUUUUCUACUUGGAAUCAACUAUCCAAUAAACAAACAUUACAAGUUAGUAAAUUUUUGUCAUCGUAAAAAAGUGGGUCAUUCAAAAAUUGUGUUACUUGUCAUUCCAACAUUAGUCGUGUUGAAUUAUAUGAUGUAAGCAAAGAUCUCAUUUAUUUUAUCCAUUUUCGGAAUGCAUAGUUAUAUCUAUUGCACAUAAUUACAAUGCUUUUAAAUGUUGUAAAUUGUUAUUAUCCUAAAAUAUACAAUAUCACUUGACGUCAAGAUUUUUAAUAUGUUUCAUAUAAAUUAAUGAUGGAGUUAAAUAGAUUUGAUGUUCAUAAUACAAUAGAUGGACAAGGGUUAUCCAUCCUAAUACAAAUUCUUAAUUAUGAUAACAAUAUCCUUCUCUCAUCGCAUCUUCUUCCAUUGCCUAGCAAUUCCCAAGACCUUCAUAAUUAUCCAAUAGUAGCACAUACCUAGUGUACAAGCCCAAAUUGCCCGGCCUACUCAAAACAGGCCAAUUAACAGCCCCAAACCCAAACAGUAACCCAAACUAAAAAAAUCAACAACACAGCAGCUUGCUUCCCUUCCUCAGCGCCGCAACAAUCGCCUCAACAUCGCAGCACGUUGCCCUCGCAUAGCCCACGUUCUCCUCCAGUUCUUCAGCAAACAAAUAGCAUACAACGUAAAUAUAGCAGAAAAUACAAUAAAAUGUAAAAUGGGGGAGUUAGUUUUUUAUUUUCGAUUAUAUAAAGCCAAAUAAAAUCUGCAAUAAGGGGGGUUACGUUUUUUGUAUCAGAAAAUUAUUGAGAAAAUAUAUAAAAACAGGAAAUUGGAGCAAAAAUAAGAAAUCUUUUGAAAUGUGAUUUUCUUUGUGUUUUAUUUUCCUUUUUUUUCAUUGAUUCUCUGUUUUGUGCGCAAAAAGCAAGGAAGAAAGGAAGAGGUUCUUACCAGUGGUGGUGCGCCGUCGGUGCCCUUGCUGCGCUUCAGUCGAAGUUGAAAAGGGGGAGAGUGCCGACGUGAGGAGUAAAAGAGAGAAUAGAGCAGUUUUAUUUCUCUCUUUUCCCUUCUUUUUGCGGCUGUUGUGGCUGAUAUUGGAUUAGAAUAGGAUUAGGGUUAGAAGUAGGCCUUGCUUAAUGGGCUAUUUACAUCUUUAAUCCUUUUCAUUUUUCAUUUACUUCAAAACCAUGUUUUUUUUUGUUUUUAAAUUUUUCAACGAAAUAUUGAAAUUGUUUUAUUUUAAUCCUUAUUGAAACGCUGCGUUUUGGAGGGCGGGGUUAUCUUCCCUUUUGGUCCUCCACUGUUAAGGGCGUGCUUUAUUUGGCCCAUUUGCAUUUUUAUUAUUUCAGAUUUCCCCUGAAUUUUCUUUAAUGUUUCAAUUUAAUCCUAAUUGGUGUUUUUACAAUUAAUUAAUUUAUUCUUUUUCGUUGCUAUUAUUACUUAUUAUUAUUAUUAAUUAUUAUUAUAUUACUUACUAUUAUUAUUAUACUUACAUAUAUAUAUGCAUAAUAUCAUAUAAUAUAUGUCGAAACCGUUUUUUUGAAAACAAAAAUUUUAGUUGUCGACUUAAAAAAACAAAAACUGGAGUCGCCACCGAUCCUUUAUUAAGGUGUGAUCGGCUCACCUUAAAAAUUAUUUUGGUCCACGAAUUUUUAGAAAACGAGUUCGGGAGUCAGUUACGCACGAAAAAGGAUUAGCACCCUCGUAACGCCCAAAACCGGUACCAAAUUGAUUAUUUAAUGUCUCAGUGUCGAAAAUUCGAAAAGAUUUUAAAAGGAAACUUUUUAUUUCAUGAAUGAAUCAAAAUAAUAAGACAUUCUUAUUUCAAAGAAAUAAAACACCACACCCAGUGAGUUAGGGCACAAUGUUUUUAAAUCUUGAAAAUACCCGAAUAUUGCCUUUUGCUUUUGAAAAUUCUUAUUUCGAGAAGAAAAUGUCAUGACCAGUAAGUUAGGACCCAACAUUUUUGAAUUCCCGAGAAUAAGCUUUUAUUUAAAAUUUGUGAAUUUAUUGCAAAACAAAUACUUGGCUUUCUAAAUUCAUCGAAAAAUAACCGUAAUCCAGUAAGUUAGGACGAUCUUUCUCGAGAAUCAUGAAUGCCAAAUAUUUUGGAAAUUUAUAAAAUAUGAUGAUUUUAAUGCUUCGACGAAACCAAAAUAUAUUUUCUUUAAAAAGUAUCGUAAAAUGCUAAUGUACCACAUGAAACCAAUACUUUAAUUUAAAUUAUACCUAUAUAUGUAUCGCAAAGUGUUAAUAUAUAUAUACAUGCAUACAAAAAUUAUGAAAAGAAAAUAAUAAUAAAAUAUGUACAUGUACUUAUAAAAUAUAAAUAAAAAUAAGUAUAAAAUAUUUAAAAAAAAUAUGAAAAUAAAAUAAUAAUGUAUAUAUAUAUAUGUAAAAUGCGCAUGUAUUUAUAGAAAGUAUAUGUAUAUAUAUUACAUAUAAAAAAAUGCGUGUAAGUGUAUAAAAAUAAUAAUGAUGAUAAAAACAAUGAAUAAUAUAAUAAUAAGGAUACAAUGCUAAUAUUAACAAGAUUAAAAAACUAAAAUGACAAAUGAAGGAUUAAAACGAAAAUAAAAGGAGUUUAAGGGCCGAAUUUAAAAUUAGAAAACACGCAAAGAGACCAAAUCAAAAAACGCACAAUAAGAGGAUGACCCAAAUGGAAAUUAACCCAUUCUCAAAACGUUGCGCAGCAGCACGGGCUAAAUUGAAAUAAAAAUAAAAUAUGUUGCCCAAUUUGAAAAGAAGCAAAACAGGUUUAACUGAAGCACGUUGCAAAAAGGAGGGAUCAAUUGCGCAAAUUUCCCUUUAAAAGUAAAACACACAGAUCCCGAGAAAACGGGUCGAGUCGCGCGGGUCGCACUUAAAACGGCACUGUUUUUGGGCCACUGAAACAGGCCCUAAACGACGUCGUUUUAUGCCUGUAUAAAACCAACAUCUUUUCCUAAAACAUUCAUUUUUUGCCAUUUUCUUCAAAACAAAAACUGAUGAACCCUAGCUUUCUCUGCUAGGGUUCCAACUUUUAGCCGCCGCCGCCGCUCCAAAUUUUGAUCUCGGCUUGGCCUCUGAUUGCGACGGAGACGGCGACGAUCCGGUAACUCCGUCGAAAAAAGGUAAGUUUUCUCCUCUUUUCUUUAUAUCUUAAGCAAAAAUAAAAUUAAAAAAGGAAAAAAAAACAAAUCACUAAGAAUGAUGAACCGAAAAAAAUUAAAAAAAAGACCUUUUUUAUUCCAAAAAUUUCCGAAUCUGUUCUUUCAAUCUUUUCUUUCGAUCCCCCCCUUUACAAUGAAAAUAUUGGCCUUUUAUAGCCGAAAAUGGAAAAGAAAAACAAAUCCAAAUAAAUCUAUUCGGUUGUUUUUUGCCCAAUUUUUGCUUUUCUCUUUCGCUUGUUGCAGGUACGUGCUUGAGGAGCGGCAUUUGCGGAGGUAUGGCGUGCGUAGAGGGCAGUAGUUGCGGCGCAAGCUGCUCUAGGGUUUCUGAUUUGGCUGAAAAUUGGUUAAGCUUUGGGCUUGUUGGGCUGUCAUUAUUUUGGGCCUGUAAUUAGGGUUAAUUUUUUUGGGCCUAAGCGUUAUAAUGUAAAAUGGGUGUUAGAUUGGGCCUAGGCACAUUUGGGUUUAUACAGUUGCCCCUCUUUGCUCGUUGUCGUGUAACGGGAAUAGAGCAAAGACUAAAAACCCAAUUGUGCCCGGUCUUACUGAGCCUCAACUUCUUCGGUGCUUUUCUUUUUCAAGUACCCUCAUUCCUUUCUACUGCAUCUUCAGAGGUAUAGGAACUAGUGUUUCAAUCUACUCCACUGCAAUGUCAGGGAGAUAGAAUUCGUAUGCUGUAGCUUUUCAAUUUGCUAUCUUUAAUCUGCUCCACUGCAACUUCAAGGAGAUAAGACUUAUAGCUUCAACUUGUUCCACUAUGACUUAAAGAUAAAUCGGAUGCGAUCUGCUUUACUGCAACUUUAGAGAAAUAAGAUCUGUGGUUUUAAUCCACUACAUUGCAACUUCAAUAAGAUAGGAAUACUAGUUUCAAUGUACUCCACUGUAACCUCAGGGAGGUAAAAUCUGGCAUCUUCGAUCUACUCCACUACUGCCUAGGGAGAUAAGAUCUGUAAUCUUUAAUCUAUUCCACUCUUGCCCAGGGAGAUAGAAUUACUGGCUUCAAUGUACUUCACUGUAACCUCAGGGAGGUAAAAUCCGCCAUCUUUGAUCUACUCCACUGCUGUCUAGGGAGAUAAGAUCUGUAAUCUUUAAUCUAUUCCACUGCUGCCCAGGGAGAUAGAAUUACUGGCUUCAAUGUACUCCACUGUAACCUCAAGGAGGUAAAAUCUGCCAUCUUUGAUCUACUCCACUACUGUCUAGGGAGAUAAGAUCUGUAAUCUUCAAUCUAUUCCACUGCUGCCCAGGGAGAUAGAAUUAUUGGCUUCAAUGUACUCCACUGUAACCUCAGGGAGGUAAAAUCUGCCAUCUUUGAUCUACUCCACUACUGUCUAGGGAGAUAAGAUCUGUAAUCCUCAUUCUAUUCCACUGCAACUUCAAGGAUAUAAGACUUAUAGCUUCAACUUGUUCCGCUAUGACUUAAAGAUAAAUCGGAUGCGAUCUGCUUUACUGCAACUUUAGAGAAAUAAGAUCUGUGGUUUUAAUCCACUCCAUUGCAACUUCAAUAAGAUAGGAAUACUGGCUUCAAUGUACUCCACUGUAACCUCAGGGAGGUAAAAUCUGGCAUCUUUGAUCUACUCCACUACUGCCUAGGGAGAUAAGAUCUGUAAUCUUCAAUCUAUUCCACUGUUGCCCAGGCAGAUAGAAUUACUGGCUUCAAUGUACUCCACUGUAACCUCAGGGAGGUAAAAUCCGCCAUCUUUGAUCUGCUCCACUACUGUCUAGGGAGAUAAGAUCUGUAAUCUUUAAUCUAUUCCACUGCUGCUCAGGGAGAUAGAAUUACUGGCUUCAAAGUACUCCACUGUAACUUCAGGGAGGUAAAAUCCGCCAUCUUUGAUCUACUCCACUACUGUCUAGGGAGAUAAGAUCUGUAAUCUUCAAUCUAUUCCACUGCUGCCCAGGGAGAUAGAAUUACUGGCUUCAAUGUACUCUACUGUAACCUCAGGGAGGUAAAAUCUGCCAUCUUUGAUCUACUCCACUACUGUCUAGGAAGAUAAGAUCUGUAAUCUUCAAUCUAUUCCACUGCUGCCUAGGGAGAUAGAAUUACUGGCUUCAAUGUACUCCACUGUAACCUUAGGGAGGUAAAAUCCGCCAUCUUCGAUCUGCUCCACUACUGCUUAGGGAGAUAAGAUCUGUAAUCUUUGAUCUACUUUAAGCCAAUACAUGAAGACAAGAUCUGCUUUCUUCGAUCUACUUCACCACCAGUAUGGGAAGACAAGAUCUGCUAUCUUCGAUCUACUUCACGCCAAUACAUGAAGACAAGGUCUGUUUUUUUCGAUCUACUCCACCACUAGUAUGGGGAGACAAGAUCUGUCGUCUUUGAUCUAUUACACGCCAAAUGAAGACAAGAUCUAUUUUUUUGAUCUGUUUCGCCACCAGUACGGGAAACCAAGAUCUGUUAUCUUUGAUCUACUCCACGCCAGUACACGAAGACAAGAUCUGCUUUCUUCGAUCUGCUUCACCACCAGUAUGGGAAGGCAAGAUCUGUUAUCUUUGCUCUACUUCAUGCCAGUACAUGAAGACAAGAUCUGUUUUCUUCGAUCUACUUUGCCACCAGUAUAGGAAGACAAGACCUGGUAUCUUUGAUCUACUUCACGCCAGUACAUGAAGACAAGAUCUAUUUUCUUCGAUCUGCUUCGCCGCUAGUAUGAGAAGGUAAGAUCUGUUAUCUUUGAUCUAUUUCACGCCAGUACAUGAAGACAAGAUCUGUUUUCUUCGAUUUACUUUGCCACCAGUAUGGGAAGACAAGAUCUGGUAUCUUUGAUCCACUUCACGCCAGUACAUGAAGACAAGAUCUAUUUUCUUCGAUCUGCUUCGCCGCCAGUAUGGGAAGGUAAGAUCUGUUAUCUUUGAUCUACUUCACGCCAGUACAUGAAGACAAGAUCUGUUUUCUUCGAUCUACUUCGCCACCAGUAUGGGAAGACAAGAUCUGGUAUUUUUGAUAUACUUCACGCCAGUACAUGAAGACAAGAUCUGUUCUCUUCGAUCUACUCCACCACCAGUAUGGAGAGACAAGAUCUGCUAUCUUCGAUCUACUUCACACCAAUACAUGAAGACAAGAUUUGCUUUCUUCGAUCUACUUCACGCCAAUACAUGAAGACAAUGUCUGUUGUUUUCGAUCUACUCUACCACCAGUAUGGGGAGACAAGAUCUGUCGUCUUUGAUCUAUUACACGCCAAAUGAAGACAAGAUCUAUUUUUUUGAUCUGUUUCGCCACCAGUACGGGAAACCAAGAUCUGUUAUCUUUGAUCUACUCCACGCCAGUACACGAAGACAAGAUCUGCUUUCUUCGAUCUGCUUCACCACCAGUAUGGAAAGGCAAGAUCUGUUAUCUUUAAUCUACUUCACGCCAGUACAUGAAGACAAGAUCUGUUUUCUUCGAUCUGCUUUGCCACUAGUAUGGGAAGACAAGAUCUGGUAUCUUUGAUCUACUUCACGCCAGUCCAUGAAGACAAGAUCUAUUUUUUUCGAUCUGCUUCGCCGCCAGUAUGGGAAGGUAAGAUCUGUUAUCUUUGAUCUACUUCACGCCAGUACAUGAAGACAAGAUCUGUUUUCUUCGAUCUACUUUGCCACCAGUAUGGGAAGACAAGAUCUGGUAUCUUUGAUCUACUUCACGCCAGUACAUGAAGACAAGAUCUGUUUUCUUCGAUCUGCUUCGCCGCCAGUAUAGGAAGGUAAGAUAUGUUAUCUUUAAUCUACUUAACGCCAGUACAUGAAGACAAGAUCUGUUUUCUUCGAUCUACUUCGCCACCAGUAUGGGAAGACAAGAUCUGGUAUCUUUGAUCUACUUCACGCCAGUACAUGAAGACAAGAUCUGUUCUCUUCGAUCUACUCCACCACCAGUAUGGGAAGACAAGAUCUACUGCUACUCCACUAUUGCUCAGGGAGAUAAGGCUUAUGAUUUCACCGAUCUGCUCCCUGUGGAACAUGACCUGUAUGAUUCAUUUUAUGAACCUAAUUAUGCCGAAUAGGAUGUCAUGAACAGAAUGAAUCAAAUGCUCCUAACUAGGCAUGUAUGAAUGACAUUUGAAUGAAUGCAGAAUGUCAUUUUUUGAGAAUGAUCCCUUCUAAUCUCUUAGGUUUUCAUUACUCAAAGUUUAUUAAAGUUUUAUUUCCAAUGUUCUAUGCCUCCGUUUUGCUCAGCUAGCGAACCCAAUAAGCACUUGACCAGAUUGCCCCCACUGUAAACCUCCAAGUUUGAUCCACUGGGAUGCAAAAUUUAUACCAUCUUUUCCGUUGUAACCCAAGAGUAAAAGAUUUGGCCAUUUCUCAAUCCUCUGUUAUCACAAUUCAAGGAUACAGGAUGUGAAACUUUUUGGUCUCUUACACCAUUCCCAGGGUGUUGUACCAAAUGCUCAUGCACAAAUGAAGAAAUCUUCUCCAAGAACAACUUCUUCUUAUUAUUCGAUGAUCAUUGCUUGCUUGUUCAUUACACGACAUCUUGCCAUUUUGUUCAAUUAAUACUUUAGACAAGAAAAUUCAAAGGGAUAGUCUUAAUUUAGACUCUUCUUUACCAGAUUUCCAACCUGGUGCGUUCUAAACAAUAGUCCUGUUUGAGGUUCGUAUAUUAUUCAGAAACUUCUAGAGUAAUAUGCAAAACUUCCCUUGUGAAAGUUUUAUUCGUCUAUUAAUCAUUAUUCUAAUGCAACAUGCUUGCAAAAAAGAUCAUGGAUAAGAAUUGAGUCGAUUCUGAGCAUAGCUCGAAAUGAAUAAGUUGUCAAAGAUAAUAAAGAUGGAUAACAAAGAAAUUGAUUUAGGAAUGCCUAUCUUGGUAAUGAAUGAAGUGUUCCAAGAAUAACAAAAAUGGUAUACAGAUUAGGUGCCCCAGAUAUCGCAGCUUGAACUUUGCUGUACAGACUUUCUGAAGACCAUUCUGAGUUUAACAUGUGUUUAGGAGUACUUUGUCGAUGCCCCAAGAUGUCGCCUACCCUUUCCUGUUGAUUCAGGUAUAGCAAGACCACUGCAUGCCCCCAUUCUAAUCAGUAUUUGAGCUACUCUGAAAAUUUCAAGCGCCAUUUUGAUCAACAUUUGAGCCACCAUUUUUGGGUUUUCAACUCAAAUCCCCUUUGGUCUAAGGUGCCCUUUGCGGGUUUUCACCCUAGCCUCUCCAUUUUACUUUUUCCAUUUUCAUUUCUCAUUUUCACUUUUUCAUUUUUUCAUUUCAUCAUUUUUAUGACUCAAAGUGCCCUUUGCGGGUUUUCUACCUCGGUCAUCUCCUUCUUUAAGCGGAGUAUUUCCUGACUGAAUCUGAGUUUACAAGACUUAUCAUCCAUCUCGCUCAAAAUCAAAGCUCCUUUGGAAAAAACCUUCUCUAUAACAUAAGGUUCUUCCCAAUUUGCAUCCGCUUCCCUCCAAAACAUUUUUUUUUGUAGAGGGAAGAUCUUCAACAUUUGGUCACCCUCGUGGAAUUCUCUGGGAUGAACCUUUUGUUAUAGGCUCGCAUAAUUCAUUUCUAGUACAUCUGACCGUGAUGAAUAGCUUUUAGCCUUUUUCAUUCUAUCAAGUUUAAUUGAUCACAUCGCAAUUGGAUAUGUUCUGCUUUACCCAACUUUCUCAGCCAAUACCCGGAGAGAAAGAAUUCUAACUUCAAUAGAAAAAAGAAACUGAUAAACUAAAAAGAAAGGCAUUACUCUGGUAGAGUUUUCACUGCGCCAUUCAUGAUAUUAAUCUUGAACAUACUGCAGAUUUCUGAUAUCGUGCUGUUGUUCAGAUUGCAAUAGCGGUGCCUGGUAUAACCAUGUGAAGACAUCUUUGAAUGCUUGAAGUAACUCAACAACGUCUUGCUUCGUCUUUGUGGUCAUGUCAAUUCUAAUCUUUACCAAGCUCACAAUUUCUAAUGAUUUCUUAUGAGGUAAGAUCUGUCUAUUCUCUUAUUCUAUCACCCUCCUCAAGUCUGGAGAUAAGCUACAAUUCAUGUCAUCUUCAAAGUUGUGAGAUCCCUCUAAACACAUGUCUCACUCAAAAAGGAGAUUCUGAGUCUGUAGCAGCGUCACUCAUGUCAUUGAUAUCCAGGGACCUAUUGUAGGUGUUUAAAGAAUACACAAAAGAUAUAUGAAUUUAUAGAUAAUAUGAUUAUGAAUGAAUGAAAGAAUAGUUUGGCAGAAAAAAACCCAAAAGAAUGAAAGAAAAAAUCGUAAAGAAUGAAAGAACAUUUGCUCAAAGAUGAUUGCAAUAAUGUAUUUCAUUAAAAUAAUAAUGUUUAGACGUGAGCCUAUCUCACAAAGAAAUUCUUAUUGCUUCUAGGCUGAAAGCAACAAGUGUGUUCUGAACAUUACUCUAACAGACUCUAAACACUUCAGGAGUUUCCUCUGCAGUCCCAUUAUUUAAAACACCUCCCAGGCGAAUAUCUAACAAGGACCUUUUUAUUUGUGUCUGCAUAUAUGGCAUCGAUAUGAAAACCUCACCACUUCUUCAUACAUUGUAUUCCCUCCAUCAUCCAUCAUGAUUGGCUAGCGGAUUUCCUGUACUUGAUAGGUCACCAAACUUGACAAUACCCAUGUUGAUAAGUCUUUCAACUUGCUUCUUGAAGGUAGUACAAUUCUCAAUCAAGUGUCCCGUAAUUCCCGCAUGGUAUUCACAUUGUGAGUUCACAUCAUACCAUUCGGGAUACGAAGGUUGUAGAGGCUUCACAUGAAAAGGGGAAACAACAUGUGCUUCAAACAAAUUUUGAUACAGUUCCUUAUACGGUACUGGGAUUGGUGUAAACUGGAACUUUUCAGUCUUUAUACUGGAAUCUUGCCCCGAUGAAUUCUGUUGAUUACCAACCACCUUUCUUGGCUGACUCACAGUAACUGAUUUAGAGUAACCUGUGUUGUUCACCUCAUUUUCUCUUCUCCUUGGGACUGACCUCUUGUUACUCUCCUCUGCAUCAAUUUUCUCGCUCCUUAUGGCGCUUUCAAUCAUCUCGCCAUUUAUGACUAUGUCAGGAAAGCUUUUUGUGGCACUUCCUAACAUAUGUGUGAUGAACGGGGCUUUUAAUGUAUUUAUUAAAAGCAUCGUCAUUUCUUUCUCUAAGAGUGGUGGUUGAACUUGGACUGCGACUUCCCUCCAUCUUUGUGCGUACUGCCUAAAGCUUUCGCUCGGCUUCUUCUCCAUGUUUUGAAGGGUGAUUCUAUCAGGAGCCAUGUCUGCUACAUGACUAUACUGUUUCAUGAACGCUUGUGCCAAGUCCCUCCAUGAACCAAUCAUGGCACGACUCAACUGAUUGUACCAUUUGGAUACUACCCCUGCAAGACUAUCUUGGAAAUAAUGUAUCAAGAGCUGGUCAUUGUUAACAUAUCCUGCCAUUCGUCUGUAGAACAUGGUGAUAUGAGCUUCUGGGCAGCUUGUCCCAUUGUACUUUUCGAACUCAGGCAUAUUGAACUUAUGAGGGAGCACUAAAUCUGGCACUAAACUCAGCUCUUUUGCGUCAAUGCCUCGAUAACUUUCAGUGACCUCCAUUUCCUUGAACUUCUCCUCGAGCCACCUACACAUUUCCUUUAACUGUUUCGGUAAUUCUUCCUUUAUUCUUUCCUUCUCAGCCACUUCAUCAAAGUCAGGAAUGACAGAGUUCACAGGGUUAUUUUCAGGAUUAGAACCCGAUCCAGCUUGGAAUUUUGAAACACCAGCCCGAAACUGCUGAGACAUGAUAGUGACAGUAGAUUUGCGCGGGUAUUCCACUUGUGUUCGCACAUGUGGAGGGGUGAAACCUGGAGGAUAGAGAGGUUCAUCCUCAUUACCCUCUUCAACAUCAGUCAUGAGACCCUUUCCUUUAUCAUUUCCCUUAGUUAUCAGUUGGGUUAACUUCACCUCUAUAUCAUCUUUGGAUUUUGACAUCUUCUCAGACAUCUCUUGUUUCAUCUUGUCUAACCGCUCCUGCACCUGUAGCUGAAGUCGGUCUUGCAUCUCCUUCUGACACUGUUCGAGUUUUUCCAAUCUCUGAUCCAUGUCCUUAAUCUUUGCUCGAGUGCUGUAACGGUGUUUGGUUGAUUGGUUGGUUUUCAGGUUAACUGAGCAAUGAUUUUAGUUAAUUAGGAUCCUUUAACUGUGUUUAAUGCAUAUGAUGUAAUGAAAUGAAAAUGCAUGAAAUGAAUGCCAAAAGAGACGUUGAUUCAUGUUCAAUUUUUACUAGAAAACUUUACUAGAAAAUAAAUCUCUUUACAUAAAGCGGACAUAUAUAUACGGCUUCACCCUCGUACUCAAAACGAAGACAUCGACCAUUCGAAUAUUAAGAUACAUCUCACGAAUUUGAUCUCCUUUUUGUUUGAUCUAGGUCGUAAAUCCUUACUCAUUCACGUUCAUCAGCUUCUUUAUGAGAUUGGGACCUUUGAUGACUUUUGAAUAAACUUUGACAAUUUAGAUCCUCAGGUCAUGCAGCAAAGUCGUAUACUCCUCUUGUUAGGCUUUUCGUGCCAUGUUUUCUUCGGACCACUGUAUUAUCUUCCACCUUAUCAAGAAACCCGUAUUCCAUAACAAGCUUUCUAAUCUAGUAAUCGAACUCAAAUCAACAUCUCUUUUCUAAGAUGCAAAUAUAAUGCAAUCAUGAUGUCAUGUAAUCAAAACAAAAUAAACCCAAGUCAGUAUCACACCAAAAAUAUAUAAUCCAACACAAACAUGAAAUAGCAAGAACAUUUAUUCAGGAAUCCACUAGGGUUUGGUAUAGCUCUACCUAGGGCAAGUUCCUAAAGCUCACUAUAUGAGGUUUAGUUUCUAGAGUAAGGGUACCCGAACCAGCAGAUUUCUCGAUCCUCACCCAUUAUAGGCUCAUGUGGAUCGAGUUCAGUUCAGGGGGACACAUUUCCCUAUGGCUGCACGGAGAUGAAAAUCUCACGAAGACAUAAGUACAGAUGUAUCCCGGAAGCGGUCCACUACACUGCACGGAGGUGAAAACCUCACGAAGGACUAGUUUAUCGCUCCCACUUAAAGGGUAAAAUUGACCAUGUAAUGCAAAAUGUAAAUGCAAAUACAAAGUUGCUAACACCAUGAUGAAAAAAAACAAUGAGUAUGAAAGGAACUCAUGAAUUUUUUAAAACUUUUGAUUUUCGACACAAAGACAAAUAUAAUCAGUUUAUGGCUCGACUCUAAAAUUCCCCAGCGGAGUCGCCAAGCUAUCGAAACCGUUUUUUUGAAAAUAAAAAUUUUAGUUGUCGACUUAAAAAAACAAAAACUGGAGUCGCCACCGAUCCUUUAUUAAGGUGUGAUCGGCUCACCUUAAAAAUUAUUUUGGUCCACGAAUUUUUAGAAAACGAGUUUGGGAGUCAGUUACGCACGAGAAAGGAUUAGCACCCUCUUAACGCCCAAAACCGGUACCAAAUUGAUUAUUUAAUGUCUUAGUGUCGAAAAUUCAAAAAGAUUUUAAAAGGAAACUUUUUAUUUCAUGAAUGAAUCAAAAUAAUAAGACAUUCUUAUUUCAAAGAAAUAAAACACCACACCCAGUGAGUUAGGGCACAAUGUUUUUAAAUCUUCAAAAUACCCGAAUAUUGCCUUUUGCUUUUGAAAAUUCUUAUUUCGAGAAGAAAAUGUCAUGACCAGUAAGUUAGGACCCAACAUUUUUGAAUUCCCGAGAAUAAGCUUUUAUUUAAAAUUUGCGAAUUUAUUGCAAAACAAAUACUUGGCUUUCUAAAUUCAUCAAAAAAUAACCGCAAUCCAGUAAGUUAGGACACGAUCUUUCUCGAGAAUCAUGAAUGCCAAAUAUUUUGGAAAUUUAUAAAAUAUGAUGAUUUUAAUGCUUCGACNNNNNNNNNNNNNNNNNNNNNNNNNNNNNNNNNNNNNNNNNNNNNNNNNNNNNNNNNNNNNNNNNNNNNNNNNNNNNNNNNNNNNNNNNNNNNNNNNNNNNNNNNNNNNNNNNNNNNNNNNNNNNNNNNNNNNNNNNNNNNNNNNNNNNNNNNNNNNNNNNNNNNNNNNNNNNNNNNNNNNNNNNNNNNNNNNNNNNNNNNNNNNNNNNNNNNNNNNNNNNNNNNNNNNNNNNNNNNNNNNNNNNNNNNNNNNNNNNNNNNNNNNNNNNNNNNNNNNNNNNNNNNNNNNNNNNNNNNNNNNNNNNNNNNNNNNNNNNNNNNNNNNNNNNNNNNNNNNNNNNNNNNNNNNNNNNNNNNNNNNNNNNNNNNNNNNNNNNNNNNNNNNNNNNNNNNNNNNNNNNNNNNNNNNNNNNNNNNNNNNNNNNNNNNNNNNNNNNNNNNNNNNNNNNNNNNNNNNNNNNNNNNNNNNNNNNNNNNNNNNNNNNNNNNNNNNNNNNNNNNNNNNNNNNNNNNNNNNNNNNNNNNNNNNNNNNNNNNNNNNNNNNNNNNNNNNNNNNNNNNNNNNNNNNNNNNNNNNNNNNNNNNNNNNNNNNNNNNNNNNNNNNNNNNNNNNNNNNNNNNNNNNNNNNNNNNNNNNNNNNNNNNNNNNNNNNNNNNNNNNNNNNNNNNNNNNNNNNNNNNNNNNNNNNNNNNNNNNNNNNNNNNNNNNNNNNNNNNNNNNNNNNNNNNNNNNNNNNNNNNNNNNNNNNNNNNNNNNNNNNNNNNNNNNNNNNNNNNNNNNNNNNNNNNNNNNNNNNNNNNNNNNNNNNNNNNNNNNNNNNNNNNNNNNNNNNNNNNNNNNNNNNNNNNNNNNNNNNNNNNNNNNNNNNNNNNNNNNNNNNNNNNNNNNNNNNNNNNNNNNNNNNNNNNNNNNNNNNNNNNNNNNNNNNNNNNNNNNNNNNNNNNNNNNNNNNNNNNNNNNNNNNNNNNNNNNNNNNNNNNNNNNNNNNNNNNNNNNNNNNNNNNNNNNNNNNNNNNNNNNNNNNNNNNNNNNNNNNNNNNNNNNNNNNNNNNNNNNNNNNNNNNNNNNNNNNNNNNNNNNNNNNNNNNNNNNNNNNNNNNNNNNNNNNNNNNNNNNNNNNNNNNNNNNNNNNNNNNNNNNNNNNNNNNNNNNNNNNNNNNNNNNNNNNNNNNNNNNNNNNNNNNNNNNNNNNNNNNNNNNNNNNNNNNNNNNNNNNNNNNNNNNNNNNNNNNNNNNNNNNNNNNNNNNNNNNNNNNNNNNNNNNNNNNNNNNNNNNNNNNNNNNNNNNNNNNNNNNNNNNNNNNNNNNNNNNNNNNNNNNNNNNNNNNNNNNNNNNNNNNNNNNNNNNNNNNNNNNNNNNNNNNNNNNNNNNNNNNNNNNNNNNNNNNNNNNNNNNNNNNNNNNNNNNNNNNNNNNNNNNNNNNNNNNNNNNNNNNNNNNNNNNNNNNNNNNNNNNNNNNNNNNNNNNNNNNNNNNNNNNNNNNNNNNNNNNNNNNNNNNNNNNNNNNNNNNNNNNNNNNNNNNNNNNNNNNNNNNNNNNNNNNNNNNNNNNNNNNNNNNNNNNNNNNNNNNNNNNNNNNNNNNNNNNNNNNNNNNNNNNNNNNNNNNNNNNNNNNNNNNNNNNNNNNNNNNNNNNNNNNNNNNNNNNNNNNNNNNNNNNNNNNNNNNNNNNNNNNNNNNNNNNNNNNNNNNNNNNNNNNNNNNNNNNNNNNNNNNNNNNNNNNNNNNNNNNNNNNNNNNNNNNNNNNNNNNNNNNNNNNNNNNNNNNNNNNNNNNNNNNNNNNNNNNNNNNNNNNNNNNNNNNNNNNNNNNNNNNNNNNNNNNNNNNNNNNNNNNNNNNNNNNNNNNNNNNNNNNNNNNNNNNNNNNNNNNNNNNNNNNNNNNNNNNNNNNNNNNNNNNNNNNNNNNNNNNNNNNNNNNNNNNNNNNNNNNNNNNNNNNNNNNNNNNNNNNNNNNNNNNNNNNNNNNNNNNNNNNNNNNNNNNNNNNNNNNNNNNNNNNNNNNNNNNNNNNNNNNNNNNNNNNNNNNNNNNNNNNNNNNNNNNNNNNNNNNNNNNNNNNNNNNNNNNNNNNNNNNNNNNNNNNNNNNNNNNNNNNNNNNNNNNNNNNNNNNNNNNNNNNNNNNNNNNNNNNNNNNNNNNNNNNNNNNNNNNNNNNNNNNNNNNNNNNNNNNNNNNNNNNNNNNNNNNNNNNNNNNNNNNNNNNNNNNNNNNNNNNNNNNNNNNNNNNNNNNNNNNNNNNNNNNNNNNNNNNNNNNNNNNNNNNNNNNNNNNNNNNNNNNNNNNNNNNNNNNNNNNNNNNNNNNNNNNNNNNNNNNNNNNNNNNNNNNNNNNNNNNNNNNNNNNNNNNNNNNNNNNNNNNNNNNNNNNNNNNNNNNNNNNAAAAGUAAAACACACAGAUCCCGAGAAAACGGGUCGAGUCGCGCGGGUCGCACUUAAAACGGCACUGUUUUUGGGCCACUGAAACAGGCCCUAAACGACGUCGUUUUAUGCCUGUAUAAAACCAACAUCUUUUCCUAAAACAUUCAUUUUUUGCCAUUUUCUUCAAAACAAAAACUGAUGAACCCUAGCUUUCUCUGCUAGGGUUCCAACUUUUAGCCGCCGCCGCCGCUCCAAAUUUCGAUCUCGACUUGGCCUCCGAUUGCGACGGAGACGGCGACGAUCCGGCAACUCCGACGAAAAAAGGUAAGUUUUCUCCUCUUUUCUUUAUAUCUUAAGCAAAAAUAAAAUUAAAAAAGGAAAAAAUGAAUCACUAAAAAUGAUGAACCGAAAAAAAUUAAAAAAAAGACCUUUUUUAUUCCAAAAAUUUCUGAAUCUGUUCUUUCAAUCUUUUCUUUCGAGUUUCGAUCCCCCCCUGUACACUGAAAAUAUUGGCCUUUUAUAGCCGAAAAUGGAAAAGAAAAACAAAUCCAAAUAAAUCUAUUCGGUUGUUUGUUGGCCCGAUUUUUGCUCUUCUCUUUCACUUGUUGCAGGUACGUGCUUGAGGAGCGACGUUUGCGGAGGUGUGGCGUGCGUAGAGGGCAGUAGUUGCGGCGCAAGCUGCUCUAGGGUUUCUGAUUUGGCUGAAAAUUGGUUAAGCUUUGGACUUGUUGGGCUGUCAUUAUUUUGGGCCUGUAAUUAGGGUUAAUUUUUUUGGGCCUGAGUGUUAUAAUGUAAAAUGGGUGUUAGAUUGGGCCUAGGCACAUUUGGGUUUAUACAAUAUAUAUAUGUAUAUAUUUUUAAAUGUUUUUUAAAUUCAUAUACAUACACAUAUUUUAUUAUUAUAUUAUUAUUUCAUUUUCAUAGUUUUUAUAUAUAUAUACAUAUGUAUAUACAUUUAUAUUUUAUAGUAUUUAUACAUUUUUCUUAUUUUAUAAUCCAUGCACAUAUAUAUAUAUAUAUAUAUAUAUAUAUAUACUUCUAAUUUUUACAUAAAGUUCUAUUUUUAUAAAUACAUACAUUUUUUACAAAACAUAUAUAUCUUUUAUAUUUUAAUUCCAAAAACAUUUGUUUUACUUUACUUUUGUAAAUAUGUACAUAUACCUACUUUUAUAUAUACGUUUUUAUUAUUUAUUUUCAUAAUUUUUUACAUACAUAUAUAUACCUAUAUACAUACAUAUUUUAAUUUUUAUAUAUACAUAUUUCUAUUUUUUUCAUAUAUUUAAUAAUUUAUAUACAUCUGUAUAAAUCUAAAUACAUUUUUUUUAUUUCCAUAAAUAUAUAUAUACAUAUUUUGUAAAUACAUGUACAUAUUAUAUAUAUAUUAUUCUUUUAUUUCCAUAACUUUUGUAUAAAUGUAUAUAUAUGCAUUGACAUUUUAUAAUACAUAUACAUAUAUAAUUUAAAUUAAUGUAUGUGUUCCAUGUUGUAUAUUAACAUUUUAUCAUGCUUUUAAAGAAAAUAUAUGUUUUCAUUAAAGCAUUAAAAUCAUUUUUAUUCAAAGGCUUUCAAGAUAAUGCGAUAUUCGAUAUUUGAGAUUUUCGAGAAGAUUGAGCCCUAACGUAUUGGGUUCCAAUUUUCCUUGUUAAACCUAAAUAAUCGAGCAUAUUUUUUUCAAAGCGCAUAAAUGUAAAAAUCAUUUUCGGGAAUUUAACUCGUUGUGCCCUAAUGUAUUGGGCAUUGUAUAUUGAUUUCUAGAAAUGAAGAUUUUCUUAUAAAAUAAAAGCGAUAUUCAAAGUUCGAGGAUUUUGAGAAAUCGUACCCUAACGUAUUGGGACUCGAUUUCUUUACAUGACUUGAACAAUUGAUUAUCCUUUUCAGAUUUCAUCAUUUGAGUUGUUUUAAAAAUCUUUUUUUAGCCCUCGACACUAAGACAUUAAAUAAUCGAUUUGGUACCGAUUUUGGGCGUUACGAGGGUGCUAACCCUUCCUCGUGCGUCACUGACUCCCGAACUCGUUUUCUCAAAAUUCGUAGACCAAAAUAAUUUUUAAGAUGAGCCGAUCACACCUUAAUAAAGGAUCGGUGGCGACUCCAAUUUUAUUUUUAAAGUCGACAACUAAAUUUUUGUUUUUCAAAAACGGUUUCGACACCUAGGGUUCUCUAAAAGUUUCCACCAACAGAUUCCUAUAAAUUUAUUCAUAUAACUCGUCAAUCGUGUUCCUCAAAUCAAUUGUAAUCUCAACACUAGAAGGAGUAGAGUUUAGUGUAUUUCCCCAAAUUAGGGUUAAAGUUAAUUGUUUCAACAAAAAACACCUUAAGCUAACCAAGAACUUGACACCUAUAGUUGUCAAUGAAUUUUAAUUAUUACAUAAUUAUUAAACGAAAUCCAUCAGAGCAAUAGAAAAUUGGCGGGGAAAAAUUUUCUACUAAACUGGACAACUUUUGUUGUCGAGGUAGGCCUAAAAAAACAUAUUCUAGUAAAUAAAUUUUCUCUGGACAUAAUAUGAGAAAUAAUAAAAAGUUUCCUAAUAUCCUAAUAAAAAACCAUUCAAUUAAUUUAUAGUCUCUUUAGAAUUUGUAAGAUUAUAUGUUAGUACAAUGGUAAAACUAUAUUUGUCCCUUUGAACAUAUAUAAUUUACUUUCGACCUAUCAAGAAAAUUUGUUGGCUUCACCCUUGGUUCAAGUUAUAGUUGAAUUAUAUGUAUUAGUUUUUUUAAGACCAAAUUAGAUUGAGUCGAUUUGUAUUAUGAUUUAUUAGAAUUUGUGACAUCUAGGUGUAAAAACGAGAUUGUUUUGUAUGUUACACGCAAAUCUCUAUUGUGGAAUUGUUCAACUAUAGAGCAUAUUGUCCACACAUGAAUCCAAUUGUGUUUGGAAUUACAGCGCAAUCAUCAAGGGUAGGUAUCCACUUGUGUUCACAAGUGUGGAAGAUCAAGUGUAAGAAAAUAGAAGGAGGUGAGCGAUGGGGAAGGCAAUUUAGAAAUGAUAGUGAAUAUACCAUAAUUAAAUAUUUACAUAUAAUCAACUUACUUUUCUUGCGAAUAUUGAUAUUACAUAUUUAAAUAGUAUUUUUAUUUUGAUAAUUAAAUUUUCAUUUCACAAAAUUUGAAGCGGAUGAUAUAUUAACUCUUAAAUAUUCAUUAUUGAAAUUCUUUUUUUUUUUUGCAUAAUAUUUAAAUUUAUUCUAGCUUUACUUUUUAAAAUUUUGUUUUAUGAUUUUUUUUAAAAUUUACUCACUACAAAUUUUUAAUGAAUUUGAAUAUUCAAAGUAUAAUUUAACUAAUUUGAAUUUGAACUUUGAUGUGAUUGCCAAGAGUUUUUCUCUCAUUUCUCUACAAAAUGAGAUAUUUUGGCUCUUUGCCUUUACGCCAUCGUUUGAGCAAUACCAACCUAGCCGGCCACCAUUCCACCCCCAUGUCCAAUAAAAACCUUCCUCUUUCGUGUGUUAUUCUUCCAUCUAAUUGUCUUCUGGUUUUUUUUUUUUCUGGUUCUGCUCCAAUUGUUAGUGGGGUGAUUGUUUCUCUUAGGGUUUUGGGGUUGAAGGCGAUUCUUCUUUGAGGUUCUCUUUAGUGGAGAUGGGUGGUUUUCAUGUUAUGGUUUACUCCACGGAUGUGAGGAUGCGCUCGAUGGUGAACGAACAACGAUUUGGAUCUCUUUUGAGCAAACCUCUGCCAAUAACUAUGAAUAUGUUUUUGUGCUGGGCUACACUAAGGCUACUGUGUGUUUUGAUGUUGUUGUGCAGGGCUGGCUAAUCCUUAACAAUGGUAAUGCUAAGGGUAGCAGACGACGGUGUUCCUUUUUGUUGAUGAUUAGGGUUUGGUUUACUGAUGUGCUUUACACGAUCAUCAAAGCCAAACUAACUAAUAGGCUUGAACAUGUGAUGUUGAUUCUGAGAGAUUGUUGAAUUUGCUUGUCAACUGCACGUUAAGUUGCAACUGACUUUAACAAUUGGAAAAGUAAAAUUAGAGAUUGACAUAGAAGUUGGUUACGCAGUUCAAAAGAACUUAUAUAUACGGGGUUUUAUCGAGGGAAUAAUCCACUAUCUUUAGUACAAUAUAUAUUCUAAGUUUAAUUCACUCACCAACUUGCAACCUCACUUUUCUACAUUAACUAAAUCAUUUUCUAUGUUCUCCUAAAAGCUUAGGGCUAGUUUAGUAAUGCUUUUGAAGAGUGCUUUUAAAAAAUGUUUUUGAAAUUUUAAUUUAAGAUUUGAGUAUUUAGUAUUGUUAUCAAAAAGUGCGCUUUUGAGAAAUAAAAUGUUCAUUUUAGACGUAGUGUUAUCAAAUAACAAAUAUGCAUUAAAAUAAUGUUCAAAUUAGUUAAUGUUAUUAUAUUUUAGUAAGAAUAUAAAAACUAAUUUAUUAUAACUUGUUAAUAUUUUAAUAUAUGAAAUAUAAAUUUUAAAUAUUUUUAAGUAAUAAAAAUAUUAAUUAUUUAUAAAUUUUAAUUAGAAUAUAUAAAUUAUUUUUUAAAUAUUUAAAUAUAACAAUUAAAUAUUUGUAAUUAGAUAUUAACACAUUUGUAUUAUUUUUAAAAAAAUUAUAUUUUUAAUUAAUGAUUUUAACACAUUAAAUAUUAAGCACCAAGAAAAAGUACUAUGUUCUUAGAGGGGCGAAAAAGUAAUUAAGCACUAAAACUGCUUUUGGGAGAGGAAAAGCUAAAAAUUUUAACUUUUUCUUUUCAAAAAUAUUUUUCAAAAAAGUAUUUUUAAAAAGUCAAAAAAUUCAGCCAAAAGUAACUUGUUUAGUACAAUUUUUUUUUCUUUCAAGCCAAAAGUGUUUUUAUUAAGCACCACUAAACAAAUCAUUAGUUAAAAACUAAACAUGAAUAGUUAUUUGCAAUGAAAUUUCGCUAAAAGAGGUUUAUCACGAUGAUCAAGAUAAGUACUCUCAAUCUUGCACAAAUACAAUAACAAGACUUCAUUUAAAUGGGCAUACAUUGGCUUUCUAAAACUUCAAUUAGUGUGAAAUUCAACUCCUUAAAUUAUGAUCUAGUAGAUAUUUAUCAUGGAAUCAAAUAAUAGAGAUCUUAAAGGAAUAAAGGAAUAAAUUUAUUUUAAAAAUAGGAUCUCCUCAAUUAAGAAAACUCAAUCAUGUUAAAAGUCUUCAAAGCAAUCCUUACUUGAUUUAAGUUCAACAAGAGCCAAUCCAAUAAAUUAUUGCUAAACAUCCUCCAAAAUAUAUAUGAACAGAUUUAAAGAUUUUUCAAUUAAAGAUUGCUAACUAAUAUGAUAAGUUGCACAUCGACUGAAUUGCAAAACAAGUUGCAAUCAAUGUUACAUCUGGACAUCUAACUUGCAUUAAGAGGGCACUGAGCCCUCAUAUUCCAUGGCAUCUAUGAUUUUCAUGGUGAGGUAUGAUGCAAUACAUUUAGUUUAUUUUUUGUUUCACGUUACAUUAUUUAAUUUUAUUAUCAUAUUUAUUUUUACACUAACCGUAAAUAAACACAUUGUUCAUUCAAACUCAUCCUAACAUAUGCGAAACUACUUUGUAGUUUGUGACAUCCAAAUUUUAAUUGCGUAUAGGUUAUUUGGUUGUUGAGAUCAAAAAGAAGUUUUGAAUUUAUAUUGAUAUUAUCGUGUUGGAAUUUAAUAUUAAUAAUAAAAUAAAUUCAAAUUUUAAAAUCUUUGUACCAACACAGCUGAGAGGAGGCCGCAAUUGUGGAAAUAAUAGAAGCAGAGCGAAACAACUUAAAAGAUGCGGAAUCAUUGAGGACCCCGCGAAACAUCACUUGGUAUAGUUGAAGGUGGGCCAAUCACGGGAGAACACGUGGAGGGGCCAACGUUGACAGUAUAUGUUAAAAAGCAAAAGACAAGUGUGUGGAAUGUAUUUAUUGAUUCCAGAACCUUCCAUGGUAAUAGUGAAAUGGAUGUGUUACACGCUCUUUAAUUACUCGCACACGUAAGUUCUAAGUUCUAACUUCCCUAUUUAAUGUCGGGUAGAUUACAUAUUAGGAUUACAUAUUAGGAUCAAAAGUCCUUAAAUCUCUAAUUAGACCACAAUUGGAUUAAUCGAUUGAGAUUACAUAUUAAAAUCAUAUUUGAUGGGCUAAAUGUUAGAAAACGUCCAACUAUUCCAAUCUUUAAAGUAUUUUUUGUUAUAAAAUAAAUAGACAGAUAGUAAAGAAUAAAGAAAAUGGGAGAGCAAAGAGAGAGCGUAUUUUUAUUAAUCAAUUGAGAUAUUUACAAAAUUUCUCCAAAGUAUAAUUUGUAGGCAUAAGAAGUAUAAAUGAAGUAGAGAUUUACUUCUAAUGACUAUUAGAAUUUAAAGUAUAUCAAAAUUUAUCUUGAUCUUAAUGGACAUCCACUUAAUAAGAUAUUCAUAACACUCCCCUUGGAUUCCCAUUAGUAGAUAAUGUGCCUCGUUAAAAUCUUACUAAGAUAAAAACCCUAUGGAAAAAAAUUACUAGUAAAGGAAAAAGAGUACACAUAUCUAUAAUACGCAUAAUAUGUUGUCUCAUUAAAACUCUUACCAAGAAAACCCAAUGAAAGAAAACCUCGGUUAAAGGAAAAAGAGUACAAUGCGUAUUUACUUUCCCUCAUGAAAACAUCACAUGCUUUCACAUAUUUUAUGUAUUCAAUCUUGAAUACUAGUCUUCCAAAUAACUAUUUGAAUGUAUUUGCUAAGCAUUUAUAUCACCAUUCUUUUGAAAGUCAUGAGCAAGGGGAAAUUUUGAGAAAAUAUAAUUUGUCUCUUUAGGAGUUUCGACAAUAAUCAUAACAAACUUUAAUUUUGAUCCCUCUAUAAAAAUACAAAUAGGUAUUUUGGAUCAUUUUAUAAUCCUCUUUCAACUACUAUUGACUAAGUAAAAUUUACCACAUAUGUUCAAUUAUUUCAAUUCAUAUAAAUGAACAAUAUAUCAAUAAUUUCAAUAUGCUUCUGGCAUUCUAAAUCCUUCAAGGAUUUUAAUAUAAACUUUACUAUAUGUUCAUAAAAGGUUGUAACAACAACCAUUAGAUGCAUGUUAAAUCUUUUAUGAACUGUCAGUUUAAUAACAUAUCUAAAGAUUAUUGUAUCUACCACAAAAGAAUAUUAUAUCUUUCCAUAAUCAAUGUAAAGACUUAGCGAAAAACUUCAUAUUUUUAUUCUGUUUUUGCAAAACUACUUCAUUUGUAUCCUUACUGGCUUUAUACCUUUAGAUAUUUGGACUACUGGUCCAAAAACUUCACAAAUUUAUUUGUACUUGAGUUGCGUCUUUUUAUUUUGAACAAUCUAUUCCAUAUCUAUAUUUCUCAAUAGAUUUAUUCAAAAUCCUCAUUUUAUUUUAUUAUUUCGACAAUAAUAUUGCAUGCAAAACCAUUGUCGACCAUUUUUAUUAUCGAUUCCACAUUUUCUCGACUUGACAUAACUUAUCGAGAUCUCUUAUUUUCACUAUUUUAAUCUUCAGUUUCAGAUACCUAAAUCUCUUCUGGAGUUUUACUUAUUAGUUAUGUAUUGGGUCUCUUCCAGAGCAUCCGCCUCCACUAUAUAACCAUCUAGAAGAAUUAUUUUCUUUUAUGAGAAUUUUCAUAUUUGGAACUUGUAAUGGGUUAUCCUUAUUGAACUUUUGGUUCAAAUUACUCUCCCCCCUAACUCAUUACAAGUUAUUAUUUCUCUCACCCUAAUGUCGAGAAAACUAUCAAAUCAAAAUAUUAAUCACAAAUCAUGUCAUAAUUGAAUCUCCAAUACAUUUAAAACAUAUAAUAAUACAAGGAGACUCGUAAUUAAUAUAUAUUCCCAACUUUCUUUGAGCAUUCACUCAUCUUUGUUGUGGUGGAGUAAUUGGAAGAUAUACACACAUAAAAAAAUUCAAAGAUGAGAAAUAUUUAGCUCUUGACCAGAAAUCAAUUGUAAUAGGAAGUAUUUAUAACUUAUUGGCUUGAUGCGUACAACACGUAAAUCUAACAUAAUCUCAUGUUAAAAUAGGAAGUUUAGUUCUUAUAAGUAAAUGUUUAAACAUUAACCAGAGACGUUCAAUCAAUAAUUUCUCUAAAUCAAUAUCCGCAUAAAUAAUAAGCUUUUACAAAAGUUUUUCAAACUCAAUCAAUAAAAGACUGAGAUAUAAACUCAUCAAUAUGAGCAAGAUGAAAUGUCUUAAUUGAAUGAUUUGAAAUUAAUUAUUUGAACAAGUAAUCUUGCAAACGACAGGUUGCAAGUUGGUAACACAUAUCUGAUUAUUUUGUAGAUGCAUCUACCAAAAUCAUAUAAUAUCAAAACUAUCCACAUGGUGGAUUAAUGAGUCCAUAUUCAUUUCAGAAAUGCAAUACAUUAAAUCUCAACUUUAGCUAGUGAGUUUCUAACAAUCAAUUUUCAUUAAGAACAAGUAACAAAUGAGAAUUCUUUAAAUUAAAGAAUCUUCUGGUUCUUUAAUGAAUGUUUAUAUUAAUUCUCAAUUAAUUUUAGCAUCAUGUAUGAUUCGGGAUGAUCUAAUUGGUCAAGUCAAGUAGUAAAUGCAUUUGUAUCAGUAAACUUCUGGUUUACUUUAACAUGCAUUUCAAUUGUACUAAUAAUGUCAAUAUAAAUUAUGACAAAUUGAUAAUUUUGUUGUCACUCAGUUUACUUUGUAUCCACAUAUAAGUACUAUUGUGACAUUUACUACUGAAAAUGUCUAAAUCAAUGUGAAGUUUAUAAUGUCACUAAGUCAACAAAAUAAAUAUAAUUUCCAAACAAUUAUAUGCAAUAUUCACUUCAAGAAAUAUGCCAAAAUCUUCAAAUAUCUAUAAAUAAAUAAAAAACCUUGCAACUUCAGGUGCAUCCAACCAUAACGGGCUUUAGAUAGAAUUACCAUAUUCUAUUGCUCAUAAGUAUAUCUUUCACAGUCAAAUAUUUUGCUUUCAAUCCCUUAAUGGGGAUGAUGACAAAAGAAGAUCAUAAACAUAGUCACAGUCAAUUUAAUUUAAUAACAAGUGUAAUCAAUAACUUAAUCCUCCAUUUUUUCAUCCUUUCAAAAUAGAUAUUUAUAGCAAUAGUGAUUCAUAUUGUAACACCCUAACCCGUAUUCGUCGCCGAAUUAGGGUUACGAAGCAUUACCUAACAAACACAACCAUUUUUAUAAUCAAACUGAUUACAAACAUAGAAAUUAAACCAUUUUCGCAUGACUAUUUAUAUAUUUUACAAUCCAAAUCUAACCAAAAUAUACUCAAACCUAUACAUGCCAUAAGAUCGAGUUCAAAUUUUUAACAAAAUACCAAAAGAAGUCGAAAGUGUGACAGACUAUACUGAUGAUCCCCGAACUCGUAACGCGUCUCCAAAAUCUAUAAAACAAAUGAACAAGAACAAUCAAAGUAAGCUUUGAUAGCUUAGUAAGUUUAUAGCAUAUCUAAAAUACAUAUAAACGAACAUAUGAAAAAUCAUUAUAUGCUUAUAAUCAAGUUACGUACACAAUCAUUAAUUGCAUAUACAAAUUCCAAAUAUACUUAUCAUUUUCAUUUCNNNNNNNNNNNNNNNNNNNNNNNNNNNNNNNNNNNNNNNNNNNNNNNNNNNNNNNNNNNNNNNNNNNNNNNNNNNNNNNNNNNNNNNNNNNNNNNNNNNNUAUAUAUAUAUAUAUAUAUAUAUAUAUAUAUUCGGCUAAAUAUAUAUAUAUAUAUAAAUAGAAUCUAUGCAAUUUAUUUUAACUUAUAAAACUCAAAUAUACAUUAACUAAUACAUAUAUAUAUACAAUUCAUACAUUAUAUUUUAACUCAUAUACUUACACUUAUACGAAAUAACUAUAUAUAUAUUAUUACCUAUUCGAUAUUUCCAUAUAUAUAAAUAUACUUAACAUUUAAACCUUGAAAUAUGUUCAGAACUUAUUCGAAAAUAUACAUGUAUAUUCUUCAAUUCCCACAGUGACAUUCAUUCAAAAUUAUUAAAGUAUAUACAAUAUAUACCCUUAAUCAAACUCAAAGAUUAUACUUAUUUAUACAUAUACAUUUUCGAAAAUUAACACAUAUAUAUAUACAUAUAAUUUCUUACUUAUACUCAAUAUAUAUAAGUAUUUAUUCAUAUAUAUACAUGCUUAUUCAAUCCAACUUAUACCAAUAUUUGAUACACAUACAUAUAUAUAUCUUUAUAUAUCUAUUCGAACAUCAUGUAAACAUAUAUAACAAACAACAUUAACUAAAUUCAAACUUUAUUCACAUAUAUACAUACCUAUGUUCGAAUACAUCACAUACCUAUAUACAUAGUUCCAUAUCUAAAUUAUUUACAAGGGCAUUGAUGUAUGUAUAUUUGUGUAUUCAUACUCAUUCGAACCUAACACACACACACACAUAUAUAUAUAUAUAUACAUAAUUUUCAUACUUUCCAUUCGAUUUAUAUACUUUUAAAUUUUAACUCAACAUAAAUACAUUUGAUAUUCAUACAUAUAAACUAAUUUAAUAAAAAUUAAAUAGCUAAUAGACUUACCUCGGACGAUGGAAAAUCGAAGUCGGACGAUUAUUCGACUAAUUUGGCUUUUCCCCGAUCUAACUCCAACUUCUUUGGUUCUCGAUCUAAAUAUAUUCAAAAUAAGAUAAUUUAUUUAUUAACACAUUCAAUUUAAUCCAAAAACACAUAAUUUGGCAAAUUACUAUUUUGCCCCUAAUAUUUUCAUUUUUUGCAAUUUACUCCCUAUUGCAUAAAACACAAUUUAUACAAAAUUUGCCCAUACCACACAAGGGCCGAAUAUUCAUGGUUCUCAUACAAGUCCACACAUUGCAUUUAUUUCACAUUUUAGUCCCCCAAAAAUUUAAUUUCACAAUUUAGCCCUAUUUACUCAAUUUCACUAAAAAUUCCAAUACAAAACAUAUUAAUCUAUCACAUAUCUUUCAUUUUUCAUCAUCAACUAUCACAAAGUCUAAGCAUUCAUCAAUGGCACAUUUCAAAAUCAUCAACAAUUCACAAAAUUAAAACAUGGGUUUUGAAGAACACAAAGCAACGAUCUCUAAAACAUAAAAAUCAUCAAAAACCGAACAAAAUCCAUACCUUAAUCAAAGCUUGAAAGUGCCGAAUGAAAUAAGCUUUAAACCCAUUUAUUUUCUCUCCAAUUCGGCCAAAAGAUGAAGAACAUGGCAUUUUAAUUUGUUAUAUUAUACAUAUAUUAACCUUAUUGUUAAUUUACUAUAUUAACCUUUACUAAUAUAUAUAUAAAACAUAUAUAAUAAGGUUACAUUAGUCCUUUGCCAUCCACUAACUUACAUAGUGGGCUAAUUGCAUAAUAAAACCUCUAAAUUAUAAAGACAACAACAAUUAGGCACUUUCAUAUUUAACAACUACAUUUUUAUUUUACGCGAUUUAAUCCUUUUAUUUAAUCAGACACUCAAAUGGCGAAAUUAAAGCACGAAAUUUUCACACUAGUAAAUUCACACAUAAUAAACACAGAAAAAAUAUAUAAAAAUAUUUUUCUAAUUCAGAUUUGUGGUCCCGAAACCACUAUUCCGAUUAGGGUCAAAACCGGGUUGUUACAACUCUCCCCCCUUUAGGGAUUUUCGUCCCCGAAAAUUCUUACCGGUGAAUAGGUUUGGAUAACGCUCUUUCAUCGUAUCUUCUGACUCCCAAGUUGCUUCUUCAACUCCAUGUUUAUACCACAAUACUUUAACUAACGGAAUUUUCUUAUUUCGUAAUUCUUUGAUCUCACGAGCCAGAAUGCUAAUCGGUCCUUCUUCAUAUGACAUAUCAGAGUUAAUUUCAAUCUCUGUCGGACUAAUCACAUGUGAAGGAUCAGAUCGGUAUCUACGGAGCAUCGAAACAUGGAAUACGUUAUGAAUCUUUUCUAACUCAGGCGGUAACAUCAAUCUAUAAUCAACCGGUCCAACACGUUCUAUAAUCUCAUACGGUCCAAUGAAUCUCGGACUCAAUUUGCCUUUACGACCGAAUCUGAGUAUUUUCUUCCAUGGUGAGACUUUCAAAAACACUUUAUCCCCGAUCUAAAAUUCUAUAUCCUUUCUUUUCAAAUCUGCAUAAGACUUCUGACGAUCCGAUGCUGAUUUCAGACUAUCCCGAAUCACUUUCACUUUCUGUUCAAUCUCUUUAAUCAAAUCAACCCCGUAUAUCUUAUUUUCACUGAGCUCGGUCCAAUACAAUGGUGUACGACAUUUACGACCGUACAAAGCCUCGUAAGGUGCCAUUUUGAUACUAGAUUGAAAGCUAUUAUUAUAAGUAAAUUCAAUCAAAGGUAAGUAUCGUUCCCACAUACCUUCAAACUUGAGAAUGCAACAUCUCAACAUAUCCUCAAGUAUCUGAAUGAUUCGUUCGGAUUGACCAUCUGUCUGCGGAUGGAAAGCUGUGCUAAAAUGUAGUUUCGUACCUAAAGCAUCUUGUAGUUUCUUCCAAAAUCGCGAUGUGAAUCUCAGAUCUCUGUCUGAAACAAUAGAAAUAGGUACACCAUGCAACCUCACAAUUUGUGAAAUAUACAAUUCUGCAAGUUUAUCGAGCGAAAAAUCUGUACGAAUCAGAAUAAAGUGUGUCGAUUUUGUCAACCUAUCAACAAUAACCCAGAUUGCAUCUUUCUUGCUAGGUGUCAACGGUAAACCGGAUACAAAAUCCAUCGUGACUCGAUCCCAUUUCCAUUCAGGUAUCAUGAUCAACUGAAGCAACCCAGAUGGUACCUGAUGCUCGGCUUUAACUUGCUGACAAAUUAAAUAUUUCGAAACAAAGUCAAAAAUGUCUCGUUUCAUACCAUGCCACCAAUAGUGCUGUUUCAGAUCGUUAUACAUUUUCGUACUACCCGGAUGAACAGAAAAUCGGCUAUUAUGAGCUUCAUUCAAAAUCACCUGUAUUAACUUUGAAUUUCUCGGAACACAUAAUCGAUUUUUGAAUCUCAAACAAUCCUCAGCAUCAACUAGAAAUUUUGAAUCAACAUUUAAGUCACACUGAGCUCGUUUUGCAAUUAAAUCAUCAUCAGCUUCUGAGCUUCACAAAUCUGUUGAACAAGUAACGGUUUUGCUUUCAAUUCAGCUACUAUCGCACCAUCAUCAGAUAUAGCCAUAUGUGCGUUCAUUGCACGCAAAGCAAACAGUGAUUUUCGACUUAAGGCAUCAGCAACAACAUUAGCCUUUCCCGGAUGAUAGUCAAUCACAAGCUCGUAAUCUUUUAGCAAUUCUAACCAUCGGCGCUGUCUCAAAUUCAGAUCUUUCUGAGUCAUCAAGUACUUCAGGCUUUUGUGAUCGGAAUAAACAUGACAUUUUUCGCCAAACAAAUAGUGGCGCCAUAUUUUUAAUGCAAAUACAAUAGCUGCCAAUUCCAAAUCGUGCGUCGGAUAAUUCUUUUCGUGUGUCUUUAACUGUCUCGAGGCAUAGGCUAAACUUUGCCUUCCUGCAUCAAAACACAGCCCAAACCAUUUAAAGAUGCAUCACUAUAGAUAACAAACUCUUUACCCGAUUCUGGCUGAACUAAUACUGGAGCUUCGGUCAAAAGAGCUUUCAAGUGAUCGAAACUUUUCUGGCAAUUUUCUGACCAUUCAAACUUAACGUCUUUUUGUAGUAACUUUGUCAUCGGGGUCGCAAUCAUAGAGAACCCUUUCAUGAACCGUCUAUAAUAACCAGCGAGCCCCAGAAAGCUUCGAACUUCUGAGACAUUCCUCGGAGGUUUCCAAUCAAGUAUAGCUGAAAUUUUACUCGGAUCAACCCGAAUACCCGAUGCUGAUACAACAUGGCCCAGAAAACUGACUUCACGUAACCAGAACUCACAUUUACUAAACUUUGCAUACAACUGCUUAUCUCGCAAAGUUUGCAACACAAGUCUCAGAUGUUCGGCAUGCUCAGUUUCAUCACGAGAGUAGAUCAAAAUGUCAUCUAUAAAUACUACCACAAACCGAUCCAGAUACUGUCUAAAGAUCCUAUUCAUCAAAUCCAUGAAAACAGCAGGUGCAUUAGUAAGUCCGAAAGGCAUAACCAGAAACUCGUAAUGUCCGUACCUCGUUCGGAAAGCUGUUUUUGGUACAUCAGAGUCUUUAACUCGCAACUGAUAGUAACCCGAUCUCAAAUCUAUCUUCGAAAACACUGAAGCCCCUUUUAACUGAUCGAACAAAUCAUCAUUACGUGGCAACAGAUAUUUAUUCUUUAUAGUCACCUUAUUGAGCUGCCGGUAAUCAAUACACAUUCUCAUCGUUCCGUCUUUCUUUUUCACAAAUAGAACUGGUGCCCGCAAGGAGAGAAACUCGGUCAUGCAAAACCUUUAUCAGUUAACUCUUACAACUGUGCUUUCAAUUCUUUUAAUUCAGUCGGUGCCAUGCGGUACGGAGCUAUCGAAAUUGGAGUCGUCCCCGGUACUAACUCAAUACCAAACUCUACUUCUUGAAUAGGUGGUAAACCCGGUAAUUCUUCAGGGAACACAUCUGGAUACUCACAUACAACAGGUACUGAUUCAAUCUUCUUUUCUAUCACUUUACUAUCAAGAACAUAUGCAAGAUAAGCUUCACAACCUUUUCUCACAUACUUCUGAGCCAACAUAGAGGAUAUCACUGCCGAUAAACCAUUCAGAUCAUUAGAUUCAAUCCGAAUAAUCUCAUCAUUCAGGCAUCUUAAAUCAAUAGUCUUCCUUUUGCAGUUAACCACAGCAUCGUGUAAAGUCAACCAGUCCAUACCCAAAAUUAUAUCGAACUCGUCAAAUGGCAAUAACAUCAAAUCAACCAUAAAACACAAAUCUCGAAUCAUCAACGGACAAUUCUUGCACACUUUGUCAACCAACACACACCGGCCCAAGGGGUUUGAUACUUUAAUUACAAACUCAGUAGACUCAACAGGUAGAGUCUUACUAGAUACUAAGGUCUCACACACAUAAGAAUGAGUCGAACCAGGAUCAAUCAACGCAAUAACAUUAGUAUCAUAAAGAGUGAAAGUACCAGUAAUAACAUCUGGAGAAGAAGCCUCCUCUCGAGCUCGGAUGGCAUAUGCUCUGGCAGGUGCACUAGCCUCAGAUCGAACUGCUGUGUCCUUUGUCCCUCUCUGACUACCACUUACAUUACCCAAGUGCCUUGGCGGUCUACCCCGUCCUGACAUAUUACUCGGUCUGGUAUUCUGCACAGUGUUUUGAUCAGCUACCAUCGGACACUCUUGAAUGAAAUGAUCCUUUGAACCACACUUAAAGCAAGACCGAUCAUGAAAUCUAUAAUAUCCAGGAUGCCAUUUCCCAUAAUGCUUGCAUUCUGAUCUAUUUUGUCGAAUACUACCAACGCUAGCAACUGAAGUAGCUCGUGAACUCACAGGGGGUCGAUCUCGAUCAUGCUUAGGAGACCCUGCAGUAGCUUUAGAUCGGCUAUGAUCCUCUCUGGAUUUCAUUGAGGCCGACUGGAAUGAUUUACUAAAUGAUCUUUUACAGGAAUCUCGAGCUUCAUAGUCAGCUUUUCUCUUCUCUUUCCCGAGCUCCUCGGCUUUACAAGCUCGUUCAACAAGUACUACGAACUCCUUUAUCUCAAGUAUGCCCACUAACAGUUUAAUAUCUUCAUUCAGCCCAUCUUCAAAUCUUUUACACAUAAUAGCUUCAGUCGAAACACACUCUCGAGCAUAUCUACUCAGUCUCACAAAUUUUCGCUCAUACUCUGUCACUGUCAUCCGACCCUAUUUCAAUUCAAGAAAUUCCUUAUGCUUCUGAUCAAUGAAUCUCUGGCUAAUAUAUUUCUUACAGAACUCAGUCUGAAAGAAUUCCUAGGUCACUCGCUCUUUCGGAACCACCGAUACUAGUGUAUUCCACCAGUGAUAUGCAGUGUCCCGUAGCAAGGAUAUGGCACAUUUCAAGCACUCGUCAGAGGUGCAAGAUAACUCAUCAAAUACUCGAAUAGUAUUAUCAAGCCAAAAUUAAGCUCGCUCAGCAUCAUCAUCAUCAGUAGCUCUGAACUCUUCGACCCCAUGUUUUCAAAUUUUAUCAACAGGAUGUUUAAGUAAUCUCAUCGGAUCACUUACUUGAGGUAUAACAGGAACCGAAGAUGGAUUAGUCGGGGGUGGAGGUUGUUGUGCAACCGGAUUAGUUCGGACAUAGUGAGUAAACCAGUCAUUCAUCAUUUGGUAGAAGGCUUGUUUAGCCUCUCCCUCCUGGUUACUUGAGGUCGGUCGAGAAUCUACUGGCUUUGUCCCUUGUGCGGGAGCAGGCGCUAUACUCUCAACAUCAUCGGCUACGGCUCGUUCGGGAUCCAUUACUAUACGAAAACAUAUAUUAGAUGUCAGCAGUCAUCACACUAUCUCGGCAUAAAAAUAUGGCAUGUAUAGCUAGACUCAUACACACUACGUUAGUCCAAGAAUCGACUAAACCGUAGCUCUGAUACCAAUAAAAUGUAACACCUAACUCGUAUUCGUCGCCGAAUUAGGGUUGCGAAGCAUUACCUAACAAACACAACCAUUUUUAUAAUCAAACUGAUUACAAACAUAGAAAUUAAACCAUUUUCGCAUGACUAUUUAUAUAUUUUACAAUCCAAAUCUAACCAAAAUAUACUCAAACCUAUACAUGCCAUAAGAUCGAGUUCAAAUUUUUAACAAAAUACCAAAAGAAGUCGAUAGUGUGACAGACUAUGCUGAUGAUCCCCGAACUCGUAACGCGUCUCCAAAAUCUAUAAAACAAAUGAACAAGAACAAUCAAAGUAAGCUUUUAUAGCUUAGUAAGUUUAUAGCAUAUCUAAAAUACAUAUAAACGAACAUAUGAAAAAUCAUUAUAUGCUUAUAAUCAAGUUAUGUACACAAUCAUUAAUUGCAUAUACAAAUUCCAAAUAUACUUAUCAUUUUCAUUUCAUGAAUACAUAUCUAUGAUCUUCCAAAUACAUAUGUCAAAAGCUUAUAUUUUUACUUAUCAACUACAUGAAUCAAAUGCACAUUUAUACUUCUAAUCCACAUGUGCCGAUUUCAUACAUGUAUAUUCAACAAUUUCAUAGCAACCAAUAUAUGUACUUACUCACUAAACACAUAGAUCCAAACAUUUAUAAGCUCAUCGAAUACAUAUAAAUAAGUAUUCAUAUAUUUAUUCAUUAUAUAUAUAACCCAAAAUCAUUUAUAUAUAUAUCACAUGCAUAUAAUCACUUAAUUUAACAUAUUCACCGGCAUUUAGCCUGCUAGGCUUAUAGCCUGAUUCAGAUCACCGGCACGUAUCCUGCUAGGUUUAUAACCUGAUUCAGAUCACCGGCACGUAGCCUGCUAGGUUUAUAACUUGAUUCAGAUCACUGGCACGUAGCCUGCUAGGUUUAUAACCUGAUUCAGAUCACCGGCACGUAGCCUGCUAGACUUAAAGUCUGAAUUAAUUCACUGGCACUACAUCCGCUAAGCAUCGAGCCUGAAUACUACGGGUAUGAAAUUGGUCUUUCACAAAAUUCUUUAUAAGAUAAUCUAGAUAUUCUUUAUAUCUCAUAUAAAUCUUUUCAAUAAUUGUAUCUCAGCAAGAAUCAAAUUAUUAUUCCAAUCUUCGUAGCAAACAUACAUUUGAAUAACAUCUCUAUAGUUCAUAUCAUUAAAUUCGGUUCAUAAAACUCAAUACCCGCAUUCGAAUAUUAUACAUGUUUUCUUCUAUAUUAUAAGCUUCAACUUAUAAAACUCAAAGCAAACAUUAACUACAUACAUAUAAUUCAUGUGAUUAAUUUCAACUUAUCGAGUUCAAUACAUACAUUCGGCUAACAUACAUGUAAUCUAUUAAAUUUCAUCCAACUUAUAAAAUUCAACAUAUAUAUAUAUAUAUAUAUAUAUAUUCGGCUAAAUAUAUAUAUAUAUAUAUAAAUAGAAUCUAUGCAAUUUAUUUUAACUUAUAAAACUCAAAUAUACAUUAACUAAUACAUAUAUAUAUACAAUUCAUACAUUAUAUUUUAACUCAUAUACUUACGACUCGAAAGAACAUGUGUUAAUAGCGUGUUGGGGAGNNNNNNNNNNNNNNNNNNNNNNNNNNNNNNNNNNNNNNNNNNNNNNNNNNNNNNNNNNNNNNNNNNNNNNNNNNNNNNNNNNNNNNNNNNNNNNNNNNNNAACAACCAAUAUAUGUACUUACUCACUAAACACAUAGAUCCAAACAUUUAUAAGCUCAUCGAAUACAUAUAAAUAAGUAUUCAUAUAUUUAUUCAUUAUAUAUAUAACCCAAAAUCAUUUAUAUAUAUAUCACAUGCAUAUAAUCCCUUAAUUUAACAUAUUCACCAGCACUUAGCCUGCUAGGCUUAUAGCCUGAUUCAGAUCACCGGCACGUAGCCUGCUAGGUUUAUAACCUGAUUCAGAUCACCGGCACGUAGCCUGCUAGGUUUAUAACCUGAUUCAGAUCACUGGCACGUAGUCUGCUAGGUUUAUAACCUGAUUCAGAUCACCGGCACGUAGCCUGCUAGACUUAAAGUCUGAAUUAAUUCACUGGCACUACAUCCGCUAAGCAUCGAGCNNNNNNNNNNNNNNNNNNNNNNNNNNNNNNNNNNNNNNNNNNNNNNNNNNNNNNNNNNNNNNNNNNNNNNNNNNNNNNNNNNNNNNNNNNNNNNNNNNNNNNNNNNNNNNNNNNNNNNNNNNNNNNNNNNNNNNNNNNNNNNNNNNNNNNNNNNNNNNNNNNNNNNNNNNNNNNNNNNNNNNNNNNNNNNNNNNNNNNNNNNNNNNNNNNNNNNNNNNNNNNNNNNNNNNNNNNNNNNNNNNNNNNNNNNNNNNNNNNNNNNNNNNNNNNNNNNNNNNNNNNNNNNNNNNNNNNNNNNNNNNNNNNNNNNNNNNNNNNNNNNNNNNNNNNNNNNNNNNNNNNNNNNNNNNNNNNNNNNNNNNNNNNNNNNNNNNNNNNNNNNNNNNNNNNNNNNNNNNNNNNNNNNNNNNNNNNNNNNNNNNNNNNNNNNNNNNNNNNNNNNNNNNNNNNNNNNNNNNNNNNNNNNNNNNNNNNNNNNNNNNNNNNNNNNNNNNNNNNNNNNNNNNNNNNNNNNNNNNNNNNNNNNNNNNNNNNNNNNNNNNNNNNNNNNNNNNNNNNNNNNNNNNNNNNNNNNNNNNNNNNNNNNNNNNNNNNNNNNNNNNNNNNNNNNNNNNNNNNNNNNNNNNNNNNNNNNNNNNNNNNNNNNNNNNNNNNNNNNNNNNNNNNNNNNNNNNNNNNNNNNNNNNNNNNNNNNNNNNNNNNNNNNNNNNNNNNNNNNNNNNNNNNNNNNNNNNNNNNNNNNNNNNNNNNNNNNNNNNNNNNNNNNNNNNNNNNNNNNNNNNNNNNNNNNNNNNNNNNNNNNNNNNNNNNNNNNNNNNNNNNNNNNNNNNNNNNNNNNNNNNNNNNNNNNNNNNNNNNNNNNNNNNNNNNNNNNNNNNNNNNNNNNNNNNNNNNNNNNNNNNNNNNNNNNNNNNNNNNNNNNNNNNNNNNNNNNNNNNNNNNNNNNNNNNNNNNNNNNNNNNNNNNNNNNNNNNNNNNNNNNNNNNNNNNNNNNNNNNNNNNNNNNNNNNNNNNNNNNNNNNNNNNNNNNNNNNNNNNNNNNNNNNNNNNNNNNNNNNNNNNNNNNNNNNNNNNNNNNNNNNNNNNNNNNNNNNNNNNNNNNNNNNNNNNNNNNNNNNNNNNNNNNNNNNNNNNNNNNNNNNNNNNNNNNNNNNNNNNNNNNNNNNNNNNNNNNNNNNNNNNNNNNNNNNNNNNNNNNNNNNNNNNNNNNNNNNNNNNNNNNNNNNNNNNNNNNNNNNNNNNNNNNNNNNNNNNNNNNNNNNNNNNNNNNNNNNNNNNNNNNNNNNNNNNNNNNNNNNNNNNNNNNNNNNNNNNNNNNNNNNNNNNNNNNNNNNNNNNNNNNNNNNNNNNNNNNNNNNNNNNNNNNNNNNNNNNNNNNNNNNNNNNNNNNNNNNNNNNNNNNNNNNNNNNNNNNNNNNNNNNNNNNNNNNNNNNNNNNNNNNNNNNNNNNNNNNNNNNNNNNNNNNNNNNNNNNNNNNNNNNNNNNNNNNNNNNNNNNNNNNNNNNNNNNNNNNNNNNNNNNNNNNNNNNNNNNNNNNNNNNNNNNNNNNNNNNNNNNNNNNNNNNNNNNNNNNNNNNNNNNNNNNNNNNNNNNNNNNNNNNNNNNNNNNNNNNNNNNNNNNNNNNNNNNNNNNNNNNNNNNNNNNNNNNNNNNNNNNNNNNNNNNNNNNNNNNNNNNNNNNNNNNNNNNNNNNNNNNNNNNNNNNNNNNNNNNNNNNNNNNNNNNNNNNNNNNNNNNNNNNNNNNNNNNNNNNNNNNNNNNNNNNNNNNNNNNNNNNNNNNNNNNNNNNNNNNNNNNNNNNNNNNNNNNNNNNNNNNNNNNNNNNNNNNNNNNNNNNNNNNNNNNNNNNNNNNNNNNNNNNNNNNNNNNNNNNNNNNNNNNNNNNNNNNNNNNNNNNNNNNNNNNNNNNNNNNNNNNNNNNNNNNNNNNNNNNNNNNNNNNNNNNNNNNNNNNNNNNNNNNNNNNNNNNNNNNNNNNNNNNNNNNNNNNNNNNNNNNNNNNNNNNNNNNNNNNNNNNNNNNNNNNNNNNNNNNNNNNNNNNNNNNNNNNNNNNNNNNNNNNNNNNNNNNNNNNNNNNNNNNNNNNNNNNNNNNNNNNNNNNNNNNNNNNNNNNNNNNNNNNNNNNNNNNNNNNNNNNNNNNNNNNNNNNNNNNNNNNNNNNNNNNNNNNNNNNNNNNNNNNNNNNNNNNNNNNNNNNNNNNNNNNNNNNNNNNNNNNNNNNNNNNNNNNNNNNNNNNNNNNNNNNNNNNNNNNNNNNNNNNNNNNNNNNNNNNNNNNNNNNNNNNNNNNNNNNNNNNNNNNNNNNNNNNNNNNNNNNNNNNNNNNNNNNNNNNNNNNNNNNNNNNNNNNNNNNNNNNNNNNNNNNNNNNNNNNNNNNNNNNNNNNNNNNNNNNNNNNNNNNNNNNNNNNNNNNNNNNNNNNNNNNNNNNNNNNNNNNNNNNNNNNNNNNNNNNNNNNNNNNNNNNNNNNNNNNNNNNNNNNNNNNNNNNNNNNNNNNNNNNNNNNNNNNNNNNNNNNNNNNNNNNNNNNNNNNNNNNNNNNNNNNNNNNNNNNNNNNNNNNNNNNNNNNNNNNNNNNNNNNNNNNNNNNNNNNNNNNNNNNNNNNNNNNNNNNNNNNNNNNNNNNNNNNNNNNNNNNNNNNNNNNNNNNNNNNNNNNNNNNNNNNNNNNNNNNNNNNNNNNNNNNNNNNNNNNNNNNNNNNNNNNNNNNNNNNNNNNNNNNNNNNNNNNNNNNNNNNNNNNNNNNNNNNNNNNNNNNNNNNNNNNNNNNNNNNNNNNNNNNNNNNNNNNNNNNNNNNNNNNNNNNNNNNNNNNNNNNNNNNNNNNNNNNNNNNNNNNNNNNNNNNNNNNNNNNNNNNNNNNNNNNNNNNNNNNNNNNNNNNNNNNNNNNNNNNNNNNNNNNNNNNNNNNNNNNNNNNNNNNNNNNNNNNNNNNNNNNNNNNNNNNNNNNNNNNNNNNNNNNNNNNNNNNNNNNNNNNNNNNNNNNNNNNNNNNNNNNNNNNNNNNNNNNNNNNNNNNNNNNNNNNNNNNNNNNNNNNNNNNNNNNNNNNNNNNNNNNNNNNNNNNNNNNNNNNNNNNNNNNNNNNNNNNNNNNNNNNNNNNNNNNNNNNNNNNNNNNNNNNNNNNNNNNNNNNNNNNNNNNNNNNNNNNNNNNNNNNNNNNNNNNNNNNNNNNNNNNNNNNNNNNNNNNNNNNNNNNNNNNNNNNNNNNNNNNNNNNNNNNNNNNNNNNNNNNNNNNNNNNNNNNNNNNNNNNNNNNNNNNNNNNNNNNNNNNNNNNNNNNNNNNNNNNNNNNNNNNNNNNNNNNNNNNNNNNNNNNNNNNNNNNNNNNNNNNNNNNNNNNNNNNNNNNNNNNNNNNNNNNNNNNNNNNNNNNNNNNNNNNNNNNNNNNNNNNNNNNNNNNNNNNNNNNNNNNNNNNNNNNNNNNNNNNNNNNNNNNNNNNNNNNNNNNNNNNNNNNNNNNNNNNNNNNNNNNNNNNNNNNNNNNNNNNNNNNNNNNNNNNNNNNNNNNNNNNNNNNNNNNNNNNNNNNNNNNNNNNNNNNNNNNNNNNNNNNNNNNNNNNNNNNNNNNNNNNNNNNNNNNNNNNNNNNNNNNNNNNNNNNNNNNNNNNNNNNNNNNNNNNNNNNNNNNNNNNNNNNNNNNNNNNNNNNNNNNNNNNNNNNNNNNNNNNNNNNNNNNNNNNNNNNNNNNNNNNNNNNNNNNNNNNNNNNNNNNNNNNNNNNNNNNNNNNNNNNNNNNNNNNNNNNNNNNNNNNNNNNNNNNNNNNNNNNNNNNNNNNNNNNNNNNNNNNNNNNNNNNNNNNNNNNNNNNNNNNNNNNNNNNNNNNNNNNNNNNNNNNNNNNNNNNNNNNNNNNNNNNNNNNNNNNNNNNNNNNNNNNNNNNNNNNNNNNNNNNNNNNNNNNNNNNNNNNNNNNNNNNNNNNNNNNNNNNNNNNNNNNNNNNNNNNNNNNNNNNNNNNNNNNNNNNNNNNNNNNNNNNNNNNNNNNNNNNNNNNNNNNNNNNNNNNNNNNNNNNNNNNNNNNNNNNNNNNNNNNNNNNNNNNNNNNNNNNNNNNNNNNNNNNNNNNNNNNNNNNNNNNNNNNNNNNNNNNNNNNNNNNNNNNNNNNNNNNNNNNNNNNNNNNNNNNNNNNNNNNNNNNNNNNNNNNNNNNNNNNNNNNNNNNNNNNNNNNNNNNNNNNNNNNNNNNNNNNNNNNNNNNNNNNNNNNNNNNNNNNNNNNNNNNNNNNNNNNNNNNNNNNNNNNNNNNNNNNNNNNNNNNNNNNNNNNNNNNNNNNNNNNNNNNNNNNNNNNNNNNNNNNNNNNNNNNNNNNNNNNNNNNNNNNNNNNNNNNNNNNNNNNNNNNNNNNNNNNNNNNNNNNNNNNNNNNNNNNNNNNNNNNNNNNNNNNNNNNNNNNNNNNNNNNNNNNNNNNNNNNNNNNNNNNNNNNNNNNNNNNNNNNNNNNNNNNNNNNNNNNNNNNNNNNNNNNNNNNNNNNNNNNNNNNNNNNNNNNNNNNNNNNNNNNNNNNNNNNNNNNNNNNNNNNNNNNNNNNNNNNNNNNNNNNNNNNNNNNNNNNNNNNNNNNNNNNNNNNNNNNNNNNNNNNNNNNNNNNNNNNNNNNNNNNNNNNNNNNNNNNNNNNNNNNNNNNNNNNNNNNNNNNNNNNNNNNNNNNNNNNNNNNNNNNNNNNNNNNNNNNNNNNNNNNNNNNNNNNNNNNNNNNNNNNNNNNNNNNNNNNNNNNNNNNNNNNNNNNNNNNNNNNNNNNNNNNNNNNNNNNNNNNNNNNNNNNNNNNNNNNNNNNNNNNNNNNNNNNNNNNNNNNNNNNNNNNNNNNNNNNNNNNNNNNNNNNNNNNNNNNNNNNNNNNNNNNNNNNNNNNNNNNNNNNNNNNNNNNNNNNNNNNNAUUAUUAAGUAUAUACAAUAUAUACCCUUAAUCAAACUCAAAGAUUAUACUUAUUUAUACAUAUACAUUUUCGAAAAUUAACACAUAUAUAUAUACAUAUAAUUUCUUACUUAUACUCAAUAUAUAUAAGUAUUUAUUCAUAUAUAUACAUGCUUAUUCAAUCCAACUUAUACCAAUAUUUGAUACACAUACAUAUAUAUAUCUUUAUAUAUCUAUUCGAACAUCAUGUAAACAUAUAUAACAAACAACAUUAACUAAAUUCAAACUUUAUUCACAUAUAUACAUACCUAUGUUCGAAUACAUCACAUACCUAUAUACAUAGUUUCAUAUCUAAAUUAUUUACAAGGGCAUUGAUGUAUGUAUAUUUGUGUAUUCAUACUCAUUCGAACCUAACACACACACAUAUAUAUAUAUAUAUAUAUAUAUACAUAAUUUUCAUACUUUCCAUUCGAUUUAUAUACUUUUAAAUUUUAACUCAACAUAAAUACAUUUGAUAUUCAUACAUAUAAACCAAUUUAAUAAAAAUUAAAUAGCUAAUAGACUUACCUCGGACGAUGGAAAAUCGAAGUCGGACGAUUAUUCGACUAAUUUGGCUUUUCCCCGAUCUAACUCCAAUUUCUUUGGUUCUCGAUCUAAAUAUAUUCAAAAUAAGAUAAUUUAUUUAUUAACACAUUCAAUUUAAUCCAAAAACACAUAAUUUGGCAAAUUACUAUUUUGCCCCUAAUAUUUUCAUUUUUGCAAUUUACUCCCUAUUGCAUAAAACACAAUUUAUACAAAAUUUGCCCAUACCACACAAGGGCCGAAUAUUCAUGGUUCUCAUACAAGUCCACACAUUGCAUUUAUUUCACAUUUUAGUCCCCCAAAAAUUUAAUUUCACAAUUUAGCCCUAUUUACUCAAUUUCACUAAAAUUCCAAUACAAAACAUAUUAAUCUAUCAUAUAUCUUUCAUUUUUCAUCAUCAACUAUCACAAAGUCUAAGCAUUCAUCAAUGGCACAUUUCAAAAUCAUCAACAAUUUACAAAAUUAAAACAUGGGUUUUGAAGAACACAAAGCAACGAUCUCUAAAACAUAAAAAUCAUCAAAAACCGAACAAAAUCCAUACCUUAAUCAAAGCUUGAAAGUGCCGAAUGAAAUAAGCUUUAAACCCAUUUAUUUUCUCUCCAAUUCGGCCAAAAGAUGAAGAACAUGGCAUUUUAAUUUGUUAUAUUAUACAUAUAUUAACCUUAUUGUUAAUUUACUAUAUUAACCUUUACUAAUAUAUAUAUAAAACAUAUAUAAUAAGGUUACAUUAGUCCUUUGCCAUCCACUAACUUACAUAGUGGGCUAAUUGCAUAAUAAAACCUCUAAAUUAUAAAGACAACAACAAUUAGGCACUUUCAUAUUUAACCACUACAUUUUUAUUUUACGCGAUUUAAUCCUUUUAUUUAAUCAGACACUCAAACGGCGAAAUUAAAGCACGAAAUUUUCACACUAGUAAAUUCACACAUAAUAAACACAGAAAAAAAUAUAUAAAAAUAUUUUUCUAAUUCGGAUUUGUGGUCCCGAAACCACUAUUUCGAUUAGGGUCAAAACCGGGUUGUUACACAUAUGAAAUAUAAUAUUUUCUUCAUUCACAAUCUCAAUAUGAUAUCCAUUAUAAUGAAUACCUUUUAAAACUAAUGUAUUAACCAUCACAAAUUUUGUACUUUUAAGAUAUUGAUAUAUUAGCUCUUUUGAAUCUUUCAACUAAUUUUAUACUAUCAAAUAUUGGAAUAAUAUUUGUUUUUUUCAGUACCAAAUAAGAUAAACAUUUUCUAUCUGUAAUGAUAGAAUUCAUUAGUACAUUCUCAUAUCAUUCCUCAAAGAAUAUUAACAGAAACAAAAUAUUUGGUCAUACACCACAUAAGUUAUCUUUACCCUUUGAAGAGUUAUCUUAAAAACUCUCAUUGUUCUCUUAUUUAUUACUAUAUUCCCACUUUUAGUAGUUCAUGAUUAUAUCUUCUAUUUUCUUUAUGUUUACAUUCACUUCGGGAAAUGUAACAAAUCUAGUAGGACAGACUUCUAAACACCUCCAUUGAUUAUUUAUUUCAUAAUCACCAUCGCAAAUAUACGUGGAUUUCAAAUCAGAAUUUAUCUAUUCAUGUUUGUCAUAAUUAGUCUCCAAUUAUAAUAAAUCUGAGAUAAUAAAUAAAUUAUAAUAAAAUAUACCUAAAGAUCUUUAACACCAUCGUCGUCACCUUGGCUAUUAUCACGAGUACUAUUACAAGUACUAAAAUAAAUAUGCUUUCAUAAGAACAUACUACAUAUAACUUAUAAAAUCUUAUGAUGCUCUAAUAAAUUAUUUGUACUUUAUAGUUCAAUCUAAAUGGUAUAAUCCAAUCAUUCAUCAAUAACAAAAAAAAAAUUCUCUUUAAAGUGGACAAAUACCACAAACUUAUAUUUUGUGUUGACAAUAAAUAUAUAUUUAAACAAUCAUUUAAAAAUAAUAUAUUAUAAAGUUUUAUUAGUAAAACUUAUUAACCCAUUGAUAUUCAAUAAUAUAACUUAAUCAUUUGAUUAGACUUAAAACAAAUAAAUAAUAAUCAUACAUAAAAAAAAUUGAAGCUCCUUACCAAUUUAAAUUGUGCUCUAUAAAUCCAAAAUCCAUACUGAAGUCAAAAAAAAUUUUCACCAUCCAAAGCAAUGGACUGCAGUGUCCAUCUUGGUAUUGAUCCUCUUAAUAUAUACUCAAACCAAUCUCAAAUUAAUUUAAAUUAAUUGAAAAUUAAUCUAGAUAUAAAACACUAAAUAGACAAAAAUUUCCUACAAAGAGUUGCAAACAGCAACAGCCGAAAGACAACAAGUAAUGGAGAAUCAGGGAAGUAAACACUCAAUUUGAAUAGCAACCAGCAAAAAUAAAUAAUCAUUUGAAGAAACAAUGAGCCAACAAAACAAAAAAAAUAAGAAUAAUUUUAGUGGUCAAAGGCUGAAUUUUGGUAUUAUGGAUGAAGCUUAAUGGUUCGCAAAGUUGCCGUUAAUUUAAUCCACAACUAAGAUAAUUAAAAGAGAAUCGUGCUGAUAACGUGUUACAAAAUAAAUAGACAGAGAGUAAUGAACAAAGAGAUUGGGAAAGCAAAGAGAGAGCGUAUUGUUAUUUAUCAAUCAGGAUAUUUACAAAGCUUCUCCAAAGUCUCUAUUUAUAGGCAUAAGAAGUAUAAAUGAAGUAGAGAUAUACUUCUAAUCAUUAUUAGAAUUUAAAGUACAUCCAAAUUUAUCUUAAUUUUGAUGGACAUCCACUUAAUAAGAUAUUUAUAAUAUUUUUUUAAAUAAAACAUUUGUUUAAAGAUUUAUCUUUAGGUAUAAGUUAAAUAUUACAAUUUUAUUUUGAUUUUAAUAAAAAGUAUAAAAAAUUUGGUUAAAUAAAAUUUAUAAAGAUUAAGAUUUUAUGUUAUUUUAAGUUAAUGUUCUUUUCUUCCCUUUUAAUCCUUAUAUUUGAAGAUGUUUAUUGAAAAUUAUAAUAUAUUUUAAUAUAAUGAUAAGAGAAUUUAGAUGCUAAAAGUUCUACUUCUCCAAUUUUUACCAACAUCUAAUUAAAUUUUUUUUAAUAAUCUCAUUUUAGGUUCUGCUCAAAAUACUCACUCACUCGAACUUGCAAUCUCCUACUCUGACAACAAUAUCUAUACCAAUUGAGCUAAGGCUCAAUUGACACAUCUCAUUAAUUUUUUUUAUAUUUUAAUUGCACAUUUAAUAUGAUUUAAUGAUUUUCUUUUUCUUUUU